GAUAGUUGUUUUAUUUAUAAUAUGAUAAUAACAACCACCUAGUGGUAGCUGAUUUAUUUAUUACAUGCUAAUAACAACCAUGAGUUGAUAGUUGAUUUAUUUAUUAUAUGCUAAUAACAGCUAUCAGCUAGUGGUUGAUUUAUUUAUUAAUUGCAGUCUUGUUCAUUUACUUCAGUCUUUUUAUUUAAUUAUGUUAAAUCAUAUGUGAAUCCUAAUUUGUACUUGUACUCACAGAAAAUAAACCUAAGAAUUCAUCAAAGGAAAUAAAAGAUAAACGACAAUACAAAUAUUGCGUUUUGUUUUGUCUUAUUUUUUAAAAUUUUAUUUUCAAAUAUAUACGCAUGCAUGAUAAAGAUUCACAAUUAUAUAUAUAUAUAUAUAUAUAUAUAUAUAAUCCGUCGAGGUGUUUUAGUUGACUAGCUAGUAUAAACUACCAUCUACCAAAUCGUUAUUAGCUAACGAGCUAGUGUAAAUUUUCAUCUUGGAAGCUAGUAUAAACUAUCAUCUAUAAAAUUGUUAUUAGUAGAGGAACUACGAAUGUAAACUAUCGUCUAACAAACUGUAUUAGUUGAUGAGCUAGUGUAAAUUACUAUCAUUUACCAAAUAGUUAGAUAGACUGUUGGCUACAGUCAAAUGUGUUUUGGAUCAAUUCCUAUAUAUGUGUGUGUGUGAAAAAUUCAUGAAAAUCUAAAACUUAGUUGUUUUGGUACUAUUGAAUUGAUUUAUCUUUUCAUCUUUAUUUUUUUUUAAUUUACUACCCGACCCAAAUCUUUUCUCUUCUCGUAUCAAUAGUAAGUUUAAGAUUGGAUGAUAUUUUUGUCCCUUCAUUUUUUGUCAAUUGAGUCCUUAAAGUGGUCAAUUGAUGUCAAUUCUGUCUCUUUUCUCCAAAUUAACCCAAUUUCUUCUAAAUUGAAGUACAUGCUCGGCAUAUAUAUGCGAUUUAAGUUGGGGCAAAAAUGUCUCCUAACACAAUAAUAAUAAUAAUAAUAAUAAUAAUAAUAAUAAUAAUAAUUCAAAAUUAUCUAAUGAAAAGACAUAAUUUAAGCAGUACCAUCUUGUAAUUUAUGUAAUCACUUUAUUUAAUAUCACAAUAAACCAGCUAGUGAUAGUUGUUUUAUUUAUAAUAUGGUAAUAACAAGCACCUAGUGGUAGUUUGAUUUAUUUAUUACAUGCUAAUAACAACCAUGAGUUGAUAGUUGAUUUAUUUAUUAUAUGCUAAUAACAGCUAUCAGCUAGUGGUUGAUUUAUUUAUAUAUCGUGCUAAUAACAACCAUCAACUAGUAUAUAGUUUCUUGAUUUACUGUUGAUCGGAAGAUUACUGAUCGUUCAUUUAGGUGUUGGUGGGACUAAUGUUAACACCAUAGAUAACUAAACCUGUCUUCAUAGUCACGUUUUCAGUCCCGUCAAGAGCAAAUAUGAUAUCUCCAUAGUCAAACUUAUUGAAGAAUUCCCCAGCUUUGAGCGAAAAUGGUGUGUUUCUCGGAUAAUUCAUCAAUCCAUAUCCGUUCACUUGCGAGGAUCCAUUCGGAAGAGUAAGUGUAAGACUCACCGGACUUGCUAUGUUAAAGUUGUCUUUCAGCAGCACCACAAAAGAUACCUCAUAAGAUAAAUUUUCAAGCUUUUCUGUCAUAUAGUUUCCGUCAACAUGUAGGACUAAGCUACCAAUUAAUUCAGCACUGUCAGGACUGUACAAAAUGAUAGUAGAAUUAAAGUCAGAAACUUUUGAUAUAAGGAGCUUAAAUUCAUUAGGUGAUUUUAUUGAUUUAUUUAUUUUUUGCUGGAAUAUUUUUAAUGCGAGUCCUUCUAUCUAACUAGACUUCAAUAAAAUUUCUAUAGUCCUUCUAUCACUUUAAUUUAAUGACAAAGUUGCUUAUAUAUCCCUAUUUUUAACUGAAUAAAAUUCAGGUGUUUAAACACAAAUCUUGACCUUUGACGUCAAUUAAGUUAACUAAAUCUUAUUUCUACUUACGUAAACUUCCAGCCUGAAGGGUUGGCAUAAUUGAGUUUACUGGCAGGUACAUAAGCGCCAGAACUCUGAAUAAGACGAGAAAAAAAAAUUCAUAUCAUCCAUUACAAAAAAAUUUCACUUGCAAAAUUUACAAAUAUUAAGGAUUAUUUUUGUUCUAUAGCCAACUUUAGCUAUAUAUAUGAUGUUUGUUUACAAUUUCAGUAGACUUACCUUCUGGCCUAUUCCGCCGUUUUGGAGCAACUCCAUUUCCUUGGCUUGGGACAACAAUGCCUUGAGGUCAACCUCAUUAUGCCUCACUACUUGUGCCAUCUCCUCGAUCGAUCGAUAACUAUCCUUUAAUUCUGCUAUAUAUAUAUAUAUAUAUGUAUUUUCUGUUUCUAUUCUUGAUGUCUAUAUAUCUCUCUUCCAAAGGCUAGCUCUAUUUAUACUGGCACAAACAGAGGGUACUGCGAUUAUUAUAUCCCAUAAUAUCCUAUCUUCAAAUAUUCCUUCCCUUUUCAAAGUAGGGAUCCGAUCCUGAUAAGUUUAACAUCAUCAUCAUCAUCAUCAUCAUCAUCGCCAAGGAUAUAGAGCAGCAGAUUCUGUUUAAUAAUUUUGUUGGAAUAAUUCUUUUCCAUUUCCCAGUUCAAUAGUUCUUUCUUUAGCUUGUUGCGCAGGCAAAAUUCCAUGAAGGCGAAAGGCACGUAGGCAUACUAGUUGUGGGCAAGGAAAUUGUACCUUGCUAGGGUUAGGAUUUCGUGUUGGCUGAGGAGGAGAGAAAUUCACGAAGAGCACGGAAUUGAUUGGUUGAUUGAAGAGGGGAGAACGACAGGUGGGCGAUUACUCCAACGACGUGUGGCAGAACCCCUAGAAUCCAGGAACCGUGUUAGGGUAGUAGGGAUUCCAAGAGCCUUCUUGAGUCCUUCGUUCUUGAGAGAAUGUCUAAACCCCUUUUAGUGCUUUUAGGUGGAAUCUCCGAGCCUUUAAGUCACCAAAAAGGGUUCUUUGAUCUUCCGAGAGUCCAAGUCUUGAGUCUAAAGAGAAGUCUCUUUCCCAAUGGAAUGGAAGGGUAUUUAUAGGGUUUUCUGGAAAGUAGUCAUGUGCGAGGCACAUGCUUUCAGGGAAAUUCCAGAAAUGCCCUUUAGUCAUUAGAAUAAUGCCCAUGUUGCCCUGUCCUUCUAGCCACCAAUCCAAUCCCUCAAUUAAUUCCCACAUCGAGCCGCCUCCACGAGUCUUCUGCCUCGGGACACGUGGAGGCUUCUCCCGGGUCUAGCACAUUUAUUUAUGACUUUUUCAUCUUCAUUCCAUUCGGUUAUGCGAACACUAAUUUGCACAUUUAAUGAGGCCGUGGAACCCUAAUUGCGCAUUUAAUUCAAUUAGGUCAUGUGAACUCUAAUUUUACACUUUGGCCCACAUUUGCCCCCUGCGCGAGAGUCGCAUUUUCAAAUAGACGAUCGUGCAAGAAAACUGCAAGCCUUUGAAUGAUUUUGCGGGACUUCACUUUACAUGUCUUGAAGACAAUAGUCCUAGAAGAGGGAACUCCUAGGGAGCCAAACCCUUAGAGUUAAACCCUAGGAAGGCAAGACCUAGCGAGGCUCUUCCUUGGACAUAUUGAAAAAUCUUCUGAAAUCUUUCUGUAUUUUGCCCAAUAUUUAUUUCCAAUUCCGCAAGCAGAUCAACUGUCCGAGCAGCCUCAAUACGAACAGAAACAGAUUCCGAUAACUUGGAAUGGAAAAUAGAAUUAAGACCAGGCAAAACAUUGAAUAGAGCGAUGUAGAGAUCUAAAAUUUCAAACAACUUGAGAAACGAUGGACGGGUACUACUAACGCCUUCUGCAAAGUUAAUCAAGUGCAAGGCGGAUUCUUUAACUAUACCCAUAAAACACACAUCAAAUGUGGAGUUACCAAGUCCACUAAAGAUUUGUUCACAGAGUUUCUUCUCCUUUAUGAAGAGAUCUUCAAAACAAACACGAGAUGCUCGUAUCCACAAUUUGAUCUUUGGUGCCAACAUAUCCCACUCCAAACUCCGGAACUCACCGAUGCUAUAUUUACCGACGCCGAGGUGUCGAAAUUCUGCAUCCACAAUCAACUUCCUUGAAGUCCUGUAGAAUUCAACGCAGUCGCCAACAUUACCGGCUGAGUUCAAUCGUUCAAUGAUACUCCUAAAACCAUAAACUUCGUCAAUAUGUCCAUCAUCCUGUAAUUCAUAGCUAAAAGUAUCGGUUAUUGUACUUGAAAAAAUGGUAGAACUCCUAUCGGCCAAGAAAGCAUUGUGGACUCUGUUGGUUUGUCGGGUCAAUAUGACCCGAAACUCUAACGGAAGGGUUUCCAUGCCCGUUUAGAUCAUGUUUUGAUGCUUUCAGUUUGGGGAUCUGAGAUUAUUCUCGAUCGUCUGAAGCUCGUCAAAAGUACUGAUCAAUCUCAUGGCGGUCUCCGUCGAAGUCGAAGAUGAUGAAUUUAAUAAUUCCGCCCGAAUAUUUUGUGUUCUACCAAUUCCAUUCAGACAAUACAAAAGAGAUAUAUAUAUCUGCCUAAAAAUUGAAAACCGAAAAUCAUCUCUGAACAGCAGGCUUUGAAAAUUACUCCUACUAGUAGUUUAUAAAUAUAAAUACUUUGAAGAUUGUAAGAAGUUCAUAGCCAUCCACUAGUAAAAGUACUUACCAUUACUAAUUGAUGUCACGUUACCGCAAUUAGGACGGAGAGAGAAAGUCGGACCAACUCUUUUUUUUUUUCAAAUCAAACAUUAAUUUUUUAUUUCCAAAAUCAAAUCUUAAUUUUUAUUUUCAAAAUAAAAUCAAAUCUUAAUUUUUUAUUUCCAAAAUAAAAUCAAAUCUUAAUUUUUUAUUUCCAAAAUAAAAUCAAAUCUUUCUUAAUUUGAAAAGAGAUUUUUUUUUUUUGAAAAUGAAAUAAAAUAAAAUCUCUCUUUUUUUUUUUUGGCAAAUCAAAUCAAAUCAUUUUUUUUUAUCAUUCACGCAAAAGAUUUAAGUGCAUGAAUAAAAUAAAAUAAAAAUGCAUGAAUUUAAGAGUCAUAUAAUCUCACAGAUCUAAUGAAGGGGAAUUGCCACAUGCCUACGACAUUCUCUAUGAAAAAAAUGAUGAAUUAAGGCAAAACGAGAUCCAAUCAUGUAUUAUUUUUUUUUUGAAAAUAAAAUAAAUCUUAUUUUAUUAUCUUUCAAAAAAAUAAAAUAAAAUCUUAUUUUAUUAUUAUUAUUUUUUAAAAUAAAUAAAUAAAUAAAUAAAACAUUUACUUAUCUUAUUUUUAAGAAGUAAGGAGUCGAUGAGAAUGUCUUGUAUCCAUAUUGAAGCCUUUGAUAAUUCUUUGAGCAAAGAUGAUUAUAGCUUUUUGAUGAUUCUGACAUCUUUUAUAUGAGACAAGUCUUCACAUGCUUCCGAUUUUUAUUUGCCAUAAAGAAAGAAUCCAUUAAAGCUUCACAUGCCAGUUGCCACUCCUCUGUUAGCCAACAAAAAAAAAAAACAUUGUUUUGCUGCUUUAUUUGGGUGUUAUAGCCACAGGCAAGCCUCUUUCUAUCCACGCCGAACCCUACUGAUUCAAUUUUUUAUUAUUUUUUUUUUAUUAAAAAAAAUCAAGAACUUUUGGAACACUUAUAUUUAGAAGAAGCUUGUACGUAUGGGAAUUGAUGAUCCAAAAACCCACAACCCAAUUCUUAAUCUCAGUUUCUUUCUUGCUAAUCUUUCUCAGUUGAUGAACCCUUUGGAUAAUAUUAACGAUCCUCUUAGGAGGUUGCAAUAUUCAGAUCCCACUCAACUACUAGCCAAAAUCCAAAUUUUACAUAACCUAUUGCAGGCCAUAAAUGUGAGUCCUUCUUUCCCAAAUAUUAAAGUAGUAAACGUGAAUAAUCUCUUGGGAUCAUAUAAUUAUCUUAGCCAAUUUGAUGGAGUGAUCACGAGUGAAGCUAUCAACCCCAUGAUUAAUCCUAUCCCCAACAACCGGCCUUUAAUAUAUAUACUCCAAUCCCAAACUCAUUUGGAUUCUUUAGCCCACAAAUAUUUAACAAUGUUAAUAGCUUAAGUGGUGUUGCAUGCAAUAUUACUCAUCAAACUGAAAAUCAGCUUCCGGAAAGUUCCAAUACCAAGGAAAUGGACAGUAUGAAGCCUACAAACAUCCCCUCCGGUUCAACCAACUCUGACAAUAUCUUUGAGGUUUUGGAGAAAUUUGUUGAUUGUGAUCAAGCCAAUAGUACUUCCUUCUUGCUUCUUUUUUUUUUUUAUUCAGGUAACUCUAGUCUUUCUUUUGUCUUCCGAGCCCCAUUACCUUGAUCAUAUCUUGGUUUUUUCCCUCGGAUCAUAAAGAAAGAUUGGUAUUUUUUUUUUCUUGCAGGCCCUCCCUGUUGAACAUUCUGCAGACUUGGGAACAACCAAGGAGGCCCCGUUUCUCAAUAAUUGGGGAAGGGAUCCCCUCUUUUGGUCUUUCCGACGUCUUUUGAGAGCGAGUCUAGACUUAUAAUCGUACAACACUUCCUCCGCCAGAGAAGAAAGGCGUGUUUCUUUAUGUCGCGGCUUGCGGAGGUUUGGGUGACUUCCUCCCUUCCGAUCGCAUUCUCCGCAUGUGCAUAGAGAAACAAGAAUAGCCUUUCAGUCCCUUUCGCUUCCUGUCUGACUCAUCUGACCGCCUUCAAGGAUGGCAACAUUGGACCGACUUCCCGUUGUGUGCUCUUCUUCAUACACAUUCAUUACUACUUGGGGGGGAAUUCACCCCUAUUCUAGAGGAUGUCUCUGCCCUCCACCAGUAGGUCGUACUUCGGUUUGCCCCCUGCACGUGAGUCACACCUUUGGUGGGACAACCGUGCAUAAUUUCUCCAGCAUUGAAAUCUUGCUACAAAUUUCUUAAUGAUUCGCGGAGCACGAUGGUGCAAGCCUUGAACAUAAAAUCCCUAGGAGGGGAGACCUGUAGGGGGCGAGCCCUAGAGAAGCUCUCCCUGGCUAUCUUGGAAAAAAUCUUCUAUCUUAUCCUUCCGAAUAUUACUUUCUUUUGGAAGUUCUCUCAUUUUCAAAAUUAAGAAGUCAACGAGAAGGCACCGAGUGAACAUACUUCAAAUUGGGGUGAACAAGCGAUGAAGGAGAUCUUUCCUCUAGGUACCCGAAUCCUGAGCGGCUUCAUUCUGGAACAUUGAUUAACGAGCUAGGAGAAGUAAAAGGUAAGAGGGGAGAGCCUCUGUAGGUGUUUGAACCCCAGGGGCCGAACCCUAGAAGACUGCCUAUUCCUUCACUCUUUUUUUCCUUCUUCCUUUCACUUGAAUCUUGGUCGUGUCCUAGCUUGGUUCCCCAAUAUAGUUGAUCGGAUACAUCUUCAUAGGACCCUUCUCCAGAUUUUCUUGCUCGAUUGUCUUCUGAGACUUAUUCUCGAAAUGCACAUUCUCUCUCUAUUAUCUGUGAGCAGAAGACUUAGAGGUGUUUUAGUUGUGAAGUUGAUGACUUCUCGAUCCUUCUUGGGCCUUGACAUGUCUCCCUUCCGUGCUAAGCUGGAUCUCUUCACUUUCAGUUAUCAUGUCAUUGCACUUUGUUCGGAGGUCACUUCACGUCCUCAUGAGAAUGACUUUCUUUAUGUAAGGGCCUCAGGAGCUUCAGGACGUCAUGGAUAGAUUGAAGGCCAAGCUUCGGGAAAUUGAUUCAUCUGCCCAAGACCUUAAGGAACUGUUAGCCUGAAGUUCGAAAGGCUCGAGAUACUGCCAUUGUCGACUUGGAGGCUUUAGCUAUGCCCCCAGUUCAGUUUGAUGUAUCAUGACCUUUGGAUCAUGACUUCAUGUAGCUUUUAUUUCUUCCAUCACUUUUGAAGAUAAAGUGUAUUAUCGAGGAUUUCAGGGUCAAGUGUCUCAAUCACUUUUGAAGUUGAAAGUAUAACUCUUUUUUUUUUCUGGAUCGAGGGCUGAUUAAUCAGGUGCCUCAUUACUUUUGAAGUUGAAAGUAUAACUUUUUUGGGUCGAGGGCUGAUUAAUCAGGUGCCUCAUUACUUUUGAAGUAGAAAGUAUAACUUUUUCGAGUCGAGGGCUGAUUAAUCAGGUGCCUCAUUACUUUUGAAGUUGAAAGUAUUUUUUUUUUGGGUCGAGGGCUGAUUAAUCAGGUGCCUCAUUACUUUUGAAGUAGAAAGUAUAACUUUUUCGGGUCGAGGGCUGAUUAAUCAGGUGCCUCAUUACUUUUGAAGUUGAAAGUAUAACUUUUUUGGGUCGAGGGCUAAUUAAUCAGGUGCCUCAUUACUUUUGAAGUAGAAAGUAUAACUUUUUCGGGUCGAGGGCUGAUUAAUCAGGUGCCUCAUUACUUUUGAAGUUGAAACUAUAACUUUUAAGAAAUUUGCUCUGAUCAAAAUUUGAUGUAUUUAUUUAACGAUCAAGAUAUAAUACAUUUUUUUUUCAUUUUCUAGUCUGCUAGGGCAGUAGCUUAUUCAGCAUUAUGCUUCUUAUUAUAGUUCGAUUUCACCUGCCGCUAAUUUUUCAUGAUAAAUUCUCCUCAAAUUACGACAAUUCAUGAUGGAAUGUCCUGGGUAUUGAUGAUACACGCAAAAGUCUGAUCUCUUCUUCAUCUCCUCGGUCACAACAAAUCUGGGUUUUGGAGGCUUCACCAUUCCAUUUUCUACCCAUUUCUCAUACAAAUCUUUAAAUAUCUCCUCACCACAAGUGAUAGCUUCGGGCUCUAGCGAAUUUAUAUUCUUUUUGAUUCUUUCCCUCUUGCCCCCCUGUGGCUCUGACUGAGAGUCUGUCAAAGCCGUAGUAGCUGUCCUCUUACUCUUCCAGGUAGCAAUCGGAUGGUUCACAGAUACUGCCAUAAUUUCUCCAUGGUCCUGUGCAAAGGUGGAAAGUGUCGCAAAGGAAUCACAAGACUUAGUGAUCAAGUGGGGCUUGAAGGCGUCGAGGGCGCCGUUGUUGCAAAUACUCACUAAAUUCUUCUCUUCGAUUGGCUCCACACACUUCCGCGCCUGGGCCCGAAAGGUGGAAAGUGUCGCAAAGGAAUCACAAGACUUAGUGAUCAAGUGGGGCUUGAAGGCGUCGAGGGCGCCGUUAUUGCAAAUACUCACUAAAUUCUUCUCUUCGAUUGGCUCCACACACUUCCGCGCCUGGGCCCGAAAUCUGUCAACAUAAUCAGAUAACUCCUCAUUCGAAUUUUGUUGAAUUCUCAUAAGCUCUAUAAUUGACACUUCCUUCUGAACAUAAAAGAAUUUUUUGAAAAACUGGUGUUUCAUAUCAUCCCAAUCUCGAAUCGAACCCUUCUCCAAAUUGUAGUACCAGCUGAAGGCACCGUUAGUGAGCGUCUUGUUAAACUCCCUCAAUAGAAUAUUGUGGUUGCUCACUUCAUCUAUUCCCAACCACGAGGACAUCGACUCCACAAAUCUUGCAAUAUGCUCUCUCGCAUUCCCUUUCUCUCCACUAUACUUAGGGAACUGAAGUGGAUGUUCAAUGUACCCAGCAGGGUAUGGCUGUCUUCUCACAUGCGCCGGGUAUGGUGGGGUGAAAUCCAGUUCCGCAGGCCUGACUGUCUGUCUACGCAUCUGAUUGAUUACAUCCAUCAUGUCUUCCCUUGUCGCAUAUUGACUGGUUUCUGGAGCCUUUUGGGACGUCAUCGCAUACUGGUUUAUCUGAGGUGUAUGUGGAACACAUGUUGAUGCACACUUGCCUCAUGUAAGAUUGGUUGUACUUGCUGGAUUAUUGGUUGUAUAUGGCUUGGGAUGGUUGGUAUCUGCACUUGUGAAAAUGCUGGGAGUGUAAUCGGGAUGAUGUUUAGCUGAGGCUGGCUAGCUUCCAAUCUAAGUGGUGGUACAUCACCACUGUUCUGGGGCUCCAAGUUGAUGACUGGAAUCGGCUGACUCUCCAUUGCUGGAGGUAUAAUCUGAUUCUCUUUGUUGUUGUUGUUGUUGUCCUCCACUUCUCCUGCUCGUCCCCCUUGCGAACUUCCUGGGAACAUGGUCUUGAAAGUGGGGAUUUGCAUCAACUGCUGGCAAAAAUUCUCCAUUUCUUCUUGCUUUCUCUGCAUCUCUAGCAUCAUGGCCAUCAUCAUCCCUUGCCCUUCUCGUGCUUCUUUCAAUGCUUUAAGCAUCUCCAGUUGCACAGCAUUCGUCUGGUCUCCCCCUGCAUCUUCGCCUUGCCUUCUUGCAUUGGUUUGUUGUUGAUUGGCCAUAUGUGGUGAUGUCGAACUCCCUUCCAAAGCGUCUUCAAUAAUUGGUUGGUCAAAAUCCAGGUUUGCGCCUUGGAAAACUUGAGUUACUUGUCUUGGAACUGGAUCCGGUGACGUAAUGCUAUUUGUUGGUGAAGCAGCUCUUCCUGUAAUUCUCCCACUUCGAGUCGUGGGCAUACCCUUCACGAAUUAUACACCUCCCCAGCAGAGUCGCCAAAGAAAUGUGGGCAAGGAAAUUGUACCUUAGUAGGGUUAGGGUUUCGUGUUGGCUGAGGAGGAGAGAAAUCCACGAAGAGCACGGAAUUGAUUGGUUGAUUGAAGAGGGGAGAACGACAGGUGGGCGAUUACUCCAACGACGUGUGGCAGAACCCCUAGAAUACAGGAACCGUGUUAGGGUAGUAGGGUUUCCAAGAUCCUUCUUGAGUCCUUUGUUCUUGAGAGAAUGUCUAAACCCCUUUUAGUGCUUUUAGGUGGAAUCUCCGAGCCUUUAAGUCACCAAAAAGGGUCCUUUGAUCUUCCGAGAGUCCAAGUCUUGAGUCUAAAGAGAAGUCCCUUUCCCAAUGGAAUGGAAGGGGUAUUUAUAGGGUUUUCUGGAAAGUAGUCAUGUGCGAGGCACAUGCUUUCAGGGAAAUUCCAGAAAUGCCCUUUAGUCAUUAGAAUAAUGCCCAUGUUGCCCUGUCCUUCUAGCCACCAAUCCAAUCCCUCAAUCAAUUCCCACAUCGAGCCGCCUCCACGAGUCUUCUGCCUCGGGACACGUGGAGGCUUCUCCCAGGUCUAGCACAUUUAUUUAUGACUUUUUUGUCUUCAUUCCAUUCGGUUAUGCGAACCCUAAUUUGCACAUUUAAUGAGGUCGUGGAACCCUAAUUGCGCAUUUAAUUCAAUUAGGUCAUGUGAACUCUAAUUUUACACUUGGGCCCACACUAGUAAAUGAUGAUUUUCUUCUAACCAGAAGUAUGAGCAGGUUAAAAGUAGAAGAAUAAGCAUCUCGCAGGCCAAAAAUCAAUAAAAAAACGAAAAGAAGAAAAAGAAAAGAAGAAGACAGCAAUAGCAAGACCAUAUUUUUCUUCUUCUUUCUUUUUAUCUUUUCUUUCUUUCUUUUUUGUUUCUUUUUAGACGGAGGGUUUUAUUUCAUCUUUGAAAAUAAACCUAAGAAUUUAUCAAAGGAAAUAAAGGAUAAACGACAAUACAAAUAUAUAUUUUUAUUUUAUUUUCAAAUAUAUACGCAUGCAUGAUAAAGAUUCACAAUUAUACACACAUAUAUAAUAGGCUACAACCAACAAUCUACUAAACAAUUUGUAAACCAUCGAGGUGUUUUAGUGACAACCUACCGUCUACCAAAUCGUUAUUAGUUAACGAGUUAGUGUAAAUUUUCAUUUUGGAAGCUAGUAUAAACUAUCAUCUCUCAAAUUGUUAUUAGUAGAGGAGCUACGAAUGUAAACUAUCGUCUAACAAACUAUAUUAGCUGAUGAACUAGUGUAAACUAUCAUUUACUAGAUGUAUGAGCAUGUUAAGAGUAGAAGAAUAAGCAUCUCGCAGGUAAAAAAAUAGGAAAAGAAGAAGACAACAAUAACAAGGCCACAUUUUUCUUUUUCUUCCUUUUUAUCUUUUUUUUUCUUUUUUGUUUGUUUUUAGACGGAGGACUUCAUUUCAUCUUUGAAAAUGUGGGUAAAGAAAUUGUACCUUAGGUUUUCAUGUUGGCUGAGGAGGAGAGAAAUCCACGAAGAGUACGGGAUUGAUUGAUGAAUUAAAGAGGGCAGAAGAACAUGUGAUCAAUUACUCUAAUGACAUGUGACAAAACUUUUAGGAUCCGAGAACCUUCUUAGGGUGCCAAAGAUCCAGGGAGUCUUCUAGGGUGUGCUUCGGGUUGAGAGAGAAUCUCCAAGUCUUCAAUCUUUCGAAAAGCCCUCUUCUUCAUAGAAUAGAAGGAGUAUUUAUAGAGUUUCCUGGAAAGUGGUCACAUGACAGACAUAUGACCUCGAGCAAAUUCCAAAAAUACCCUUAGUCACCAGAGUAAUGCCCAGAUCGUCCUGUCUUUCUAGCCACCAAUCCAAUUCCUCAAUCAAUUCUCAAAAUGAGUUGCCUCCAUAAGCCUUUUACCAUGGAGGCUCUUCCUUGAUCUCAUGAUACAAAGCUCUUAUUGCUCAAACCAUGCUUACUUGCUCUUCCUUCUUUAUUUAAGAAUCUCGUCGCCAGAAAUCAUCGGAAGAACUCUGCGCAAGACCCGGGAAGCCGCGUGUUACAAACCAGUCCCACAUCGAAAGAUAUGGAAAAAAAUUAGUCUAUAUAUAAGGAAUUAUGUUACUACCAAUAAUAUACUUUUAAGUCAUGACCUUUUGGGUGAGCCUGUGGUGGGAUAAGAUGACCCAAUAAUAUACUAUUGGGUCAGUGGUUUAAGGCCUUGGGAUUCGGACUUGGGAUUUGACCCAAGAUUUGUUUUGGGCAAUUUUACUCAGGUUGUUACAUAUGGUAUUAGAGCCGACUCUCGAAAGCUCGGGUCGGAUCAUCCGAUCGGGUUGCCGGAAGUGGGGACACGAAACCAGCCGAUAUUAUCCCACAAUGGCUAAAGAGGCAAAGAUCUGUGGAACGUAUAUGUGAUCGAUUUUGAUGGAGAUGUCAAAAAUUUAAGUGGGGUAGUUUAUAACACCUCAGUCCCACAUUGAAAGAUAUGGGAAAUACUAUUGUGCAAUGAUUUAAGCUAUCCAGCUAUAUUGUUAUAGUUUGGAUAUAUUCCAGUAUGAGAAUUAACAAACCCUGAAAUGGGAUAUUUUUAUUGCACUCUGGGAGUGGUGACGUUGAACAUGGAAGUUGUUCUGGAUAAGAUAGUAUUGAUUAAUAAAGGGCAUAUAUAAAGGGCUGAUCAUCCAUCGUGCUCAUAAGAUAAGAUGGUUCACAAAUAAAUUUUUAAGAAAACCUUUUCAAGAAAAGAAAAAGCUUGUUCACGGUCUUAUGACCUCUCAGAUGUUCAAUAUUGAUAUGAUAUUCCAGGAAUAUGAAUGAUUCAAGAUUUAAUUGCUUUACAGUUUUGUUUCACUGUUAAAGCAUGUCUCAAAGAAAACAUUUAAUUAUUGUUAAGAUAUUAAAGAAUGCUAUUACUUAUUGAGCAAUUGAAUGCUCAUUCUUGUUUUGUUAUAAAUGUUUUCAGCUAAUCAGGCUCCAACGGAGGGGUCUAAUAGAGACAAAGGAAAAGGAAAAGCUACUGAGUAGUAGGUAUAUGUUGUAAUAAAUAGUUUAUAUGUUUGUAGAUAUUUAACUAUCAUGUAAUAAGCACUUAAUGGUUACGUACCUGGUAUUAGAAGAACUCUGAUAUAAUAAAUCUAUCAAGUUUGAUAUUAUAUUAUGUUGAAUGCUUGAUAUCUUGAAGCACUGAAUAAGGGUUUAAAAUACCCGAAUUUGGGGGCGUCACACGCCCGAUUCGCCUCCUUUGCGUAUGUUUAACAUGCUCAUACAACUUGUCUAAUACUCCAUUGAUUAAUUCUAAGUAUCAUUAUAUUUCAUAACUUUCAUGUUUAAUAACUUAGAAUAACAUAUUUUAUCGUCAAAAGCAUCCACGUAGUACGAGCAUGCCCGACGCCCUCCGAUCGCCUCCGAUCGAAUGCACAAUAGUCCUAAAAAUAGCCAUUUUAGCCCCUUCUCCCGACCUCAAAUCUCAAAACUUAUAAAAUAAAAGUUUUAGGUCAACUUCUAAUAUUUUCGAAUCAUCUUGAAUCACCUCAAUCAGAGUUCGUAUAAAAAGGUUAUGCAUGUUUUACUAAAGAACGUCAAAGCUGACUUUCUGCACUUUUGGUUCAGCGCCCAUCCUAGGCCUAUUUCCAACGCCCCGGGGCUGGACGGCAGUACGUUCUCAGCCAAAAACUUCAAUUUUCAAAAAUCUUCAGUUUUGAAUGAUUUCAACAUGUCUACUUUGAAAUAUCAUAAAUUUCUCCUCCGAUAUCGAAAUGAGCUCGUUCUUAAUGGGUUGAAAAGCUUGCAACACCCUCUACAAAUUUCUCAGGACAAAAUAAUUUUCUGGAUUCUCUAACAAUCCUUUAAACUUUCUCAAAAGUCCAUCGAGACUAAGAUUUUUAUCAUUCAACAUACUUUACCAAAAUUUUCUGCCAUGACUUCGUUUUAACAUAUUUUUACUCCGUUCCAAUUAGAAUAUCUUCAUAAAUUCCUUAUCUAUAAAUCCUUAUUCCCGAAUUUUAUUUAUUACAACCCUAUCAACAAUAUUAAAAUCCAAUUUAAGUACUCUAAAUAAAUAAUGUCUAUCCUUUAAGCUUUGGCCUACGAUUCCAUUCUUGUUACCACUUCUUAUGCAAUUUAACAAGUUAUUUAUCAUGAUCAAAGCACACAUAACUUUAUUUACUCAAGGUCCUUCAUACUCUUUCAUUAAACAACCAUCGCCAACAACUAAUGAUUCAAGAAAGACUUCACAGAAAUGAAAAGAUGGAUGGUUCUUACCUUCUUAGUUAUUCUUCUUCUUCCUAGCUUAUGCUUUGUUAGCAUGAUAUACAUUGUUGGGCCCUCCAUCUACCAACUUAAGCUUUUAAGAUAAGUUGGUUACUUAACAUGGUAUCAAAGCUUUGGGUGUGCAAGGUCUUGGGUUCGAAUUUUUCCAGCUGCACAAUUAUCUUUCUAUUAAUUUAACAGUGCAAAUGCACUUUAAUUUCUCCCUUCUCUAUAAAAAAAAGUUGCGUUUGAGAGGGAGUGUUAGCAUGAUAUACAUUGUUGGGCCCACCAUGCAUCUAACAGCUUAAGCUUUUAGAUGAGUUGGUUACUUUGCUCUUCUUUCUCUUCUUAUUGGUAUUCGGCCUCUCUAUUUCUCUCUCUCUCUCACUCUCUUGUUUUCUUUCUCUUCUCUCUAGUUUGCCCUCUCUUCCUUUUUUUUUCUUGCAAAUGAAAUGAAUUGGCUAAGUGAAAAAUCCUCUAGAUCAAUUGAAUUCUCCACUAACUAACUCAACCAUACUUCUAAGGUUAGGUUAACUCGUGUAGGGUUAGGGAAUGAUAGGAUGACACUUGUAAGCUUAAUGUUUAAGGAUGACAAGAAGAUAUAAGCUAGCAUUAAAUUAAAUUUUCACCUUGCUAGAUGAGUCACACAUACUCUCCCUUUUGCUUCUUUAAUUGGUUGGAUCACCCCUCCCUUUCUUAGCUCAUAUUUUAAUUAUCCCAUGUGGGAUAAACAUCAAUCCUCUCCCUUAUCUUACUUUUUCACCCAACUUAUCUUUUAUGAGAUAACUACUAAGUCUCAUUCCUUAUCUUUUCUUCGAUAAGCCUUGUCAUUAAUCCUUAUCUCUUCCUUGUUUUCCUUCAACCCAAACUUACCAUAAAUAGAAAGUUUCCAUCUCACCUUCUCUCUUCUCCUUGUCCAUAUUCAAAUCCCCACAUGUUUAAUUCUAGCAAAUGACACUUGCCCUCUUAUAACUUUGGCUCCUAGUUUGGCUCACUUUUUGGCUCAAAGACCAAGCCAUGGCUCCUAUCCUUUGACUCUAAGCUUAAGCCACUCAAACCUUAGGCUCAACCCUUAGCUAAGCCCCUUUAAAUUCCUAACCAAGUCAUUUAAACCUUAGGUUUGGUUAGACUAGAAUUAAUUUAAUUUCUCUUUUUCUUUUAAAUUAGUUAGAUUUCCUAAUUUUUUAGUUACAUUUUUCGUAAUAUGCUUGGUUAGCUGACAAUCCGACUUUUGAUUUUCAAAAAUCCAAUUUCGCCACCAUUCCUUCUUUCCCGAAUAAACGCUAUGUAGUUCUUCGAAAUUUUAAAAAAAACGAAGUUGGGUUUUUAGCGUGAAUAGUUUUUUUUCAUACGACUUUUUCUAGAAAAAUAUUUUAUUAGAGAUUUCAUCUCGCCUUCUCAAAUAAACACUAUGAUGUAAUUCAAAAUUCUCGAAAAAGUAUGUUUAUUAGCGUUUUUCUGUGAUUUUAAAAAUAGUAACUUUUUCGUCUUUUUCUCGAAAAAAUUAUAUUCUCCCAAAACUCCCAACACUUAUACAUAAUCACGUAACACGUAAACUAGGUCAUUAAUCGACCUAAAUCAUGUAACACAUAAUAAUAUCUAUAAAAUUUUAUUUUAUUAGAUAUUCACAAAUAAAACCUAUUUUCAAGCCUAUCUGAAUUCUCGGGUCGUCACAUAGUAUUUAUAGAGUUUCAUGGAAAGUGUUCACAUGCCAGGAACAUGACCUCAUGGAAAUUCAAGAAAUACCCUUAGUCACCAGAGUUAUGCCUAGAUCAUCUUGUCCUUCUAACCACCAUGCAAUCCAAUCCCUCAAUCAAUUUCAAAAAUGAGUUGCCUCCAUAAGCCUUCUGCCUUGGGACCCAUGGAGGCUCCUCCUCGAUCUCAUGCUUCAAAGCAAUUGUUGCUCAAACCAUACUUUCUUACUAUUCCUUCUUUAUUUGAGAAUCUCGUCGAUGGAAAUCCUCGGAAGAACUCUGCGCAAGAACCAGGAGGCCGCGCCUUAGGGGGGCAAUCCUUAGGGGGCGGAACCCUAGGGAGCUGAACCCUAGGGGGGCCUCCUUCAGUUCUUUUCGUUCGUUUCAACCUUUCUUGGUCAGUUUUCAUCAUUUUCUCAUGAUUCUUGGUCCUGUAAGAAGCCUUUCUUGUCAUAGAGAUUAUAAGGCUAAUCAUUAUUUGGAGUUUCACAAGAUUUUAGUUUAUUUUUGUAGUCCAGGCUUAUUUCUUUGUCAUUGCAUCGAUGAAACCCCUUCUAGCAUGCCAAUCGAGAAAAUGAGGUAGCAUAUGCCCUAGGGUGCCGAACCCUAAGAGGUAAUUUAGAUUUCUUUUGUCCAUCUUUUGUCUGUUUUCCUUUUUUCAUUACGAUAGUUCCAACCAAAUCCAGUCGGAGAAGAAAUUGGUUUUAUCUUUUCUUUAAGGAGAAGUCAUCUUGGAGUGGUUGAACCAUAGGGUGGCCGAACCCUAAGGGGCCAAAAUCCUAGGAUUUUUCCCUUUUUGCUGAUUUAAUGCUUCGUUCAUUAAUUGAAGUCUUGUUCAUUUACUUUCGUCUUUUCAUUUAAUUCAAUUAAAUCAUAUGUAAACCCUAAUUUGUACUUGGGCUCACAGAAAAUAAACCUAAGAAUUCAUCAAAGGAAAUAAAAGAUAAAUGACAAUACAAAUAUUGCGUUUUGUUUUGUCUUAUUUUUUUAAUUUUAUUUUCAAAUAUAUACGCAUGCAUGAUAAAGAUUCACAAUUAUGUAUAUAUAUAUAUACAUAUAGAUACAUAAUAUGGUAAAUAAUAGGUGGUAGUUGUUUUAUUUAUAAUAUGGUAAAUAAUAGGUGGUAGUUGAUUUAUUUAUUACAUGCUAAUAACAGCCAUGAGUUGAUAGUUGAUUUAUUUAUUAUAUGCUAAUAACAGCUAUCAGUUAUUGGUUGAUUUAUUUAUAUAUCGUGCUAAUAACAACCAUCAACUUGUAUAUAGUUUCUUGAUUUACUGCUGAUCGGAAGAUUACUGAUCGUUCAUUUAGGCGUUGGUGGGACUAAUGUUAACACCAUAGAUAACUAAACCCGUCUUCAUAGUCACGCUUUCAGUCCCGUCAAGAGCAAAUUUGAUAUCUCCAUAGUCAAACUUAUUGAAGAAUUCCCCAGCUUUGAGCGAAAAUGGUGUGUUUCUCGGAUAAUUCAUCAAUCCAUAUCCGUUCACUUGCGAGGAUCCAUUCGGAAGAGUAAGUGUAAGACUCACCGGACUUGCUAUGUUAAAGUUGUCUUUCAGCAGCACCACAAAAGAUACCUCAUAAGAUAAAUUUUCAAGCUUUUCUGUCAUAUAGUUUCCGUCAACAUGUAGGACUAAGCUACCAAUUAAUUCAGCACUGUCAGGACUGUAAAAAAUGAUAGUAGAAUUAAAGUCAGAAACUUUUGAUAUAAGGAGCUUAAAUUCAUUAAUAUAGUACAAUUAAUGCGAGUCCUUCUAUCUAACUAGACUUCAAUAAAAUUUCUUUAGUCCUUCUAUCACUUUAAUUUAAUGACAAAGUUGCUUAUAUCCCUAUUUUUAACUGAAUAAAAUUCAGGUGUUUAAGCACAAAUCUUGACCUUUGACGUCAAUUAAGUUAACUAAAUCUUAUUUCUACUUACGUAAACUUCCAGCCCGAAGGGUUGAAAUAAUUGAGUUUCUCAGCAGGUAUAUAAGCGCCAGAACUUUGAAUAAGACAAGAAAAAAAAAUUCAUAUCAUCCAUUACAAAAAAAUCUCACUUGCAAAAUUUACAAAUAUUAAGGAUUAUUUUUGUUCUAUAACCAACUUUAGCUAUAUAUAUGAUGUUUGUUUACAAUUUCAGUAGACUUACCUUCUGCCCUAUUCCGUUGUUUUGGAGCAACUCCAUUUCCUUGGCUUGGGACAACAAUGCCUUGAGGUCAACCUCAUUAUGCCUCACUACUUGUGCCAUCUCCUCGAUCGAUCGAUAACUAUCCUUUAAUUCUGCUAUAUAUAUAUAUAUAUAUAUAUUUUCUGUUUCUAUUCUUGAUGUCUAUAUAUCUCUCUUCCAAAGGCUAGCUCUAUUUAUACUGGCACAAACAGAGGGUACUGCGAUUAUUAUAUUCCAUAAUAUCCUAUCUUCAAAUAUUCCUUCCCUUUUCACAGUAGGGAUCCGAUCCCGAUAAGUUUAACAUCAGCAUCAUCAUCAUCACCAAGGAUAUAGAGCAGCCGAUUCUGUUUGAUAAUUUUGUUGGAAUAAUUCUUUUCCAUUUCUCAGUUCAAUAAUUCUUUCUUUAGCUUGUUGCGCAGGCAAAAUUCCAUGAAGGCGAAAGGUACGUAGGCAUCCUAGUAAAUGAUGAUUUUCUUCUAACCAGAAGUAUGAGCAGGUUAAAAGUAGAAGAAUAAGCAUCUCGCAGGCCAAAAAUAAAAAAAAAAUCGAAAAGAAGAAAAAGAAAAGAAGCCACCAAUAGCAAGACCACAUUUUUCUUUUUCUUUCCUUUUUAUCUAUUCUUUCUUUGAUUCUUUUUUAUAAUUUUUUUUAGAUGGAGUCUUUGAAAAUAAGCAUAAGAAUUCAUUAAAGGAAAUAAAAGUGUUGAAAGUUGUCUUGCAUUAGUCUUCUCCAAAUUCUGUUCCCCUUAGACUUUAGAAUUUAGCCUUUCCCAAAAUUCUGUUCCCCUCAGAUUUCGGAAUUUUGCUUUCCUCAUUUCUUGUUCUCCUCUCCAGAUUUCUCCUAUAAAAGGGAGCUUUGGUGUAAGACCCCAACUUUUAUGAAUAAAGACGAAUUUUUCUAUAAAUAUAAUUUUUGAUUAUUAAGAUGUGAAUUUGAAAAAAUAUUAUAGUUGUGAGUAAUAUUUAAAAAUUUUACAAAGUAAACAAGGUGUUAUAAAAUAUUCGGUUGGUCGAGGAAUAUUCGUUUUAACAGGGAAUAUUCAUACGACGACACAAUCAUUGGUGGACCCCACAACGAAAGUAUUGUCGGAGUUAGAAAACGACAGAAAUAUCUUAUUAUGAAAAUAAUGGCGAAAAUUUUACCGUUAACUGUUGAAAUACCCGUUAGUAAAAGUACAGUAAUACGUAUGGUUGCAUAGUAGUACACGGUAUUAAUUAUUGAUGCUUACGUGAGAAGUCACUCAGUUAUACUCAAUUAUUGUUACAGUAAUUGUUGUAUCAUAUCUCUUAUAUUAUUGAUUCAAUUAUUGUCAGUAUCAUCUGCAUAAUAUUUUAUAUUAUUAAAUCAAUAAUUGAGACGAUAAAGUUAUUCAUAUUAUUAUUUACAAUAUUGACGAUGUCUAGAAGUUCUGUCAAGGAGAGGUUAGGUCAUUUAAUUGCGCGCCAAUAGGGAGAAAUCCUUAUCGGAAAGCCCCUCUUUCCUGAAAACGAUCUGGUUGUUAAUAUUGCGAGUUAUAAUAAUGAUGAAUAAAUUGAAGGAAUUUUAUGAAAUAUUUGUUGUAAGUUUUGCUUAUUAUAUGGACCCCCAUUUAACCAUUUUUCAAAAUAAUCGGUAAAAAAUUAUUCAGUAUUUUUUUUAAUAAAAAAGGUGGGGCCACAUGUGGGGCCCACUGAAAGAAAAAUGGGGGGGGGGAGAUGUUUAUGUUUGUCAUGGGUGAAGGUUUGAUUAUAUAUAUAUAUAUAUAUAUAUAUAUAUAUAUAUAUUAUAAUAAGUCUUUUUUUUAUGAAAAAUAGAAUAUAUUAAAUUUUAUUUGCAUAGUAUUUUACUAUGCAGUGCACAGUAAAGUUUUGUGAAUUAGAAAUUCGGCGCCCGUGAAAUUUUCGAUUGUUUUGUCCGUGAGAAUUUCAAACAGUACCCCUUCCAUCAUCCUAUAAAUAUGACGCUUAUUUUGAAUUGAAAAUCACACAAGAAUCAGAGAAUUUUUUUCUAUAAUAUUGAGUAUAUUUCUUUCGAGUUUUAGAAAGUUUUGAGUGUAGAAAACAGUGAAAGUUUUUUUCAAGAAUAUCCCCGCUAUACCAGUCGAAAUACUCUUCUUAGGAUGUUUUUUUGUUCAAUAUUCGUAUGAAAUAAUAUUUUCUUCCAUACUCUGUAGUAUGUAAAUAAUAUUAUUUCGUUUUAGAUUUCGAAUUCUAUAUCCAUUUUGUUAAAGUUUUGGCUCCUAUACUCCAUGAAAUUAGUAGAAUAUCCUUAAAAUUUGCGUUUCAUCCAGUAUCUUUUCAUGGAAAUAUUAUUCUGAGCAUUCUUGAUAAGUUUUAAUUUUUUCAUGCCAGAGUACUAUAUACGGGGUACUAUUCUCAAAUUACUAUUCACGGGGUACUAUUCACUCGGUUACUAUUCAUCCGAGGCACUAUUCAUGACAAAAAUUAAUUUUUUUUCGGUCCAAAUCAUUUUUGUUACAAUAUUAUUCGUGAAUUUUACUCCAUAAUGCAGUAUCAUAUUGACAAUUUGGACAUUAUUAAAUUAUGGAUAAAUUAAAUUAUAAAUCUUUAAAAAUUUAUCUUUUGCUUUCAUUUAAUUGAAUUCUUAUAUCAUUGUCAUCAUCCUGAUGCUUAUAUUAUAAUGAAAGUCAUUUGUGGCCCGUAGUGCAUAGAUGGACUUGGUAUGAUUAUGACCAGGGAUUAUUUGGUAUAAUCAUGACUGUAAUAUUACAAAUGAUGUGGUAAAAGUCCUCAUUGGCCCGUAGUGCAUUGAUGAACAGUUGUUUUCAUGAUCAUGACCAUUGAUGAAAACACGAAUAUCUUUGGCCCGUAGUGCAUGAAUAAUUUGUGGUUGUGAUACUAAAGAAUAUCCUUGGCCCGUAGUGUAUGGAUAAUUCAGUGAUGUGUAUUAUUUAUUAAGCUGAGUCUCAGCGAUACAAUUGAUGAUAAACCUUUUAAAUAAUAGAAGAUAGUAGAUUUUAUGCUCUACUUAACUCUUCUAAUAGAUUGCUUGUUCCUCUGCAAUUAAACUUGAUGUUUAUUAUAUUUUAUCAGUUUAACAUUGUUGAAGGCUAAUGAUAAUUUAUUCUGUGUUAUCUUAGUCAUAAUAUUUCUUACUGGCUAGUUGAGCUCACCCUUUACUUUCAUUGUUCUCUUCAGGAAAUGAGAAUAUAGCUGGGAUCGACUAGUCGGGGAACGGAGUGACGGUCCAAAUGAUAACAUUAGUAGUCCUCACUAUUCUGUGAAAUAGUGUGAUAAUAAAUGUAAUGAGGACUUAUUUUGAGUUUGAAUACUGUCUAGAAGACAAUAUUUGUAUUAAAACUCACAACUCAUGUUAUAUAUUUAAGUUUAUAUUUGUAUUCUGUACCAUGUAUUUAACGAUUCAAAAUGGGUGAUGUAUACCUAUUCUGGGGGCGUCACAGUUGGUAUCAAAGCUUGGGGAUAUGAUCCCUGGCUGAGAUGAGAGACUAGAACUAGGAGGGGAGAGUCAGGUAAUUCCUUUGCUAGUAUGACCUACCUAAGUUUAUUUGUUAUUUAAUUAGUCGGUCAGAAUAUAGGGAUAAUAUGUUGCAUGUCAAUUAACCCUUGUUUUGUGGCAGUAUUUGAAAAUGACAUCCGAGAAUGUUGAGAAUAGCAAUGGAGUACAUGAGACCGUUGAAUCACCAACGAUCAAUAACCAGGAUAAUGUGCAUCAGGAAGGCAAUAAUCCUCAUGCAAACAAUAACUCCAACAAAAUAAUGAACGACAAAAUGUUUAUGAGCUUUCUUCAAUUCAUGCAACAUCAGGCAAGAGAGACUCCUGUUCAAAAUGUAGGUGGAAAUACCGGCAACUCUCGAACGGUCACCGCUAAGCAAUUCAAGGAGCUGGGACCACCGAAGUUUUUGGGAAAGCCAAAACCACUUAAGGCGGAGACAUGGUUAAAGCAGAUCACUAAGAUAUUUGAUGUCUUUGGAUGCUCCGAGGAGCAAAAGGUUCCCUUUGCCACCUUCAUGUUGCGAGGAGAGGCAGAUCAUUGGUGGAAAUCUGUAAAAUGUACCCAGCUUGCCACAUUAAAGAUGUCUUGGGAGAAGUUUCAAGAACUGUUCAACGACAAGUACUUUUUCGAAAGUAUUCGUUAGAUGAAGGAGGUGGAGUUCAUCAGGUUGGAAUAAAACAAUAUGACCAAGACGCAGUACGAGGCUAAGUUUGCGGAGUUAUCCCGGUUUGCAUCUCAUUUGGUUGUUAAUGAGGAGAGAAUGACGCGGAUAUUUUUAAGAGGUUUGAAACCUGAGAUAUGUCAAUAUCUCAUUCUCACAAACUUUGCUUGUAUUCAGAUGUUGUGAAUAUUGUAAUAACUCGAUAUUUUCUAUAUAAUUAAAUCAGAAAUUUUACGUAUGAAUUUUUUUAUUUAAUUAUUAAAGUUGGAAAUAUGUGCCAGGUAAUGUGUAUAUGUAUAUAUGUGAUAAAUAAAAUAUAUUUAUUACAUGAAUAAUUACCAAUAGUUUUAUUUUAGAAUUAUUGCUCAUUAUAAAUUAUAUUAUAAUAAUAAUUAGUUUUAUACUAAAAAUGUUUUCAUUAAUUCUAUUCUAUGAAAAUAUGUUUAUAUAUUAUUUAAAAAUUAUAUGAAAUGAUUAUAUAAUUAUUAUAAUGAUUAUUCUAUUUUAUUAUAUGAAUUUAGUUCAGAUUAUUUAAGUUAAUUAUUUUAACUUAAUUAUUAUUGUUAUGUAUGCAAGAUAAAUCAGAUAUGGAAUCCAAACCCUAAUUUUGGAUUUUGAACAAGGAAUGAGAAUAUUAAUAUAAUAUUAAUUAUAUUUUUAUUUUUCAGUGCUAUAAAUAUAUAUGUUAUGUUUGUAAGGUUAAUCUGGGGAGCAAUUUUCUUAUGACCUGAUAAAACCCUAAUUUGAAAGUCAAUUACGACUGUAAAAUUUGUUAAGUCAUUGUGAUAUGUGGUCUAUGAUUUGUAUUAUAAGUAUUAAUGUUAAUUCUAUAAAACCCUAAUUAGUAAUUUAAAACUCUAUUUUUCUUAAAUUAGGAACCCUAAACAGUACUUAGCUAUCCGCUAAGUGAAAACCCUAAUUUAAAACUCAGCUAUGAGUCGAGACUGUUAUGUAACUGUAUUAUUAUGUUUAAGGUUAAGUAUUAUAGAAUUUUAUAUUAAUUAAAGAAACCCUAAUUAACAUUUAGAAAUUCUAAUUUCUAGAAACCCUAAUUUCUAAAUUAGUAACCCUAAUUUGCUAAAACAAAACUCUAAUUGUUAAUUUGGCACGCUUAAUGAUAAUUAGUAAAAUUUAAACCUAAUUUUCAAGUCUAUGUAAUGAGGAAACCAAAUUAAUUAUGAAACCUUAAUUUGUAUUUUUAGAAACUAAAAAUUUCAAUUUUUUUAAAAUUAGAAAUCCUAUAACACUUUGUGCUAACCCUAAGGGUCAAACCCUAAGGGUUUGAUAAGUUACUAGUUUGCCCUUAAAUUGAUUAGCCAAAUGACAAAAAUACCCCUCUUGCAUUAUUGGACAUAACUUGUAAGACUAGCCAAUUUUGAGUUGCUCAACAACUCUUACCAGCCCCAUGUGACUAAAAUGCCAGCAAUCAAGCUCUAGAUAUCAGCCAACUUGAUUUCAUGUUUUAUAUAUAUAGACAUCAAGAGAGAGAAAUUUCAUUUAUUAGCCACAUUUGUACACAAACUCCUUACCAACUCUCUCUCCCAAAACCCAUGAAAUGUUGUAGUAGAUCAGUCCCGUAUUGAAGCCCCACUAACACACUUAAGCAAAUCAGCAGCCAGAAUCAAGAAUUGAUGCUUAAAGGUAUAAAAUCCUAAGUCAAAUUUUGAUCUUGUAUGCUAUAUUGGAUUUGUGGUUUUAAUGUUUAAUCAUGUUGAAUAAGGUGUUAAUAGGUGAUCUGGGUUGGCACAUGUUAGAUCCAUAACAUCAAAGUGCUCGAAAUCUAAGUUUUUCAAAAUAUGGAAAUUUUUGUUUUUGUUGUCUGACAGCGAAUGUCAGGCCUUGUAGAUCUGUGCUUAUUUAUUAUUUUGAUGAUUUAAAUGUUUGAAGUGGUAGUCUGGUAUGAGGUCUUUCAUAUGAAAAUGGAAUCACUGUUAUUGGAUGUCUAGAUCGAAAAUUAUUGAUGGUCAAAGGUCGUUGACUGACCAUGACCGAGUAUGAAUCUGGGCAACCUUGAAAGCUUUUUCAGCGUCUGAAAAUGUUUUGGAAGGCUUAGAUCUGUCAGUGUGUAAAUGAUUUGAUGAUGUUAUAAUAUCCAGUUUAUAGCUUGUCAUAUGUAAUUUAUAUUUGUGGCUUUAUAUCCUUUAAACAAACAAUUGAUCGAACUUAGUGGAUGGUCAAACCUGGCCCCUCGGUCACGAUUUCAUUUCUGGGAAUUUCCAGAAAAUCGAAAGAACAGCCCUCUGACAGGGUUUGACCGAGUAAUAUCUUGUAGAUCUGUUGAUGUUAAACUGAUUUGUUGUUAUAUUAUUGUUCCUGGACAUAAGGACUACAUCUUUGAGGCAUUAGAUCACUUGAAUCAUGAACGGAACCUAGAUUAAAUCGAGGAUGAAAGUGACUGGUCGACCACCUGGGUUUCUGGAAAACCCAGGAAUGCUCUGACAACAUAUUUGCAAGCCUAGAUCUCCUUGUGUGUUUGUUGUAUGACCUAGAUAUUGAUUGCUAGUUAUAGUGUUGUAUAAUGACUUCAAUAUUGAUGCUUAAGUUUGCCCAAAAACGAAUUAGACAGAGAAUUAUUAGUGGUCAAAGUUGACCCCUCAAACACGAAGCUGUCAGUGUUCUUGAGCUCAAGAACACCAACAGCGACGCUUAGUGUCACUAAAGGCCAAUAGCGAUGGUUUCUAAUAUUUUUAAUUUCUGAUUUUCUAGAAAAUACUUAAAAAUAGAAAAUAAAUUAUAAAAAUUACAAAAAUGGUUUUAAAAAUUAUUUUAAAUUAUGAAAAUUAACUUUUAAUUAUUUGGGAUAUUUUUUAUUAAUAUUUAUAAUUAUUUGAAUAUUAUUAAUAUUUAAUUUAUUUAAUUAGUGUAUUAAAUAAAUUAGAGAAAAAUGAUUUUAAUGUUAUAAAAAUCAAUUUAAAUAAGAAUAAAGUGUUUAAAAAUAUUUUUGAGUUAUAUAUGUAACUUUUAAUAUUUUUGUGAUGAAUUUCAUUAAUUAAUUAAUAUUAAUGAUAAUUAAGUUAUUUAAUAAAUGUAUUAAAUAAAUUAUGAAAAAUAGAAAUUAUGAUUUAAAAAUCAUAUAAAAGUGAUUUAAAGAUUAUAAAAAAAUAUUUUAAGUUAUAAAAUAUAACUUUUGAUAUUUUGUCAUGAAAAAUAUUAAUAAUUUUAUAUUAAUAAUAUUAGAUUUAUUUAAUGAUUAUAUUAAAUAAUUUAGUUUAAAAUGAUUUUAUUAUUAUAAAAUUAUUUUAAAUGAAAAUAAAGUGUUUAAAGAUAUUUUAAGUUAUAAAAUAUAACUUUUAAUAUUUAAAGGAUAAUUUCAUUAAUAAUUUAAUAUUAAUGAUAUUAAUUUAAGAUUUAUUGAUAUUAAAUUUAUUCAAUAAUUAUAUUAAAUAAAUAGUUUUAAAAUGGUUUUAUUAGUUUAAAAAUUAUUUAAAAAGGAUAUAAAUGAAUUAAAAAUAUUUUAAGUUAGAAUUAAUAACGUUUAAUAUUUGGAUAAAUAGUAGAUUAAUAUUUUAAUAUUAAUGGUAAUUAUUUAAAAAUGAUUUUAAAUGUUUAAAAAAUUAUUUAAGGGUAAUAUUAGCACUUUAAAAAUAUUUUGAGUUAUUAUUAAUAACUUUAAUAUUUUGGCAAUGGUUUCAUUAAUAGUUUAAUAUUAAUUAAAUAUUAAUGAUAAUAUGAUUAUUUACUAUUUAAAUCAUUUAAUUAUGAUUCUAGUGUUUGAAAAUUCAUAAUAAAUUAUAAUAAAUGUUUAAAAAUUAUUAUAAGUCAUUUAAAAAUAAUAUGACUGAUAUUUGUAGAUAUUGAGAUACAGGAUAGAGUCUUAGACUCGAUAUUUACCUGAUAAAGCCGUCGGUAGACCGACAUGUUUCAAAAAUUGAUCUAGACUUAGAUAUUUUGACUGUAUUAAUAUUUGUUUGUGAUUCAAUGACUGUUGAAUAUGUGUGACAAUGUGAUUAGGUUAUAUGCUGACUGCAAUAAGCAGUGCUAUGUUAUUCUAAUCGAACGAAUGAUCUUAUUAAUGAUAGAUUUUGGUAUUAAAGAUAAAACUAAGUUGCGUAUUGUAAGCAGCAGACCAGGCAAGUAUCAUAUAUUUGCAUUUUGUUUAUGUGACGCCCCCAAAUCCGGGUUAUCUUUAACUCGGGUUUGGUGCUUACGAUUCUAGAAUACCCAUUCAUACUAAAAAUAAAACUGUCUUAUAUUACAUAAACAUUGAACUUAAAUCCCAGGUUCUAGAGACCUUUACAUACAAGCCAAAUAUUAUUACAUCAUAGUGCUACAGUAUUUAUUACAUGCACUACUUAGGUUCAUUUAAGCACAUGCGCUUAAUAAUUGACUACUCAACAACCUUGCCCUUUCCUUUGUCUUUUCCAGAUGGACCGGCAACCUCAAUUUUAACUGAAAACAUUAUAUUUAACGCAAGGGUGGGCAACAAGUUUGCCCAGCAAGGAAAUAAGCAGCUAAAUAUAAGAGAACAAAAAUAUUACAGUAAUGGGGAUAUCAUACAGAAGGUAUAGAACAAAGUAAUUCUUAAGAGUGUUGAGUCAAAAGUCAGGAUUUAUCAUGCUGUAAGGUCAAAUGACCAGUGAACACUAUACUAGAAUUUACAGUAAUAAUACUGCAAUCUAUGAAUACAAACAGUUAUAAAGCUGUUUUAUAUCCUAGACUCGUACUUCAGGGGAUCAGCCUAAGUACCCUAUAUUGUGCACAACAUAACAGUCUAAUAAAACUUUACAUGUCCUUCAGAAUCAUAUAUACGGUACAAUACGCCCCUAAAAAAGGGUUGUUCGUUCACAGCAUUAUAUAAGAAUCCAUACCACAAUAACAAAAUGGUUUGGAAAGAAUUAACUGAUAAAUUCAUAAACAAUAUCAAUAUAUCUCAACCUUUGUCCAAGCGAAGUAAUGGUAUUGACAUACUUUCAAUAUAACUUUUAUUCAAGAUAGAAAAGUUGAUAUACUAUUCUUUUGAAGCUGAUUGGAAUAAAAAGGCUAUUUAACCUUAUAUUAUUCAUAAAUAAGGACAAACAGUUCAGAAAUUAAAGAACCUGUCCACUGCAGAAUAUUUGCUCAAUAAAGAGUAAGGAUUAGAAACUUGCCUUGUUUGUAGUCUAUCGUUUAGGAUUUCAGCUUAAUUGAAGUAUUUCUCAAAGUCCUACACAGUUAUUUGUAUUAACAAGCAUGUUAAUCACAUAGCUAUGUUAUAUAGUUUGUAAGCUCACAUAUCACAUAAUUUCAGUGAUUAUGGUUGUAGUUAAAUUAUUAUUUUUGAUACAUUUUUCAAAUAUCUCAUCCAUGCUUUCAAGAGACAUUUUUCACUUUGAUGGGUUUCAACAAGCUUUCAACAAGUAAUAGAAAUCAUAUUACAGUCAUCAUUUGCAUUAACCAAGUAUGUUAGCCACAUAGCUAAGUCAUAUAUCAUGUAGUUUUAAUGGUCAUGGUUAGAUUUCCUAUAUUUGAUACAUUUUUCAAAUACCUCAUCCAUGCUUUCAAGAGACAUUUUUCACUUUAUUAGUGUUCAAUAUGCAAUACUUUACAACUACCAUCUCCAUUUCCUUAGUAACAUAGUAUAUAAUCAUUUUAUGUUUCCUUUACUUAAUUUCUAGCAUAUAAGGUGUUUUCAUAGCUUAUUGUCGGUUUUGAAGGUAUUUCUUAUAUGUAUGGUUAACCUAUAGUCUUCCUCAUAGUUUAUAGAUUCAUUUUGACACACCAGUGUAUCAAUUAUCACUGUUUUCACCUAUGAUGCUAAAACAGCCCUUUGAGGCUUUAAUUUUUUUAAACAUGACUUAAUGAUCCCAAUUUAGGUUUACUGUUUAUAUUAGAUUUCAUUUAGAAUUUUUCUCCUACACUUGCUUGCAUCAUAACUCUACUCAUUUAGAGAAACAUAAUCUAUCCUUUAUAGAUAAUCUGGUUACUAAAACUAAAUUUGGAUUCAAACAUGAAUUUUACAAAACAGUCAUUAUUGUAGCUGCUAUACCACAACUGUUGUUUCCCAUUCUACUUGUUGUGGCUAUUGGUAUCAGCUAUAUGCUGCCACUAUUAGGCAGUAAGUCACAUCACUCAUGCCCAAAAAUGCUUCUAAAUUAACCUUUUCAGCUGGCUUUGCAGGCUUUGCAGCCCUUAAUUGAGCCUUACAGCUCAAUAAUCUCUGUAACACAUUUCAGUUAUUAGUCUUAUCUUAUAACUUGCUAUUCCAUUAACAUUUUCUAUGUAUGAAUGCACUGCCAACUGCUACUGCUGGUGUUGCUGUUGCUGCCAAUGGGCAGCGACUAUUAUUUUCUUACCAUAAGCUGUUUGGUCUGUUUCAAGUGCUGCAGUCACAUGUCAUCAUGCUCCAUCAACUAGAGUAAACAAAAAUGCAUGAACUUAACUUACUAACUGCAGCCCAAGAAAAACAAACUCAGCUGUCAAAAUGACAGUGCAGUCAUCUACUUGAAGUUGCCAAGGACAACAGCUAUCCGAAGCUUUUUGCUACUGUCAUUAGCAGCCUCCCUUGCUCCUUAACCCAUUCCCAACAAUCCUCUAACCUCAGUUUUGCUAUAUUUCUAGGAAUAGGCCUCAUGGCUAUAAUCUUUUAGAGUUAUAAGGUUAUCCCAGUUGGCCUAUUAAGCUUUGGCUCCUUGGUUUAGUGACUGUUUCAACAGAGUAGGCAAAGGAGUUUGUCAAGCUAGAAUUACUUAGCCUAAAAACUGAACUAUGCUAAAAAUUUCUAUGCCAAAACAUUACAGUCAUCACAUAUGUUGGGUAAAUCAGGUAAAUAGUGUACUAGUUCUACUAUUCAGUUUCUUUUUACUAAAACAGUCCUCUUAGGUCUUUUAUCAAACAGUUGGUGGGCAUGGUUAUAAGCUACUAGUUCCAUAGCCAUUUGUUUAUAUUCCAACUCAUAUUUUCCCCUUAUUACUCCACAGCCCACUUAUCUCCUUGUGCUUAAAUUAUAACAAUAUCAUAAUGGCAUAACAAUCAAUGAAAUGUUACAACAGUUUAUAUAUAGCAGCUUAACACCCACAUAGCAGUCCUCAAAUCCAUACUAGGCCUUUUAGGCUAAAUGAUCAAAACAGUCCUUAAGUUUUUAACACAAGGAUUAAUAUAACAUGUACAUACUAUGUUUUAUGGUUUAAAGACCCCAAUACCAACCAUCCUGUCUUGACACUAUAACAGCUUUAGACUAGCAAUUUGGUCAUGGUUUAUCACACCAAACCAAUAGCAAGCACUGAUAUGUAUGCCUUUCUAACACUAAAACAUUUUACCUACCAUAUUUUCAUGGUUUAAAGCAUCUAGAGGCAAGGUCCUUAAGUUUAAAAUCAAAACAGCCUCUCAUAGGCUUUUAAAGUAAUAUAAGAUAGCAUGCUUGGGCAACAUGAAAACAAGGACUGCCUACUAUGAAUAUAUUAGAAGUAAGGCAUGAUCAUCAUAAUAAACUUCUAAUAACAGUCCACAUAAUGCAAUAACAGUUCAUAUAAGGCAAUAAUAAUUUAUAUAGCAACUAAAGUCCUUCUAACAGUCAUUUAUGCUUAUUCUAGUCACCACAACAAGUAUACUGUCUUAGUCCAUUCUGUAUACUAGUUCUGGGCAUGGUAAUAUAUUUUACAAUCAUAAAUAACCAACCAUCUUGGACUCCUUUCCAGCCACACUGUUUUGCCAUUAUAGCAGUUUUAGACUAGCACCUUAGGCACAGUUCAUCACAGCAAAACAGUAGCAACAUAGCAUAGCGUAUCAGUCCAGUUAUUACAAUAACAGUUGGUAUAUCACAAGGAUGAUGCUACAGCUAUUCAAGUCUCUUUUAGGCCAUUUUGGCAAGGUUUUAGUAAUAAGUUAUCAAAGCGGUCAUUAGUGUGCAAUACAAAGAUUAUUACCUCAUGUACAUGCUAUAGAAUAUAUGUUCAUGUUUUAAGAGCCUAUAUACAAGGUUUCUUGCUGUUAGUUCAUAACAAUCCCUUAUAGGCUUCAAUUUAAUACACGGAAGCAUGAUCUGAAAAAUUUAGUUAUCAAAAUAACAUGUUUAAACAUAAACAUAUACUCGAGGUAUUCUUUUUCUUUCUAUAUAAUCAAGUAGACAUGCUAUUAGGCUCUAUUUACAGCUAGCAUACCUUGAUACCAUAACAGUCCAAUUAGAGCAAUAUUUUAGGCAUGGUCUAUUACAACAAAAUGGUAGCAAGCACUGACAUGUUUUCCUUUCUAACACAGGCACCUUUUAUUUAUCAUAUAUUCAUGAUUUAAAACAUCUAAAGGCAAAAUCUCUUUGCUUUAAGCCAACACAGCCCUCUUUAGGACCCACUUUCCAAAAAUAACCAUGGUUUACCCUUAUGUUUACAAGGAUAACAUGGAUGUGCAACAUAGAAGUUUAGACUAUCUUCUUUAUAUGGUAUUUAAGAUGCAAAAAUAUAUUUGGAUGUCAUAGAAUGCCUUACCCCAUAUAUAUCAGUCCUUAUUAAGCCUCAAAUCUAGCAUACCAGUUUCUCAGAAUAGUGGCCAAGUCUUGGUUAAUUGCUUAGAUUACAUAUAUGCUAGUAUACAAUAGUUAUACCCAAUACAUCAUGCCACAUAUAACAUAUAAGCAGUCCUUUAUUAAUAAUCAUAGCAUAACAGUCCAUUUAACAUCAUAGCAAUUCAUAUGGUAACACAGAUCAUGCUAACCGAAAUCAUAAUAUCAUUAACUUUUUAGCAGCUCCUUAGCUUGACAAAUUAUCAAACACCUAGAGUGCAGUCUAUAUACUUGCACUUAAUACAUAAUUUCUAGCCCUCUGCCCCCAGCCGUAUGGCUUAAACAAUAUCAAGCAUAAGACCACACUUAUCAGUACCAAACCCAGCAGUUCAAAUAACAUGAAAGCAGUCAGUUAUCAUAACAGCCAUACACGUUUUUGGUCAUUGACAAUUCAUUUUACUAAUUAAUUUAAUAGCCAUCCUAAUCAUUUAUCAAUUCAGUUGUUACCCGGAAUGAAUGGAAAGAUUAGAAAGGCCAGAAUUGGCUUACCUUGCUGAUUCGAAGGUAUCAAGUGGUUGAGCUGCUUAAUUCCUUUUCCCCUCUAGCCGAACUCUUCACUCUUACUCUAUAUGACCGUUGCUGCUAAUUCUUUUGGACUCAGUUAAGUGAUGAGGCUAAUUGAUUUUGGGUAAUAACCUGGCCUUUUUAUGGCUGAGCUUAGCUUCCUUACAGUUGAUCGCAUCACCUUCUACUUGCCCCCUAACAUAUAAUCUAUUACCUCUAGCAGUUAGACUGCUCUGCAGCCACCCUACAAGACCCUAGUCUCUCUGCCAUGCCUUAUCUGUUGCUAACCUGUCUACUAACUAAUAACUGACUAACUUAUAGACUAACUACUGCUAACAACAGAACAGCCUCAGCUCCUAAGUUUACCCCUGUGGGCUGUUGGAAAAAAUCCUAAGGCAAGGCUGGGCAGUGGUUUCAUUUUGGGCCUAGUCCCUUUAACCCAAAGUUUUACUUGUUAAUUUGCUAUACUCCAAUGGGUUUACAGGAUUGGGUUUUGGACAUCCAUUUCACUCUUUAACACUUGGAGCUGCCGAAUUGGGCUAGCAAAUAGACUACAUGCAACGAUCAUGGCAAAAUUAUUAAGGCCCAAUAUUUUAAUAUGGACUCUUGUUACAUUAAAACACAUGGACUAUUAUUUUCUCUAGCAACAAUAGUUAUAACAUAUAUCAUUAAAAUGACUAUUCUAUGUAAUCUUAAAUAAUUCAUGAUGGCACAUAAUUUCUUUGCCCUUUAUAACUCAAGAUGCUAAACGAACUAUUAAAUAAAUAAUAUUUUUAUCACAAUGAGAAUUAACAUAUCAUAAAAAAAAAUUUAUACUCAAAAAUUGACAUUACAAUAAUUAAAUAUUACAUAGGAUGAACUACAGGCCAAUGAGGACUUUUACCACAUCAUUCGUCACAUUACGGUCAUUAUUAUACCGAAUCAUCCCUGGUCAUAAUCAUACCAAGUCCAUCUAUGCACGUAAGCCAAAGAUGACUUUCAUCACAAUAUAAGCAUGAGGAUGAUGACAAUAAUAUAAGCAUUAAUCAAACGAAAAUAAUGAUAAAUUUUAAAGACUUUAAAUUUAUCCAAAUGUUUAUCAAUCACUUAAUAAACUCAUAAUCUAAUAUUAUUAAUAUUAUAACAAUAUUUUAAUCACUUCUUGAACUUAUAAACAAUUUAUUCUAAUUGUUUACACUUUCCCAAAUAAUACAUUUUAAUCAUUCAAAAAUACCAUACUCAUAAGAUUUCAUCACCAAUGAUCAAAUCCCUUAUCAAAAAUCUGCAUAUACCUUAUAUAGGAUUUCCAAGCCAUAAAAUCCAUUUUACCAAUUUUUCAACUUCACAUAACAUAUUUAAUUCAUAUGUUCGUAACUAAACUAUUUUCAUGAAAAAUACCAAAUCAGUCCAAAAAAUUAUUCUUUUUUGGGAUUUAGCAGAAUAUAGUCCCAUAUUGAACAUAUAUUUUUCUCAUAAUUUUUAAAAUUCAUUUACUAUUUUUCAUAUGGCCAAAACUGCCGAAUAUUUAGACAUUUAUCAUAAAUUGUACUUUUGUCCAAAAAUUCCGAAAUUUACAAGGUAUACUCCUAUUAUAUAUGUGUACUCCCAAUAAAAAUUUAACCAAUUUUGGAGUUAACCACAAGGAGUUAUAAGGGUUUACUUUUAAAAUAGUUUUUUCCCAUAAAAUUCAUAACUCCUAAUCUAUACAUCCAAAAAUUGCCAUUUUUGGACACAAUCUAGAAAUCUCAACAAACUAUCAUUUCAAAUGUUUCCAAAAUUUUUGAGGGUCAGAAAAAUUACGAAACUGCAAAUAGAUUUUCACCCGUCAUUCGGUAAUCCAGGUAGACAGAUCAUUUCCACAAUUUAAUAAGGAAUGAAUACAAAGGAUCAUUCACCAUGCAUGCGGUAAUCCACAUAGACAGGUUAUUCCAACAGAAUAAUAAAAAAUAGAAUAACAACAGAAUUCACCAGGCAUACGGUAAUCCGCGUAUACAGGUUAUUCCAAUAGAAUAAUAAAUAAUGGAACCAGGUCAUGCGUAAUCCGCAUAGACAGGAUAUUCCAACAGAAUAAUAAAGAAUGGAAUAACAACAGAAAUUCACCAAGCAUACGGUAAUCCGCGUAUACAGGUAAUUCUAACAGAAUAAUAAAGAAUGGAAUAACAAUAGAAUUCACCAGGCAUACGAUAAUCCGCGUAUACAGGUUAUUCCAACAGAAUAAUAAAGAAUGGAAUAAUAGAAAAUUUUCACCACGUAUGCGGUACUUCGCAUAGACAGGUUACUCCAAUAUAAUAAUAAAGAAUGAAAUAACAAAAGAAUUUCACCAUGUAUGCGAUACUUCGCAUAAACAGGUUAUUCCAACAUAAUAAUAAAGAAUGGAAUAACAACAGCUCUCUUCAUGAAUACGAAAGAAAUAAUAAUACCCCUUACCUUAGAAGAAACUGGAUACUGGAAUAGUGAGGUAGCAGGCUUCUCUUCUUCUUUCUCUCUAUAAUUUCUCUCUAUAAUAAUUGCUCUAUAGCUUUAGUGAAUUGGUGAGAAAUGAAGGAAGAAUGAGCUUCUGUUUAUAGGAAAACAUAGUUUCAAUAAUUGCACAUUUUGGGGCUCGAAAUAUUACAUUAUAAUACCUUCCUCUUUUUCUUUAUUUUUAAUUUAGCCCUGCAAGUAUUAUCAAACUUGCACCACCUCCUCUAAUAGUAAAUCAUGUGAAUUAAUAGUAAAUCAUGUGAAUCAAUAGUUCUAGACAUGUGAAAAUACGAAUUACAGUAUAGUACCUCCAUCUAUACCUCUAUUUUUAACUUAGUCAUGCAAGUAUUAUCAAUCUUGCACCAACUCCCCUAAUAGUACCAUAAUGUGAAUCAAUAGUACACACAUGUGAACAAAUAGUUAUAAUCAUAUGAAUUAAUAGCAAUUAAAAGCUCAUUUAUCCGGAUAAUUACCCGAUUGGUCAAUAUAACCUCCAGACAUCAAUUAUCAUCGAAAUAAAUGUCGAUUCCCACUAACACUAAUAAUUCCAACACAAUGGAACUAUCAAUUUCAUCUUUAAUCAACACAAAUUUAUUCAUCAUUAAUAUUAUAACUCAUAAUAUUUAACAACAAGAUCGUUCCCAGGAAAGAGGGGGCCUUCCGGUAAGGAUUUCUCCUCACUGGUGCGCAAUUACCUAACCUCUCCUUGACAGAACUUCUAGACAUUGUCAAUAUUGCAAUUUAAUAAUAUUAAUAAGUUUACCAUCUUAAUUAUUUAUUUAAUAAUAUAACAUAUUAUGCAGAUGAUACUGUGACAAUAAUUGAAUCAAUAAUAUGAGAGAUAUGAUGUAAUAAUUACUGUAGCAAUAAUUGAGUAUAACUGAGUGACUUCUUACGUAAGCAUUAAUAAUCAAUACCGUGUGCUACUCAAUUCGUCAGCUACCACGUUCGCUCUUUCAUGAUGAUAUUGAAUGGUACGAUCGUAAUCUUCUACAGCUCAAGCCAACGUCUUUGGCACAUUAUACGAUUAUUUUAGGUAAAGAAAUAUUUGAGGGUUUUAGAAAUGAGUUUUGUACUUGGGUCAAUACAAAAUAUGAUUUCACGCUCUGGGGUAGGCAAGGAAGUUCUUCGAGAAUACGUCAGAAUAUUUAUUAACAAUAGAAAUAUCAUUUAAAAACUGUGACUCUCAUCCAAGACUUGGACAACACAUGAAAUGAAGGUUUCUACUAACGAAGUUUCAACCAAUAAGUCAAAGUCUAACUUCUCUGGGGUCAAAUUUAAAUGUUGAGCGCAAGCAAGAGAGAUAAAAGAAUGGGUAGAACCGGUAUCUAAUAAGGUAUAGACUUCGCAAAAAUUUAUAAUUAACUAACCCGUGCUAACUUCGUUCGGGUUACUCGCUUUUUGAGAAGUCAUGAAAAACGCUCUUCCUGAAACCACCGACUUUGUUUUGUCCAUAUCCGCCUUUGGUGCCACCGUCCCAGCUGGACUUGACUUUGGUGCACGACAAAAUCGGGCUAAGUGUCCUUUUCCAUAAUUAUAACAUGUUUUGGACUGCAUCACGCAGUUUGGACUGAUAUGUCCCUCCCCUCCGCAUUUGAAGCAUACAAUUGGUGGUCGUUCUCCUUCCUUGAAAACGGGUGUUGGUGCUGCUGUCUUUGCAUCUUUGUUGAACCUUCUCUUCUUGAAAUUUCCACUCCUAUUAUCUUGGUCAUGAUUACCACCGAAGUGGUUACCAUUCUUGGUGUAAGACCCCAACUUUUAUGAAUAAAAAAUGAAUUUUCUAUAAAUAUCAUUUUUGAAUAUUAUGGAGUAAAUUUGAUAUAAUGUUAUAGUUGUGGGUAAUAUUUAUAAAUUUUGAAAAGUACGCAAGUUGUUAUAUAAUAUUCGUUUGGUCGGAAAAUAUUCUUUUUGUCGGGAAUAUCCGUACGACGACACAAUCAUUGGUGGACCCCCACAACGGAAGUAUUGUCGUAGUAAGAAAACGACAGAAUUAUCUUUUUAUAAAAAUAACGGCUAAAGUUUUACCGUUAAAACUGUUGAACUACUCGGUAGUAAAAGUACAGUAAUACGUGUGGUUGCAUAGUAGCACACGAUAUUGAUUAUUAAUACUUACGUGAGAAGUCACUCAGUUAUACUCAAUUAUUGCUAUAGUAAUUGUUGCAUCAUAUCUCUCAUAUUAUUGAUUCAUUUAUUGUCACAGUAUUAUCUGCAUAAUAUGUUAUAUUAUUAAAUCAAUAAUUGAGACGACAAAGUUAUUAAUAUUAUUAAAUUGCAAUAUUGACAAUGUCUAGAAGUUCUGUCAAGGAGAGGUUAGGUAAUUGCGCGCCAAUGAGGAGAAAUCCUUACCGGAAGGCCCCCUCUUUCCUGGGAACGAUCUUGUUGUUAAAUAUUAUGAGUUAUAAUAUUAAUGAUGAAUAAGUUUUGUUGAUUAAAGAUGAAAUUGAUAGUUCCAUUGUGUUGGGAUUAUUAGCGUUAGUGGAAAUCGACAUUUAUUUUGAUGAUAGUUGAUGUCUGGGGGUUAUAUUGAUAAAUCGGGUAAUUUAUCGGAUAAAUGAGCAAUUAAUUGCUACUAAUUCACAUGUUUAUAUAACUAUUUGUUCACAUGUGUGUACUAUUGAUUCACAUUCUGGUACUAUUAGGGGAGUUGGUGCAAGAUUGAUAAUACUUGCAUGACUAAGUUAAAAAUUGAGGUAUAGAUGGAUGUACUAUACUGUAAUUCGUAUUUUCACAUAUCUAGAACUAUUGAGUCACAUGAUUUACUAUUAAUUCACAUGAUUUACUAUUAGGGGAGUUGGUGCAAGAUUGAUAAUACUUGCAGGACUAAAUUAAAGAUAAAGAAAAAGAGGAAGGUAUUAUACUGUAAUAUUUUGAGCCCCAAAACGUGCAAUUAUCAAAACUAUAUUUUCCUAUAAAUAGAAGCUCAUUCCUUCAUUAUUUUUCACUAAUUCACUAAAGCUAUAGAGCAUUUAUUAUAGAGAGAAAUUAUAGAGAGAAAGAAGAAGAAAAGUCUACACUUCACUACUCCAGUAUCCAAUCUUCUUUGAGGUAAGGGGUAUUAUUCUUUCGUAUUCAUGAAGAGAGUUAUUUUUUUUCAAUACUCGUUAUUCCAUUCCUUAUUAUUAUGUUGGAAUAACAUGUCUAUGCGAAGUACCGCAUACAUGGUGAAAUUCUUCUAUUAUUCCAUUCUUUAAUAUUCUGUUGAAAUAUCUUGUUUGUGCGUUUUACGCAAGACCUGGUUCCAUUAUAUAUUAUUCUGUCAGAAUAUCUUGUCUGUGCUUUACGCAUGACCUGGUUCCAUUAUUUAUUAUUCAGUUUGAAUAACAUGUAUACGCGGAUUACCGUAUACCUGGUGAAUUUUGUUGUUAUUACAUUCUUUAUUAUACUCAGUUGGUUAAAGUUUUGGCUUUUAUACUCUAUGAAAUUAGUGGAAUAUCCUUGAUAUUUGCGCUUCAUCCAAUAUCUUUUCAUGGAAAUAUUCUUCUGAGCAUUCUUGAAUUUUACAUCACAAAGCAGUAUCAUGUUGACAUUUUGGACGUUAUUGGUUCCUGGAUAAAUUAAUUCUUGAACUUGUUUUAUUGAAUUCUUAUAUCAUUAUCAUCAUCCUCAUGUUUAUAUUCUGUUGAGAGUCAUCUGUGGCCUGUAGUGCAUAGAUGGACUUGGUAUGAUUAUGACCAGGGAUUAUUCGGUAUAAUCAUGACUGUAAUAUUACAAAUAAUAUGGUAAAAGUCCUCAUUGGCCGUAGUGCAUUGUUGGACAAUUGUUGGUAUGAUCAUGACCAUUGAUGAAUACACGAAUAUCCUUGGUCGUAGUGCAGGGAUGAUGUUGAUUAUUUAUUAACCUGAGUCUCAGCGAUGAAAAUGAUGAAAAACCUUUUUAAAUCAUAGAAGAUAAUAGAUUUUAUGCUCUAUUUGACUCUUUUAAUGGAUUGCUUAUUUUCGCUGCAGUUUUUGAUCUAAAACUUGUUGUUUAUUAUAUUCUAUCAGUUGUUAUACUGUUGAAGGCUAAGGAUAAUUUAUUCUGCAUUAACUUAGUCAUAAUAUUUCUUACUGGGCUUGUUGAGCUCACCCUUUUCUUUCAUGGUUCUCUUCAGGAAAUGAGAACGUAGCUGAGACUAGUCAGGGAACAGAGUGACGGCCCAGAUGUUUGCAUUAAUUGUCCUCACUAUUCUGUGAAAUAGUGUGAUAAUAAAUGUAAUGAGGACUCCAUUGAGUGUGGAUAUUGUCUAGAUGACAAUAUUCUUCUUAAAACUCUUAGAUUAUGUUUUGUCGUAUUUUACACGACUGUUGUAUAAUUAAGUUGUAUUUGAAUUUUGUACCAUAUAUCCGGCGACUCAAGAUGGGUGAUGUAUACCUAUUUUGAGGGCAUCAUAGUUGGUAUCAAAGCUUAGGGAUAUGAUCCCUGGUUGAGAUGUGAGAUAAGAACUAGGAGGGGAGAGACGGGGAAUUCCUUUGUUAGUAUAACCUACCUAAGUUUAUUUGGUAUUUAAUUGGUCGGUCACAAUAUAUGGAUAAUAUGUGACAUGUCAAUUAACCCUUGUUUUGUGACAGUAUUUGAAAAUGGCAUCCGAAAAUGUUGAGAAUAGCAAUGGAGCACAGGAGACCGUUGAGUCACCAUAGAUUAAUACCCAGGAUAAUGUGUAACAGGAAGAAAAUAAUCCUCAGGUAAACAAUAACACCGAUGAAAUGGGGAACGAUGGGAUGUUCAGAGGCUUUAUGCAAUUCAUGCAACAUCAGGCGAGGGCGGCUCCUGUCCAAAAUGCAGGUGGAAACACUGACAACUCUCGGACGGUCACCGCUAAGCAGUUCAAGGAGCUGGGACCACCGGAGUUUUUUGGAGAGCCAAAACCACUUAAGACAGAGACGUGGAUAAAGAAGAUCAACAGGAUAUUUGAUGUCUUGGGAUGCUCCGAGGAACAAAAGGUUCCUUUUGUCACCUUCAUGUUGCGAGCAGAGGCAGAUUACUGGUGGGAAUCCGUAAAGCGUACUCAACUUGCCGCACUGAAAAUGUCUUGGGAGAAGUUCCAAGAACUGUUCAACGAAAAGUACUUUCCCGAAAGUAUUCGUCAAAUGAAAGAGGUAGAGUUCAUCAAGCUUGAGCAAAAAAAUAUGACUGUGGCGCAGUACAAAGCUAAGUUUGUCGAGUUAUCUCGGUUUGCGUCCCACUUGAUUGAUAAUAAGGAGAGAAUGACGCGGAUGUUUUCAAAGAGGUUUGAAACCCGAGAUACGUCAAUACCUAAUUUCUCACAAACCGUGUUUGUAUUCAGAUGUUGUGAAUAGGGCUCAGUUAUUGGAGCGCGAUAAUGAAUCAACCCAACCAAGAGAGAGCAGCCGACAAGUCGAUAAUACCAGUGGUAGCAGUCAUCGAAGCGGUGACAACAAGCGUGGAGGGAAUCAACAUGCCAAAAAUGGUAAUCACUUCGGUGGUAAUCAUGGCCAUGACAAUAAGAGUGGACAUUUCAAGAAGACGAGAUUCAACAAUGAUGGAAAGACGUCAGCACCAGCACCUGUUGUUAAGGAAGGAGAACAAUCGCCGGUCGUAUAUUAUAAAUGCGGAGGGGAGGGACAUAUCAGUCCAAACUGCGUGAUGCAGUCCAAAGCAUGUUACAAUUGUGGAAGAGAAGGUCACCUAGGCUGAUUUUUUCGUGCACCAAAGUCAAGUCCAGCUGGGAUGGAGGCAUCAAAGGCCGUCCCAGACAAGACAAAACCGGUAGUUCAACGGAGAGCGUUUGUCGUAACCUCCCAAAAAGUGAGGAAUCCGAAUGAGGUGAUCACGGGUAAGCUAAUCAUAAACUCUAGCAAAGUCUAUACCUUAUUUGAUACCGGCUCUACCCAUUCUUUUAUUUCUCCUAUUUGCGCUCAACGUUUAAAUUUGACUCCGAAGAAGUUAGACUUUGACUUAUCGGUUAAAACUCCAUUGGGAGAAACCUUCAUUACAUCCACUAUUUAUAAGUCUUGUUUGAUUCAAAUCGGUAACCGUACAUUACCUGUCGAUCUUUUUUCUUUGAAAAUACUUGCAUUUGAUGUGAUUUUAGAGAUUAAUUGGUUAACUACUCAUCAUGCUAAAAUCGAUUGUUUUCGUAAGGUUGUUAGCUUUCAUAUUCCUAACCAACCUAUUAUGCGAAUUCAAGCAACCAAACAACUAAAAUCAAUCACUAUCAUAUCAAGCCAUAAAGCUAUUCAUUUAUUAAAAAAUGGAUGUCAAGCUUUCUUAGCCCAUGUCACGGAUUUAAAUAAAAAUACGUCAGAUUUGAAUGAUAUUUCUAUUGUUCAUAAAUUUCCUGACGUAUUCCUUGAAGAAAUUCCUGGCCUACCCCUAGAGUGUGAAAUUGAAUUUUGUAUCGACCUUGAAUGUGGUACAAAACCCAUUUCCAAAGCCCCAUAUCGAAUGGCUCCUAUUGAACUUCAGGAGUUAAAAACCUAACUACAGGAAUUAUUAGACAUCAGUUUCAUUCGUCCUAGUACAUCUCCUUGGGGUGCUCCUGUUCUAUUCGUGAAGAAGAAAGAUGGAAGUAUGCAACUUUGUAUUGAUUAUCGGGAGUUGAAUCAUGUCACCAUCAAAAAUAGGUACCCGUUGCCUCGCAUUAAUGACCUGUUUGACCAGUUGCAAGGAGCUAAAUUCUUUUCAAAGAUUGAUCUUCGUUCCGGAUAUCAUCAGUUGAAGAUUAAAACUGAUGACAUUCCAAAGACUGAUUUCAGAACUCGGUAAGGGCAUUAUGAAUUUCUAGUCAUGUCUUUUGGAUUGACUAAUGCUCCUGCUGCCUUCAUGGACAUGAUGAACCGAGUAUUCAAGGAAUAUUUGGAUCACUUUGUGGUCGUCUUUAUUGAUGACAUCCUCAUAUACUCCAAAAGCCGUGAAGACCAUGAUCAACACUUGAGGCUGAUACUUCAAAAACUUCGUGAGAACAAGCUUUAUGCCUAGUUAAAGAAAUGUGAGUUCUGGCUUGAGGAAGUUGCAUUCCUUGGGCACGUGAUAUCAAAUCAUGGAAUAUCUGUUGAACCAGCAAAGAUUGAAGGAAUCCAAAGCUAGGAGCAACCAAAGUCAGUGACUGAAAUACGUAGCUUUCUUGGCUUAGUUGGUUAUUAUCGGAGAUUCGUGGAAGGAUUUUCUCGAAUCGCUACUCCAUUAACUCAGCUGACUCGAAAAGAUACAAAGUUCAGUUGGAGCGAGAAAUGUGAGAAGAGUUUUCAAGAACUCAAGAGAAGACUCAUUUCAGCACAUGUUCUGACAAUACCAUCUGGCUCGGAGGGAUUUGUCAUCUACAGUGAUGCUUCAGGCAAAGGGGUUAGGAUGUGUUCUCAUGCAACAUGGAAAAGUCAUAGCCUAUGCCUCACGACAACUCAAAGAAUAUGAGAGGAAUUAUCCUACUCAUGAUCUAAAGUUGGCAGCAGUCGUUUUUGCGCUUAAGAUUUGGAGGCAUUACCUGUAUGGAGAGAAGGUGGAGAUCUAUACGGAUCAUAAAAGCCUCAAAUAUUUCUUCACUCAAAAGGAACUCAACAUGCGGCAAUGACGAUGGCUUGAGCUGUUAAAAGAUUAUGAUCAUACCAUCCAAUACCAUCCUGGAAAAGCGAACGUAGUAGCUGACGCAUUGAGUAGAAGAUCAUAUGCGGGUACGAGUGCAAUAUUGUCAACGCUAAGACCCAUUUUGUAUGACUAACGAAGGAUGGAGAUAGAGUUAAAAACUCCAGGGACCCAUGUGAUAAUGACGGAUAUACGAGUAGAACCGACUUUAAUCAAUAAAGUUAAAGCUGCUCAAGCUACAGACCUGGAGCUGAUGCAUAUGAGGAAGAAAGUGCAAGAAGGUGCUAUUCCAGAAGCAAGAAUCGAUGAAGAAAGAAUACUUCGAGUCAACUCCAGACUUUGUGUUCCUAACGAUUUUGACUUGAAGUAUAAAAUCAUGAUGGAGGCAAACAACACACCGUUUGCAAUCCAUCACGGGAGUACCAAAAUGUAUCGUGAUCUUCGACAUACAUUUUGGUGGAGCAAUAUGAAGAGAGAGAUAGCGGGGUUUAUCUCAAGGUGUCUAACUUUUCAACGAGUCAAGGCGGAGCAUCAAGUGCCAAAAGGUCCAUUGCAACCACUUGAAAUUCCAGAAUGGAAGUGGGAGCACAUUACCAUGGAUUUCGUUACUGGUCUUCCCAAGGUUUCCCAAGGCGUAGAUGCGAUUUCGGUCAUUGUUGAUAGAUUGACCAAGUCUACUCAUUUCUUACCGAUACGAGAAACUUAUACACUUGAACGUCUUGCUAGUAUGUACAUAAAUGAGAUUGUAAGAUUGCAUGGCAUGCCAGUAUCCAUAGUUUCUGAUCGAGACCCAAGAUUCACUUCAAGAUUUUGGGUUAGUGUGACGCCCCCAAAAUAGGUCCACACGAACCAUUCUGAGUCGCCAGAUAUCACACUAUAAAAAUCAAAUACAAACUUUAUUUAUACAACUGUUGAACUGUCGUGCAGAGUACGACAACAGUUAACUGUGAGUUUUAAUACAAAUAUUGUCAUCGUAGACAGUAUCCAAACUCAAAUUGUUACAAUGCCAUAUAAAAUACAGCAGCAAAUAUUUUAAGACCCCAAAGAAGAACGAGAAGAUUACUAUCAUAUUCAUUCUAAUGAGGUGCACUUUUGACGCUUUCAAAGUCGGGUUCUCAUCACCCUUAUUGUUGUUCACCAACAUCAAUUAUUAAGUGACGUAUAAAAUACAACACACACAUCUUAGGUCUUUAAUACAAUUAUCGGUUGCAUAUCAUGCCGUUUUAUAAUGUAUUGAGAAAUUUCGACAGUCUCGGACCAUCACACUAUUUUCCUGUUAUCCCCGCUCGACCCAGCUACACUCUUAUUACCUAAAAGGAAUUGUGAAGCAAAAGGGUGAGCACAAUUAGCCCAGUAAGGAAUAUCAUGGCUAAGAUAAUUAAUUUAUCAACAGCCUUUAUCAGAAUAAAUCAGAGAUUUAGAACAUAUGGUAGAUAAUAAAACGUUUCAACCAUAGUUGCAGCGGAACGAGUAAUCCAUUAGAUGAGUCAAGUAGAACAUAAUGUCUACUAUCUCCUCUAGAUUAAAAGUCCAUCGUUGAUAUUUUAUUCCUGUAAUACUCAUCAACAGUUCUUUGUUAUACUUAAGACAAAUAAAACUUUCAACACUUGUCUUCACCUGAACCACCAAAGAUGUUAGUUAAAUUCACAAUUCAUAUUUAUAAUAAUGUGAAUUAACAGUUCCUUCUUUCCACCAAGACUUAAUAGAAUGUUUACUCAAUAUCUUUACCCCAAAGGCUGAAGGUAUUCAAAUGUAAUAACAAUGAUCAUACCAAUCAGUUGUCUAUCUUUGCAUUACGGGCCAAAGAUAUUCAACUAUAGAACCAAUGGUCAUGAUCAUACCAAUCACAUCAUUGAAUUAUCCAUGCACUACGGCCAAGGAUAUUCGUUAGUAUCACUAGUGGUCAUGAUCAUGUCAUACACCUGUCCAUCUUCACACUACGGGUCAAAGCUAUCAAAUAACAGAUCAUCUUUGCACUACAGGCCAAAAAUAUUCAACAACAUAUCGUCUUUGCACUACAGGUCAAAGACAUACUACUGUAAAACCAAUAACCAACAAUAUAAUAAAGAAUGGAAUAAUAAAAGAAUUUCACCAUGCGUGCGUAAUCCGCACAGAAAGGUUAUUCCAACAUAAUAAUAAAGAAUGGAACCAGGUCAUGCGUAAAUGCACAGACAGGAUAUUCCAACAGAAUAAUAAAGAAUUGAAUAACAACAGACUUCACCAAGUAUACGGUAAUCCGCGUAUACAGGUUAUUCCAACAGAAUAAUAAAGAAUUGAAUAACAACAGACUUCACCAGGUAUACGGUAAUCCACGUAUACAGGUUAUUCCAACAGAAUAAUAAAGAAUUGAAUAACAACAGACUUCACCAGGUAUAUGGUAAUCCGCGUAUACAGGUUAUUCCAACAGAAUAAUCAAGAAUGGAAUAACAACAGACAUCACCAGGUAUACGGUAAUUCGCGUAUACAGGUUAUUCCAACAGAAUAAUAAAUGGAACCAGGUCAGGAGAAAUUCGCACCGACAGGAUAUUCCGACAGAAUAAUAAAGAAUAAAAUAAUAGAAGAAUUUCACCAUGUAUGCGGUACUUCGCAUAAACAGGUUAUUCCAACAUAAUAAUAAAUAAUGUAAUACAUAAGGAUUUCACCAAGUAAAGGGUAUGACGCUUAUACAGUUUAUGUAUAGGGUAUGCCUCAUAUACAGGUUAUUCCAACAGAAUAAUAAAGAAUGGAAUAACAGAAGUUCUCUUCAUGAAUAAGAAAGAAUAACACCCCUUACUAUAAUAAUAUUAUCCCUUACCGUAAAAAAACUGAAAAUAGAGGUAGUGAAGUAGCAGAAUAGUCUUCUUCUUUCUUUCUAUAAUUUCUCUCUCUAGAGUUUCAGUGAAUUCGUAAGAAAAUAAUGAAGGAAUGAGCUUCUAUUUAUAGAAGAAUGGAUUGCAUAGUAACUAACUCAUGAACGGUCCAAAUUGAUUUACUUUAAUCUGACGGUCCAUAUUUAAAGCAAAAUCUUUUAAAUAAAAUAUAAUAUAUUCUAUUUAUAAUCUAAUAAAAUAAAUAACUUUAUGUAAAUACUAUGCAGGCACUAUGCAAAUACUAUGCAUAAUAAAAUAUAAUAUAAUCUAAUUAUUGUCUAAUAAAACGAAUAACUUUAGAAAAGUAUUAUGUUUUAUAUAAAAAGAUUUUACUAUUAGUCUAAUAAAAUGAAUAACUUUAUAAAAGUAUUCUGUUUUAUAUAAAAAGUUUUUCUGUUUUAUUACGUUAAUAAUACGAAUAAAACAAAACUUCAUCAUCGCUUACUUUGAAAAUUUUUCAAAUGUCACCCUUAACUUUAAACUUUUAUCAAUUUAAUCAUUUACCAAAAUAGAAAAAUUGAAUACUUUUAUUUCAUAAAAUUCGGGGUCUCACAGUUAGUUUGCAAAAAGCUAUGGGCACGGAUUUACGAUUUAGUUCGGCAUAUCAUCCUCAAACGGAUGGGCAGUCGGAAAGGACUAUUCAAACUCUUGAGGAUUUAUUAAGAUUAUGUGUCCUUGACUUCAAGGGAAGUUGGGACAAGUUCUUACCAUUGGUGGAGUUUUCCUACAACAAUAGUUAUCAAGCAAGUAUUGGCAUGACUCCAUUUGAAGCGUUGUAUGGAAGAAAGUGUCGUUCUCCAGUAUGCUGGGAUGAGGUGGGUGAAGCAACGUUGUUGGGACUGGAGUUGGUACGUAUGACUACGAAAAAGAUUCAAACGAUCCGACAACGUAUAAAAACCUCACAAGAUNNNNNNNNNNNNNNNNNNNNNNNNNNNNNNNNNNNNNNNNNNNNNNNNNNNNNNNNNNNNNNNNNNNNNNNNNNNNNNNNNNNNNNNNNNNNNNNNNNNNUAUAUAUAUAUAUAUAUAUAUAUAUAUAUAUAUAUAUAUAUAUAUAUAUAUAUUGUCCAAAAUUAAUUUUUAGUUUUUGAGAUGGCAUGUAACCAUCACAUAUAUAUUUCUCCUUAAUGUGAUUGCAUUUAAGCCAUAACAAAGAAAAAAGUUUAAAAUAAUCUUUGGUGACAGCCAAGACCAUCACGAAAAGAAAACCACAUGUGAUGGACCUUUAUGAUUACAUUUAAAGUAAUCUCAACAAAUGGUAUUAUAUGAUGGACUUUUUCAACAAUCACAAAAUAAUAAUAUACAUGACGGCUCCUAGUAGUGGUUAUUUUUUCCAUCACCAUAAACUAUUUGUGACGGACAAGACAAUCACUAAAAAACAAGCAUAUAUGAACAACAAAUAUAUUAGGCGAGGAAUUUACUAGCAAUCACAAAAUAGUAGUAUAUAUGGUAGAUGUUACUCAAUGUCUAAUUGUGCCAUUAUUAUUAAAUAUUUAAGACAAUCAUUACAAUCACUAAAUUUUUCGCGUAAAUUGUACAUCUCUUUUUUAAGUCCCCAUUAAUCUUUAUUUUGCUUUGUUCUCUUUGUAAACUCAUUGUUUUUAUUGUGAAUUCAAAGGAUUUAGAGUUUAUCUCGUUUUUAUAUAACUAACUAUUUACGUUUGUUCUCUUUGUCUCGGUUGGUAUAUAUCUACUUCUUUCUAUGCAAGAAGUCUAGAGUCCAAAUCUCCACCCAAAAAAGAAACAGUGCAAAUGAUGGAGCAAAAUUCUUGCUGUUGGGGAAGAGCAGAUGGACUAAUUGAUGUAACCUUCAAAUUGGUGGGAAGAAAUCUGAAAUGGAAGGAGCAGUAAGCAGGAUUUUUUUUUUUACUAAAUUUAAAUUGUAUUAAAGGAGAAAGAAUGUACAAAAAUCAUGGGAAAACCCAAUCAGAAUAUAGUAUAUACAUCACCUCAAUCAGAAUAUAACAUAGACAUCAUAGGACAUGCCAUAUGAUGUCAUGACUAAAAAAGAAAAUAAGGCCAGAUGCCCAAACAAAAGAGAAACAAUCUCAACAUUCAUGAGAAUACAAUGCAUAGAAAUCAGACACAAAACCAAGAAAAACCUCAUCCAAAGUAGCAGCAGCCCACAAUAGCAGCAAAAGAAAAAUCAGUCCAAAGACCAAAAGGCAUCAUCCAUAACAGAACCGAAAGAGCCUACUGCAGACUAGCAGCACAAUAGAGCACAAGGCCCAACAAGAGAAGCCAACAACAGUUUAGCAAAGCAAAACAGCAGACAGGACAUGGAAAGCAAGAGCAACAAACCCCAAGAGCCCAAUGGCAGCCAUAGAAGUGCAGCAGCUGCAGCCGACAUCAAAUAAAACAGCAGUAAACGAUAGCAGCCAUAAGUACAGCACCACCCCCCAAAUCUGCAGCAUCAAGACAUAGAAAUAGUCACAAUACUGCAGACCAAAACACGCAAACAAUGCAGCAUAAGCAACAAACAGAGCAGCAAAUAGGUCUAUUUUCCUGCUUGUUUUCAAGGUUGUGUAGUAUUUAUUGUCAUUUUAGUAUUUUACAUAUAUGUCCAUUAUGGGUAAAAUAAGUUGUUUGGCAUGGGCAAUGAUGCCAGUGAAGGUUUUCUUUCUUCAGUGCUUGAUGGAAGCUCUCGAGCUGUAGUCACUACAAAGAUGAGGAGAUGCUGAAACCAUUUUCGAGCACAGUGAGAUAUAAUAGUUACAUAUAUGAAUAUGCCAUCUCAGAUGAUCAUGUUGGUGUAACACAGAAGCAUGUCUUCCAUGUGCUGGUACCAUUUCUCCUUCCUUUUCUGACAGUAGGCCUAUGAUUUCUUCUGGGAGUGCUGAGAAAGAGACUGCUAGACUAGAAUAUUGUAUACGGCACUAGAAAUAGGGCAGUCUUUCUGUAAACUGCAGAGCUAUGGUUCCUUGGAAUGAUCAUUGCUUUACAACGCAUUGAGUUUUUUUUUUCUACAUUUCUUUUUCCUGGAAAAGCCUAUUUGAGGGAGGAAAUAGGAGAAGUAGAAAUUUGUUGUGGGUAGAGAUGUUUUGGAUUUGUCCUUGGUUUCAGUAAUUAAACAUCUGCCAUUUUUAUUUGCGAUUAUAUCCGGAGGAAGCUUUUAUAUACUAGAUUCAUAAAUCAAGAAGUUCAAUAUAGGGAGCACCAGCUGCAACAGCAGCAGAGCAUGAGCAGCAACAUUAAUGUAGGUGGAAGCAUUGAAAGGACGUUCUAUUUGUUCAUGCCAUUUAAUCAUGGCAAUCAUUCUAUUUAUUCAUGGUAAUCAUUUUAUUUGUAUAUGCUUGUUCUUAUAUAGCUUAUAUUGACAGAAAAUUUAAAUGGAAGCUAUGAGAACCACAUUUUAUCAAGUCUUUCAGGUGGGUUAGCCUCUGCAUAGCUCUUACUAUUUCUUGCAGCUCGAGGAGCUAAAGCUUCCUAAAGUAUAGAAAUCACAAAACCAAGCAAAUAAGUUUAAAAAAAAAAAAGAACUAAAGAUAGAGUCGCAUGUCUUUCAAAUAUGUUUCAAAAAAAAAACACAUUCUCUAAAACACUGGUAACAGAGCUUCUCUAAAACUGAAUUUCAUGUCCAAGUUCAUGUUAUCAACUUAUAGUCUUAUAUGUAAUCAACAUAACUCAAACGACUUCCUCUUUUUCUAAUAAUUAAUAACAGGGAAAAAAUUUAAAAAUAUGGGUGAAUUGGAGAAAUAUAUCUUACAAUAACAAAGAAAAAGGGAAUCCUAGUCCAGAAACUUGUGCGCGCUCUCACGAAAGAUGUCUCAUGAGUAAGCCUGAAUCUUGACGGAUCUGCAUGUUCAUUGUAGGAGAAAUUUAACAUAAAGAGAUAGCCUCAUGUACACAAAUAUUAAAAUGAAUACUAAAUUCAAACUACAGAAUGAUAAAUAGUCAUUUCUUGAUCGUGCAGCGACAUAACAAUGGAAAACUCGGUCCUGAGAGGCAGUUUCCUGCUCCCAGACCUUCCAGCCACGAAUCUGUACAAGUUAAAAACUUAUUAGCAUUAUAUGUAGAAUCAAUCAGGUGAUAAUAUGAAGAGUGAUAGUGUUUUAUAGAAAAUGAAAAUAUUCGAAAAUUGUUUCGAACAUAUAUUAAAAUAAAUUAUUGUCCUUUUAUUUUAUUAAAUAAAAUAUUAAAAAAAUCAUUGUCUUCUUUAAUGCAGUUUAUAAAGAAACACGGGAAAAUGAAUAUAGGCCAAGUUAGUGAUAAAAGAAAGUGAAUGACAGACUUGGCAGGAACUCUAUUACUGUAGAAAAAUAAAGCAACAAUUGAAAGGAUUCUUAUUUCGAUAAUGAAAGGAAAUAAUAAUCGACUGAUAAUUAUCUGGAACAUGCCAACUACUAUAUAUAUAGGAAAACAUAACUAAAAAACUCAGCUACGUAGGCCUAAAUAUCAUCAUCUUCUUCUUCUUCUUCGAAAUAUUCAUCAUCAUUAAAAUAUUCAUUAUCAUCUUCAUCUUCAUCACUACAUUCUCUAUCUUCAUUUUCUGCUUCCGCUAAUGAUGGAUCCACUUCCGCCCACAUUAGGAUUACUCGUCAAUGGUUGAUCAAAUUUGAUAGAUUCGCCUUCUGAAACAAGAAGUUCUGGCCCUGGAGGGAUAAUAUCAACCACUUGACGUCCAUCCGAUGCAUCCGUUAUGGUUAUUUCGUAACCCCCCUUUUCUUUUCGUAUUAUUUUGCCUACUAUACCUGCUGCUGUAGCAUUAUAAACCGUAUUGUUACUCUUGCUCCCGUCGGGAUAAAUCUGACCCCUUCCCCUGUUUCCGCCUACGUAUAUAGGAUAUUUUAAGAAGUGAACAUCUUUCUUAGUAGCGGGGUCCGGGGAAAGAAUAGGAAAGGUGAUUUCACUAUAUUUUUGACCAGGAACAGGGCCUAUCACAAGAAUAUUUUUUUUAGUGGGGCGAUAGCUCUGAAAAGAAAGAUUGCCUAUCCUUUCUUUCAUCUCGGGAGAAAUCCGAUCAACAGGAGCUAAUUCAAAACCCUCCGGUAAAAUAAGAACAGCCCCUACAUUCAAAGCCCCCUUUUUACCAUUAGCAAGAACUUGUUUUAGUUGCAUAUCAUAAGGGAUUCGAACAACUGCUUCAAAUACAGUAUCAGGAAGUACGGCUUGUGGAACUUCAAUAUCCACGGGCUUAUUAGCUAAAUGGCAAUUGGCACAUACAAUACGCCCAGUCGCUUCUCGUGGAUUUUCAUAACCCUGCUGUGCAAAAAUGGGAUAUGCACUUGAAAUGGAUGUCCGAGUUAUGAUAUAUAUCAUGAGCGAUGCGGAAAUGGAUCGAGUAAUCUGUUCCUUUAUCCAAGAAAAAGUCUUUCUAGUUUGCAUGGUCCAACCAUUGAUCCCGAAAAUUUCUACAAUAAAUUGGGUAGGUCGCUAAUAUAGUUCCCUAUCCGCGAUUCUGCUAUUUACUGGAAUAAUAUAUNNNNNNNNNNNNNNNNNNNNNNNNNNNNNNNNNNNNNNNNNNNNNNNNNNNNNNNNNNNNNNNNNNNNNNNNNNNNNNNNNNNNNNNNNNNNNNNNNNNNGAGAAUCAUCAAGCAAUAUCAAAUUCUGAGUUUGCUCCUCAAUAUUAUAUAAGUCAAAAUCAUGAAACUCUUCCUCUUGAUAUGUCUCUUCAUUACUAUUUUCGGCAACAUCAUAUGUGUUUCUUGCUUUUGUUGUGAUUACAGUAGACCAACCUUUAGCUUUAGUCGACACUGGAUUAGCAUAGAACACUUGUACAACUUGUGAUGCAAUAACAAAUGGCUCAUACGGCUUGUGCCUUGAAUUUGUAUCAAUUGUAGUUAUCCCGUACUUGUUAAUAACUACCCUUUUUUCAGAAUCAUACCAUUCACAUUGGAACAAAAAUACUGAAUUCUCUUCUCCAUAGUAUUCUAGUUCAACUACUUUAAUUAAUUGUCCAUAAUAGUCUCGUUCUUGGCCUUCAAAAGUACAUCCCUAGACUAAAACACCACUAUUUUGAGUUACCUUUCUUGACUCCAAUUCUUUUGUAUGGAACCUAAAGCCAUUGACAAUGAAUCCAUCAUAACAUGUUACCUCUCUAGACGGACCCAUAGCGAGCGCUUUUAGACGCGUAUCAACGACAUCAUCAUUCUUGACUCUCUUUUCAAACCAUUUUAUAAAUGUCGAAUUAUGUUCCUUUUAUAGCACUUUAUCCGACAUGUUUGGACGUAAUUCUUUCAAUAAAUGCUUGUGCUCCCUAGAAGUAAUGAAAUAAAUUAGUAGAUAUAGAGUAAUGAUUUACAUAUCUAAAAGUAAUAAACUUUAUAAGAAUUAAAAUGUCAUACUCGAUGAAAUCAAAGACUUCCUCAUAAUUAGACAAGAUGUAUAAGGUUGCUGCCUCGAGUUCUUUAUCAGAUAGAUCUUCACGUUUUCGUUUUCCUCCAAUUGGACGACCAGGCCUAGGGUGGCUAAAUAUUGAUAACUUUCCAUUAGUUUCAGCUUGACCGCCAUCGUCAUUUCGAUCAGCUCGGUUGAACUUGGUUUGCACCCUAAGAUCAAAAUAUCGAGAAGAAAAGUAAACUAGUUCGUCUAUUAUGUAUGCCUCAGCUAUUGAACCCUCGGGGCAAGCCUUGUUACGCACCCUUUUCUUCAAAGAACACAUGCACCUAUAAUUAUAUUGAAGUUAGGUAAUCACUUUAACUAUAAAAAAGCCUUGGCAAGAAAAGAGAUAUAAUUUAUUAAAACAUCACCUCUCGAAAGGGUACAUCCAACGAUAUUGUACUGGCCCUCCGACCUUGGCUUUAUAUGCCAAAUGAACAAGUAGAUGCUCCAUUGAAUCAAAGAAAGAUGGUGGAAAAAUCAUCUCAAGAUUGCAUAAUAUUUCAGCAAUAAAUAGCUCAAGCUUCUCUAACUCAGCUAACUUAUACACCUUAGAGCAUAUGUCUCGAAAGAAUUUGCACAAAGCAUUUAUUGGUUCCCAUAUAGAGUUUGGUAAGAAAUCACGAAAGGCCAAUGGCAAGAAUCUCUGCAUGAGAACAUGGCAAUCAUGGCUCUUUAGCCCAAUUAUUUUGCAAUUGUCAAGGUUAAUACAAUGAGAGAUAUUUGAAGCAUAACCGUCUGGAACUUUCAACGAUUUAAGCCACUUGCAAACUUGCUUGACUUCUUCGCUUUUUAAAGAAUAUUUAGCUUUUGGCAAUUUAAAUUUCCCAUUACCACUCUCUUCAGGAUGUAAUUCAAAUCUUAUACCAAGCUCUUGCAAAUCUAAACGAGCUUUAAGGUGGUCUUUUGAUUUUCUAGUAAUGUUCAUCACAGUGUAAAAUAAAUUAUCAAAAAUAUUUUUCUCAAUAUGCAUCACGUCUAAGAAAUGUCUUAUUAGAAGCAAACUCCAAUAAGGCAAUUCAAAGAAGAUACUUUUCUUUGUCUAGUUAUGCUCGAUUCCAAACCCAGGAGUCUUAUCGGUACUAUUGUUUUUAUCCUUUCCAAAGAUGACCGAACUAAAUUGAGAUACAAAAUUUAACUCCUCAACACCUGUUAGUCGAGGCGGGGGAUUUCUCCGUUCGGUUUUAUUAUUGAACUUACUCUUCUCAGCUCGAUAUUUAUGAUUACGCUUCAACCAACGACGAUGGCAUCCAAAAUAACUCGGCUUCCUCCCAUGUUUAAGGUUAAAAGCUACACUUGGAUCCAUACAAGGACAUGACAAGGCCCCAUGUGUACUCCAACCCUUCAAUAUGCCUAGCGCAGGAAAGUCACUGAUUGUCCAUAUUACAGCUGCUUUCAUAUAAAAAUUUUGCUUUGAGAAAGCAUCAUAUGUAUCAACUCCAACAUCCCACAAAGUCUUUAGUUCUUCUAUAAGAGGUCGCAAAUACACAUCAAUCUCUCUUCCAGGUCCAUGUGGACCUGGAAUAAGCAGUGACAUAAACAUGUACUCCUCUUUCAUACACAUCCAAGGGGGGAGAUUGUAUGGAACAAGGAAAACUGGCCAUGUCGAAUGAGGUUUGCUAGAAUGCCCAAAAGGAUUAAAUCCAUCAGUAGCUAAGCCAAGUCUUAUACUACGAGCAUCUUCAGCAAAAGAUGGGUAAUUGAGGUCAAAAUAUUUCCAAGCCUCACUAUCAGCAGGGUGCCUUAGCUCACCUGGAAUAUCACAUCAUUUUUCUUUGUGCCACCUCAUAGGCUCGGCCGUUUUUGAUGACAAAUAAAGCCUUUGAAGCCUUGGUAUAAUUGGUAAAAAAACUUAAGACCUUCCUUGCUAUUGGUUUAUUCUUUUUCCCUUUAACACUGCCAUGGUUUUUAUACCUAGAUUCGUUACAAAUUGGGCAAGCAUCUAAAUCUGCAUAUUCUCCUCGAAACAAGAUACAAUCAUUAUUACAUGCAUGUAUUUUUUGUAGAGGUUGCCCAAGGUCCUUCAUUAAGGCCUUGCAGUGAUAAAAUGACUCGGGUAAUUUAUUCUUUUUAGGCAACAUUUCCUUGAAAGCUGAAAGAAAAGCAUCAAAUCCAGCAUUAGACAAACAAUACUUGGAUUUUAGGUGCAACAACAAAGUUACGGCUAAUAACUUGGUGUGAUUUUGACAACCAUCCCACAAGGGCUCGUCUGCAGCCUUUAGAAGGUCAUAGAACUUCUUUGAUUCGCUAUUAGGAUCCUCAUCAAAUUUAGGGCUAAUGCAGCUUGUAAUAUCCCUUAACAUGUCUUUAGGCCAAUUUGCAAUUCCCUCAUCAAUAUCGUCAUCUUAAUUCCCUACUUUCUUAAGUGACUCCCCAUGCUCCGUCCAUGUAGUGUAGUUUGGUACAAAUCCAUGCUUAUAAAGACACAUUUCUACAUCUUCACGUGAUUUAUAGUUUAUGAAAUCACACUUGGCACAAGGACACCGAAUCAUGCCAUCAUCUACGCACUCAGGAUUAGAAAAUGCAAAAUCAAGAAAUGUAUUGACCCCACUCAUAAAUUCAUGUAUAUGUUUAGACUUUUUCCCAACAUGCCUAUACAUCCAACUUCGAUCAUCCAUCUACCAUUUGUAAUUCAAAUAAUUGAAAAAUGUUCAUUUAUGGUGAUAAUUAACCCUUUUAUGAAAUAGAAAAGAAAAAAAAAACUGUACUGACUUUACAACUUAUUUUCUAGCACACUGUUCUUAACAUGGUCACAACUUAUAAUUAAAGAAAACAACAUAUACUACCUGAAUUCAAGAUAAUAUUGGUUAUGAGGUAGUAAAUCAAACAGAGAAAGCGUAAUCAGAGAAAGCAUAUUAGAUUUUCUAAUUAAUGUUCCUAAUUAGUUUUAUAUUAGAUUUUUUACAUGCUACACAGGAAUUGGGGCCAAAUUCGAACAGAGAAAGCAUAAUCAAAAUUCUAAAAUAAUUGGGGCCAAAUUGGAACAGAGAAAGUAAAGAGGGAGACAAUAAACACCCAAGGAAGAGAGGAUUUACCUUCAAAAUCACAAAGCUUAACUUGGAUCACAACUUUGGUACGUAGAAGAAAGGGAGAUGGUUUUAGUUACCGUCUAUGGAGAAGAUGGGAAGAGUUGUUUAGAGCCGCAGAGAGCACUGGGCAGAGGCCGUCGACUGAGAGGGAGUAGUCGACUGUCGACUUUGUCAAGAAAGAGGCAAGCAAGUAGCAACUGAAGCAAUCAAACAAAGAGUGAAGAAGGAGAACUGAAGAUAAGGGCUAGGGCAAAUGUCAAAUGUGAAAGUGAAAUCAGAAAUGGACCGCCGACUCGGUCACUUAGGAUUAUAGAUAGGAGUGAGAUAUAAUAAUAUUAUAAAAUUGUUUUUUUUAAGAAUUACGGUUCGGUUAUUCGGGUAUCCAAAUAACCAGUUUUUGAACACCGAAUCUGUAAUCGAAUACUAAAUAAUAAUUCGGAUAUAACUGAAAUUGUAAAAAAACCGAAAAACCGAAAUAAUUCGGUUAAAAAAUUUCGAUUCGGUUCGGUAAUUCGGUUUUAUUCGUUUUUUGCUCACUCCUAGUCACUGGACAUUUAAUUUUUGUUGGCUUGUUGUUGCUGACUUGCUGUAUUUUGGACAGUUAAUUAGGCUUGCAUUAUUAAGUCAUAAAUUUCAUGUUGGCUUGUUGUUGCUGCUGGACAAGUAAGUUAACAGUUGCUGCCUGCUGGGCAGUUAAUUUGCUAAAUAGUUAACAGGGAAUUUAUGUUGUAUGAUAUUUCGGUUAUUACCCGAAUAUCCGAAAUUACAAUUCGGUAUUCGGUAAUUCGGUUAUUUUCACAUUUCGAUUAGAAUUUUGGAUAGUGGAAUUGUCAUUAAUUCGGUUUUCGGUUAUAACCGAAUAGCUUAUUCGGUUCGGUUAUAACCGAAUGAUCACUCCUACUAAUAACUUGGUAUUUUGAAUCAAAUAUCGGCAUCGACACAUAAGGCUGUAAAAUGAGCAAACAGUUCGGGGUCGAUUCGUACUCGCUCGACUAAAAGUUCAAUUCGAGCUCGACUCUAAAUAUAAAUGAGUCAAAUAUGAGCAAAUUUUAAAGUUCUAUAAAUUACUCGAACCUCCUCAAAUUAUAAUUUUCUAUUGAUACUCGGAUCAUAUUCGUUCGAAAAGUUCAAACUGUUCAGGCUCGAUUCGGAAUCGUACUCGACUCGAUAGCUAAAUGAUCCUCAAUCAAACCUUAUAAUAUACUUGAUAAAAUUUGUGAACCAAAUCUGAUAGAAAUACAUUACGAAAAUUUAAAAAGAUUAUAAAAUGAGUUUUAGUUUUAGUUGGACCAGAUUAAGUAAUCUCAAGUACAUGAAAUUAAAAAUAAAAUAAAAUUAACAAAUUGAAAAAAACAACAACUAGUAGACUCGGGCGUAAAUUAACUUUUAAGGGUUUAAUACACUAUUUGUACGUUCCAAAUUUUAUAUUUGACUUUGUACCAUUGACAUUUAUUUUUUCGUGGGCAUAUAUUUUUAUUAUUAUUAGUUAUUGUCAAUUUUGGUGGAUAAAUUAUUUAAUGUUUGAAGACUAUUUGGGGGAUAUUAAAUAUAUCAUUACUCAUAAUGAUAUUAAAUAUAGUGGGUGCAGAUGAUAGUAAUGUUAUAAAAAAAUUUCAGGCUUCACAAAGAAGAAUAUAAGUUAUUGUAUUAAGCUUCAAUACUUUUUGUAAGAGUAAUAAUUGAUAUUAAAACAUCAUUUUUAUUAAUAAUAUUAUUUUAAAAUAAUAAAAGAGAGGAGACUUAAUUUGUAGCUUAAUCUAAAGAAAGUAUAUAAAUUUUUAAUAUUAUUUUAAUUUAUUUUACUUUUUUGAAUAACAAAUUUGUACUUAAUUACUAGUGGAUCAAUUAAUUCAUAUCUCACAAAUUUACUAAAAAUAAUAAUUAAAUGAUACUCUUUUUUUUGUAGAACAAAGGGUAUAUCAAAAGAUAAUUAAAUCAAAAGAAAUUUAAGCUAAUUAAAUUUAAUUAAAAGAUAAUUAAAAUUUAAACAAACAAAAAUAGACUAAUUUAGUGGCAUAUUCCACUCAUUUUGAAGAAAUGGCGGGAUCUCUGUUUCUAUCUUUAAUUUCAAGUACCAUUGUAUAAACUUCCCCAUCUUUUCCAUAGGCAGCAAACUGAAACCCUACAUCCAUCUUCUACCAAAAUUGUGAUCCCAGUUAAGGUUGUGAUUUCAAAGGUAAGUCCUCUCUUUGGGUGUUUAUUCUCUCCAUCUUUCCUUUCUCUGUUCUAAUUUGUCCCCAAUUCUUAUUUUAGAAUUGUGAUUAUGCUUUCUCUUUUCGAAUUUGGCCCCAAUUCCUGUUUUUAUAGAGAUGUUUUACGAACUGUUAUUGACAAUUUGAUUGUUCAUGUGUUUGUGGAGAUUUAAUAUAUAUAUAUAUAUAUAUAUAUAUAUAUAUGAUUUUGAUAGCGUAUUUACUAAUUUUAANNNNNNNNNNNNNNNNNNNNNNNNNNNNNNNNNNNNNNNNNNNNNNNNNNNNNNNNNNNNNNNNNNNNNNNNNNNNNNNNNNNNNNNNNNNNNNNNNNNNNNNNNNNNNNNNNNNNNNNNNNNNNNNNNNNNNNNNNNNNNNNNNNNNNNNNNNNNNNNNNNNNNNNNNNNNNNNNNNNNNNNNNNNNNNNNNNNNNNNNNNNNNNNNNNNNNNNNNNNNNNNNNNNNNNNNNNNNNNNNNNNNNNNNNNNNNNNNNNNNNNNNNNNNNNNNNNNNNNNNNNNNNNNNNNNNNNNNNNNNNNNNNNNNNNNNNNNNNNNNNNNNNNNNNNNNNNNNNNNNNNNNNNNNNNNNNNNNNNNNNNNNNNNNNNNNNNNNNNNNNNNNNNNNNNNNNNNNNNNNNNNNNNNNNNNNNNAUAUAUAUAUAUAUAUAUCCCUCGAUUUAUAUAUGUAUGUUAAUUAGGUACGUAUAUGUAUGCAUGAAUAUAUAUGAAACUUUGUUAGUUAAUUACUUUGGUUGAGAAUGGAUUGUAGUUUGUAAACAAAUCUAAUAUGAAACUGAUUAGGAAAAGACUUAAAUUGGAAUUCUUCUUUUGGUUGAAUGGAAGGGUUACUCAUUACUUCAUUAAUUUGACAUUAAUUUUGUAUUAUUUUGUUUAAUUAUGUUUUGGUUGGUUAUGUUUUUCAUUUAUUUUAUUCUAUUCCAAGUCAUUAAGAGCACAUGAUGUUUUAGGUAAAACACUGAUUCUACUGGACAGAUGAUUCAUGUACAAAACCAAAGUUAGUGCACACACCCUAUUAUUUAAUAUUCAAAACAUUGGGUUGCUGUUGGGGUGGGUCUGUAGGAGGGCAGGGGUGGAGUUGCAGGGGAGGCGAAUGGAAGAGGGCAAAAGUGCUGGAUGAAGGAGGGACGUUGGCAUGUUCUUGAAUGAUGGUAACCCAUUCUUUAUACAUUUUGAAUGAGAGUGGUUAAUUGCAAAAAAGCACUUGCAAUAGCUACAUUGAAAUUGGUUCCAUUUAUGAGGGACAAGAAAAGCAGCAGUGGGCAGUAAGGAACUGCUAUAACAGUUUUGGGUAUAUCAUUCUAGCUCUAGAAUCUAGUUUGAAGACUUAACCAUAGAGUUUUAGUUUUAGUUGGAGCUGUACAUUCUUUACCAUUAAUGAUUAGUGAUUCUAUUCAAAGUUACCAUGCUUUUUUAAGUUCUCACUUGGGUUUUUGUAAAUGGGUCAAGCUUUGCUUAUUGUGUGCAAGAAAAUCUGAUAUCGCUGUGAAAUCUAUAGUAAGAAAAUUAAAAAUGGUCACUUUGAUAUACUUGCACUUAAUUGAUGCCCACAAUUGUCGUCUUUAAUUGUACUAAUCCAUCAAAGGAGCAUGUCAAUAUUGUUCUAUUCAGCAGUACUAUGAUUUAAUUGAUGCCCUCAUAGUAUCCAUCAAAAGAACAUUUAAUCUUGAUGUAACCAGCAUGCCACGGAACCUGACAUGUGUAGCAAAAAAGCUUUUUACAGUUCAGACAUAUUAGAAAUGAUUGUUCCAUUGAAAUGAUUGUUUGGCAUAUUAGAGGAUCUAACAAGUGAUUACAGUCCAAAGUGGACGACAUUUAAUGCUGGCUACAUUGUCUUCAACUUUUACUUCGAUGUACUUGGUGAAGCAAUCCACACAAAAAGGAUGAAAACAUUCAUCAUUCUUCUUGAAAACAUUCAAUGCAUAUCUCACAAGUGAAAGUUGAACUCUCUUCUUCACCUGAUUUAUCCUCUUCUGUUUUCGCCAAACUCACCUCUUGUUUUUAGCUGUGUGUUCCCCAUUGUUUGUUCUGUUUCUGUUGCAAAAAAAUCAUCAGCUCAUGUGAGAAACAAUUAGAGAAAGUGGAAUUGUACAACAGAAACAUGCAUGAAGUUGUAUAUUAUUGCAAAAUAAAUGGCAACUCUUUCUACAAUUACAAAGAAAAUGCCAAACACAUUUUGAAUUUGCAGCUACAACUAUUACAUGUGUUAUACAAGAGAUGAGAAUACAUUUUGAACAUGCAUGUGUCAAUUUGUGAUCUACAACACAUUUUGAAAAUGCCUAACACAUUUUGAACAUGCAUGUGUUCUACAAUUACAUGAAUUAAUUUGCAUGUGUUGUACUUUGUGUUGUGCAUAUAGUAAUAGGUUCAAUUAAAUGUUGUGUCAAGUGAUAGUGCUAAUUUAUUUAUUUUUUGAUAAAAAAAUGUACAUGCUUGUGGUAUAAUUUCAAACUAGUUUUCCAAUGAGUCAUGAUUAAUUAUUGCUGAUUAAUAUGUUGGGUAUAUAAAUUGUUCUUUGUACGGUUGAAUGUUAUUGUCUUGACAGGUAAGAUGCUAAUUGAUUUUGGAGCUAGUAGAGUAGUGAAUAAUUUUGAAAUUGUAUUACAACAUCAUCUUGAAUAAUUUCUUUUAUUUAUCCUAUAUUUAAUUAUAAGUUUUUUUUCUUCUCCAGCUAUGGUGAGAACUAGAGGUGGGAGUAGUCUUUCCGGUAGGAGAUCAACUCUUCCUCAUAAUAGUGGCGAGACUGUUAACAUGAACAGAAUGAGAGAUGAGCCUAUUGUAUCUCAUGAUAGUGGUGAGAGUAUUGAUAGGGCUACACCGAAUACUACACAAGCCGAAAGGUUAUCUCGUAAGAAAAGGGGGCCAACUCUAGGGAUAAUAAAGCCUAAAACAGGCCAAACAAAGAUGCUUGUUAAUAUCAUUGGACAAAAGUAAGUUUUUACUAAUCUACUCGUGCUUGUCAAUAUGCAAGUUACAUACAAUCAAUUCUGGAUACGUUAAAGAUUCAUUUUCUGACACAUAAUAUAACGUCCGUUUUAACUAUAACAGGGUAAUCUAUGUAGCACAAUGUAAUCCAAAGAACAUAAAAGCAACUAAUCAUAUCAUGUUACUAUAAAAAGCAAUUAAUAGGGGUUCCAUUUAACAAGAUUUGAUUAAUCCUAUUGUGACAACUUUGUUUCUACUUUUCAUUAUUGUUGUACUAAUCAUAUCAUGCUAUGUUACCAUAUCUUGUAAUUAGCUUCCUUGAACCUGAAGCUCGAAGCAAGACUCACAUAUUAUUUCAAAAACGUUUUAAAGAAGCUCGAACCAAAUUCGAGCAAUGGCCAAAACAUGAAAUUGAACUUCUUUGGGGAGAAUAUUUGGUAUGUUUUAAUGAACACACAUUUUAAUUGUAGAAAAAAGUUUAUCAAAAAGUGUAUUAUUCAUUAUAUAUUAAUUAUUAUUUUUACUUGUGGAUGGUGUUAUAGAAAUAUUUUCGUUUCUCUUCAUCGAAGGAGGAGGGAAGGGGUCGAAUCAUAUGGGAGGAAAAUGCACGAAAAAGCUACCCAAACUAUUUAUGGAGAUGGAAAGAUGAUGCCAUUAAGAAGUUUGGCUCCAUUGAGGAAGCAAGGGAUAAAAAGCCUAAUUGGACAACUCUUGAUGUGUGGCAGGAGAUGUGUGAUUAUUGACUGAGUAAAGACUUUUUAGACUCUAGUGAGCUACAAAAAAAGAACAGAAACAUAACUACGUAUGUUCCUCACACAUCAGGCUCCAUAUCGUACGCCGUUAGGAGGGAACAAGAGGUAAAUUAUAAGUUGAUAAAAUCAAAUUAAUAAUAUGCGUAGUCGAUAAAUGCACAUGAUAAUGGUAAAAGAUUCAUAUCAUGAUGCUCUGUUUGGAGUUUUUAAGUGUUCAUGUGGUAUGUAUUGCUUAUUUUUAAUAUUAAUGUUUAUAAUUAAAAUAAUUAUUAUUUUGCUUGUUUUGUCUUAGAAACAAAGACUGCAUCGUCCGCCAACGCAAUAUGAGUUAUAUAAACAAACUCAUAUGAGGAAGGAGAAGGGUAGCGAGGAAAAAACGUGGGUUUGUGAUGAAGCAAAGAGGAAUUUGGUAUGAUUUUCUCUUGUAAAAUUAUAAACUUUGUUUACUCAUGCGAAAGUGAAGAUUGUUGUUCGUUCUUUUCAUAAUUAGUUAUGAGUAUUGUUAAUUAUAUAUACAUAUUUUAUGCAUUGUAUAGGAUGAUUAUGAGAGAAGACUCUUAGCCAAACAUGGUGAUACAGAUAAGCCCGUGAAUGAGUUAGAUGAUCCAAAUUUGGAGACAUGGCAGAAAACUGUUGGAGGCGUCAAAAAGGGUAGACUUGUUGGUCGACCAGGGGAAAAAUGGAGUUCUCGUCGUGGUUCGUAUUGUCCAUCUUUGGUUGCAGAUGAGAACUAUAUUAAAUUAAAGAAAAUGGAAAGCUACAUGACUUAUAUUCAUCAAUACACAAAAAAUAUGGCCGAAACACUUGCACUUGAUCCUCCUAUAGACUUUUGUGAUUUGUUUGCUUCAUCAAAUGCAUCAGCUGAUAUUCCAACGAAUAACUCAACCACGCAUGCUGAGAAUGACAACGGAGAUGAUGACGACUCUCAAGAAAACUUCAUGGAGAAUUCAGGAUGAUUUAGCUCUGCUUUACUUAUCAAUUUUAUUAGUUUAGGGUUCUUUGAUAGAUGUUGGGUUUGUUAAUUGUUUGAUGAACCUAUGACAUGUAGUUACCUAUUUAAGUAGUUGGUAAUGAAUUUAUUUUUAAUUAAAUGGAUCAGAUUUCUUCAUUUUAAUAAAUUUGUAUGAUUUUACGUUUCAAAUUUAUUGUAAUUUAUGUCAUUUAUAAAUUUGAAAUAUAAAAUUGGCAAUUAAAUAUAUUUUAAUAUAGGAAUUUGGUGAUGGCUUUACUAUCACCAAAACGUAUAAAAAGGUUACAAAAAUAGGAAUAAUUGUGAUUGCUUUAGCCAUCACAAGAGACUUAUGCCAUCACAAAAGAAUGUGAUUGUUUUGGCCAUCACAAAUAAUUGGUGAUUGUUUUGGCCAUCACAAAAAGAUGUGAUUGCUUUGGCCAUCACAAAUAAUUGGUGAUUGUUUUGACCAUCACACAAAGAUGUGAUUGCUUUAGCCAUCACAAAUAAUUGGUGAUUGUUUUUACCAUCACAAAAAGAUGUGAUUGCUUCGGCCAUCACAAAUAAUUGGUGAUUGUUUUGACCAUCACAAAAGAUGUGAUUGCUUUGACCAUCACAAAUAACUACUAUGCUAUCGAGAUUACUUUCGCCAUCACAAAUAACUUGUGUGAUUUCGUGAUGGUCAAACUAAUCACAAAAUACAUGUGCGCUAAUGUGACUGAUUUAGUCAUCACAAAAGGAUCGAAUGUUUUGGUGAUUGCCAAAACCAUCACGUAAAACCUUUCAUGAUGGACGUAUACAAAACGGCCAUCGUGAUGCUUAAAAUCAUCACGUAAACCUUUCGUGAUGGUUUUUUUAGUUUUUGUGAUGGAUUUUUGCCAUCACAAAUGACCAUUUUUUUAGUAGUGAUCGAAAGGACGUGGAAUUUAAUAUUGGAGAUCACGUGUUGUUACGUGUUGCUCCAUGGAAAGGAGUUACGAGAUUUGGAAAGAGAGAAGCUCAAUCCUCGAUUCAUUGACCCAUUUUUAAUCCUCGAGCGAGUAGGAACUAUGGCCUAUAGACUCGCCUUACCGCAAAGUAUGUCUCGUGUUCAUAACGUUUUUCACAUAUCUAUGUUACAUAAAUAUGUGAAAGACCCGAACCACAUUAUUGAAUUAGAACCAGACAAGAUAGAGGAAGAUUUAACAUAUGAAGAGUUACCUAUUAAAAUCUUGGAUAAGAAGGAUCAUAUUCUACGCUCCAAGGUUAUACCUCAAGUCAAAGUUUUAUAAGAGAAACCACGAUGUGGAGGAAAUGACCUGGGAGUUAGAAUCUGAGAUGAAGUCAAGAUAUCCUCGUCUCUUCGAUAUACCAGGUACGUACCCUAGUUUCGAGGAUGAAAUUUCAUAAGAAGGGGAGGUAGUAAGACCCCAACUUUUAUGAAUAAAGAAUAAUUUUCUCAAAAUAUAUUUUUGAAUAUUAUGGUGUGGAUUUGAUAUAAUGUUAUAGUUGUGGGUAUUAUUUACAAAUUUUGCAAAGUAAGCAAGUGGUUAUAUAAUAUUCGAUUGGUCGGGGAAUAUUCGUUUUAACAGGGAAUAUUCGUACGACGGUACAAUCAUUGGUGGACCCCACAAAGAAAGUAUUGUUGUAGUUAAAAAACGACAGAAUUAUCUUUUUAUAAAAAUAAUGGCGAAAGUGUUGCCGUUAAAACUGUUGAACUAACCGGUAAUAAAAGUACAGUAAUACGCGUGGUUGCAUAGUAGUACACAGUAUUGAUUAUUGAUGUUUACGUGAGAAGUCACUCAGUUAUACUCAAUUAUUACUAUAGUAAUUGUUGCAUCAUAUCUCUCAUAUUAUUGAUUCAAUUAUUGUCACAGUAUCAUCUGCAUAAUAUGUUAUAUUAUCAAAUCAAUAAUUGAGACGACAAAGUUAUUAAUAUUAUUAAAUUACAAUAUUGACAAUGUCUUGAAGUUCUGUCAAGGAGAGGUUAGAUAAUCUAAUUGCGCGCCAAUAGGGAGAAAUCCUCAUCGGAAAGCCCCCUCUUUCCUGGAAACUACCUGGUUGUUAAAUAUUAUGAGUUAUAAUAUUAAUGAUGAAUAAGUUUGUGUUGAUCAAAGAUGAAAUUAAUAGUUCCAUUGUAUGGAAAUUAUUAGUGUUAGUUGAAAAUCGACAUUUAUUUCGAUAAUAAUUGAUGUCUGGAGGUUUUAUUGACCAAUCGGGUAAUUAACCGGAUAAAUGAGCAAUUAAUUGCUAUUUAUUCACAUGCUUAUAACUAUGUGUUCACAUGUGUGUACUAUUGAUUCACAUGCAUGUACUGUUAGGGGAGUUGGUGCAAGAUUGAUAAUACUUGCAUGACUAAAUUAAAAAUUGAGGUAUAGAUGAAGGUACUAUACUAUACUUAAUUUUUUCACAUGUUUAGAACUAUUGAGUCACAAGAUUUACUAUUGAUUCACAUGAAUUACUAUUAGGGGAGGUGGUGCAAGUUUGAUAAUACUUGCAGGACUAAAUUAAAAAUAAAAAAAAAGAGGAAGGUAUUAUACUGUAAUAUUUUGAGCCCCAAAAUGUGCAAUUAUUGAAACUAUAUUUUCCUAUAAAUAGAAGCUCAUUCUUCCUUCAUUUCUUACCAAUUCACUAAAGCUAUAGAACAAUUAUUAUAGAGAGAAAUUAUAGAGAGAAAGAAGAAGAGAAGUAUGCUACCUCACUACUCCAGUAUCCAGUUUUCUUCUAAGGUAAGGGGUAUUAUUUCUUUCGUAUUCAUGAAGAGAGUUAUUUCUUUCAAUACUCGUAAGGGUUGUUAUUCCAUUCUUUAUUAUUCUGUUGGAAUAACCUGUAUAGGUGGAUUACCGAAUGCGGUGUGAAAUUCUUCUGUUAUUCCAUUCUUUAUUAUUAUGUUAGAAUAACCUGUCUGUGCAGAUUAUGCACGCCUGGUGAAUUCUUUUGUUAUUCCAUUCUUUAUUAUUUUGUCGGAAUAACCUGUCUGUGCGGACUACGCACGCCUGGUGAAUUCUUCUGUUAUUCCAUUUUUUAUUAUUCUGUUGGAAUAACCUGUCUGUGCGGUCUAUCGCAUGCCUAGUGAAUUCUUUUGUUAUUCCAUUCUUUAUUAUUUUGUUGGAAUAACCUGUCUGUGCGGUCUAUCGCAUGCAUGGUGAAUUCUUCUGUUAUUCCAUUCUUUAUUAUUCUGUUGGAAUAACCUGUCUAUGUGGAUUACCGCAUGCAUGGUGAAUGAUCCUUUGUAUUCAUUCCUUAUUAAAUUGUGGAAAUGAUAUGUCUACGUGGAUUACCGCAUGGCGGGCAAAAAUCCAUUUGCAAUUUUAUAUAUUCUAUUAUACUCAGUUGCUUAAAGUUUUGGCUUCUAUACUCCAUGAAAUUAGUAGAAUAUCCUGGAUAUUUGCGCUUCAUCCAAUAUCUUUUCAUGGACAUAUUCUUCUGAGCAUUCUUGAAUUUUACUCCACAAAGCAGUAUUAUGUUGACAAAUUGGAUGUUAUUAAUUUCUGGAUAAAUUAAAUUAUAAAUCUUUAAUAUUUAUCCUUGAACUUGUUUUAUUGAAUUAUUAUGUCAUUGUCAUCAUCCUCAUGCUUAUAUUGUGAUGAAAGUCAUCUUUGGCUUACGUGCAUAGAUGGAUUUGGUAUAAUUAUGACCAGGAAUUAUUCGGUAUAAUCAUGACUGUAAUGUGACGAAUGAUGUGGUGAAAGUCCUCAUUGGCCUGUAGUUCAUUGAUGGACAGUUGUUGGUAUGAUUAUGACCAGGGAUUAUUCGGUAUAAUUAUGACCAUUGAUGAUUACACGAGUAUCCUUGGCCAUAAUGCAUGGAUGAUUCGAUUUUAUUUAUUAAGCUGAGUCUCAGCGAUAAAGUUGAUGAAAAACUUUUUAAGUCAUAGAAGAUAGUAGAUUUUAUACUCUAUAAUUGACUCUUCUAAUGGAUUGCUUAUUCCGCUGUAGUUUUUUAUCUAAAACUUAUUGUCUAUUAUAUUCUUUCAGUUGUUAUACUGUUGAAGGCUAAGGAUAAUUUAUUUUGCAUUAUCUUAGUAAUAAUAUUUCUUACUGGGCUUGUUGAGCUCACCCUUUUCUUUCAUGGUUCUCUUCAAGAAAUGAGAACGUAGCUGGGACUAGUCGGGGAACAGAGUGACGGUCCAGAUGUUUGGAUUAGUAGUCCUCACUAUUCUGUGAAAUAGUGUGAUAAUAAAUGUAAUGAGGACUCCAUUGAGUGUGGAUAUUGUCUAGAUGACAAUAUUCUUAUUAAAACUCUUAGAUUAUGUUUUGUCGUAUUUUACACGACUGUUGUACAAUUAAGUUGUAUUUGAAUUUUGUACCAUGUAUCUGGCGACUCAAGAUGGCUGAUGUAUACCUAUUUUGGUGGCGUCACAUUAACCCUAUUGUUAUAUAUAUUAUAUCCGAUUAUUGUUUAUCAACAUAAUAUUAUACUAUAUAAUUCAGAUAUAUAUUCUGUUCAUUAAUUUCUAAAAAUGAUUAUACAAGUGUCUCCACCUGGAUAAUCAUUGUAUUUAAUCACAUGUUGAUAUAUAUAUAUAUAUAUAUAUAUAUAUAUAUAUAUAUAUAUAUAUACCUAUUGAACCCCAGUAUGUAUACAUUAAGUAAAAGUCGUCUAAGCUAUUCGACCAGCUAGACACAAAUUUAGUUAUAUCGUUUAAUAUGACAAAACUUUUUUGUAUCCAAUCAAAUUAUUUUGGUUCGGAUUCCAGACUAAGUAUGAACAUCCCGAACAUGAGAAAACUUUUAUGCGCCCAAGGCGGACAGAGUAAACGAUAAUAUCUUUCUUUCAUGCAGUAUUGAUCAAUACAGGGUCCAUGGGAUGUAUACCCUCGUGCCCGUAAGUUAUGACGGUUUGCAGAUGAAGUUCUGUUUAACCUUUUUGAAAAUAGAAAACAAUGUGUAUGUCACCCUAACCCUAUAUAUAGUCAAUACAUAGUUUCAAAAAUGUGAGAUAGAGUUGAUAUGUUAUUAUUAUCAGUUUAGUUUACUUCACAACUAUUGAAUCGUUGUAGAAGUAAUGUACAAAGAAAACAUUUAAUUCUUUCAGAUAAUUAUAUUUAUAAUUGUUAUUACUUGCUGGGCACUCAAAUGCUCAUCCUUGCUUAAUUUAAAUGUUUUCAGCUAAGCGUGAUCAACCUGAAGGUUUAGACAAUAAUAAGUGAAAAGGAAAGCAAACAGAAUAUGUUUAACGGUAUCUUUUGUAAUAGUUAAACUGUAUUAAGAUAAUGAUAUGUAUUAUCUAUCAUGUAAAGAAUUAUAGUAAAUGUUGCGUACUUGGGAUUAGACUAUGAUAUUUGUAAAUUAAGUUUGAUUUUUAUAUUAUUGUUAUUAUUAUUAUUAUUAUUAUUCUGCUCAUAAAAAUGGUAUCGUGAAGCACCGAGUUCGGGUUUCAAGUACCUAAAUUUGGGGGCGUCACAGUAUGGUAUUAGAGCUAUAGGUUAGAAACCUUAGGUGGGUUAAACCUUAGGCUAUAACCUUAGAACAGAGGGGAACGUUGAAAAUACAAAUAACUCAUAUAGAGUUUAUAAGGAGAUGAAUUUAAUAAAUUCAUCGUGAAACAAAAUAAAAGAUAACUAAUAAAACUAUUAUUUGCUAUGUGUUUAUACUUAGUGUUAAUCCGGAUAAUUUAUUUGUAUAGAUGUCAGAUAGAAAAAGAAUUAGAAUACCCUCAGAUCAUAAAGAAAGAGCAAAUCUCCAUGACCGAGCCAAUAUUAAAGCUAAUAGCUGAAAUAGAGGCACACAUUGAAAACUACCUCAAAGAGGAGGUUAUUUUGGAAAGUAUAAUACCAGAUCCAGAGACGAUAGUAUAACAGAUAGGUUGAGUGUAGUUAAAGAAUAUAUGGUGAAGCUUGAGUUCUUAAACUCAUUUAUUUGUGGUAAGUUCUUAAACUCAUAAUGUGUAGUAAGAAAAAGGGAAGUAUUUUAGAAUACCUCAUAUCAUUCUCGAAUUACUACUUCAUCUCCUCACCAGCUCUUGAACCCUUGACCUCUAGAAACUCAAUAAUCAAACGAGUACCAAAUGUCUACAAGGAGGACUAGUAUAGUUAUGUGUUAAUGGAUUAUUGAGGAUAAUAGAAUAUAUAGAAUGCUAAGCAAUUGAUCAUUAGUAAAGACGUAAGAAAUAGAUAGUGUUAGUAUUACUUGAAUAGGUAUGAUUCUAUGUGGUGUAAAUGAUAAGUAUGUCUGUGUAAGGAAAUAUUCUCAACUUUUGUAUAAGUUAUGGCUGCGAUUCCUGACUUGUGUGUUAUAAAGGAAUAGCGGAUGUUUAAAGCAGUAUGUGCUAUGGUAUGUCAAGUGAUAUGAAUAUGAGUCUAUGUUGGAUUAACGAAAUAAGUUGAUAUAAAGAUAGUAAUUAUUUAUCUGAACACUGGUUAAUACAGUAAACCGAAUUUUCAAAAUCUAAAAUUUUGAGUACAUGAUUAUUUGAAUAGAAAGUUUUGCGUUAUUUGAGAUGCAUGUACGAUAAGGCUUAGAAUGUAAGUUAAUAAGAAUAAUUUAUGAUAAUGCCAUCGAGAAGAAGAACCUGUCAAUAAAGCUAGAAGAUAACCAGACCCGCCAUAUAAUUUUGCGAAUGUGGACGCUCAAGCUAUGCAGAACGGAAUCCCAGCCGCGGGAAAUCGGCCAGAUAAUCGAUCGACAAACUUUAGAGACUUCAAGGCAAUCGUACUGCCAAGAUUUAGAAGAUCAACUGAUCCUGUUGACGCGUUUGUGAUAGUUAGGGUAACAUAGGGGCAAAAAGACAGCUUUUGCCACCUAUACGAUGAAAGGAGAUAGUUUUGAUAAUACCUGAAAUAAGCCAAGAGUGUGAUGGAAAGGAAAGUUUGUGUGUUGCAAAUGUGGACAGGAGGGAUAUAUCUCUCCUAACUCUCCCAAUCCAAAAGUGUAUAGUGGGUGUUUUAUUUGUGAGUUAAGGGAGCAUAAGGUGAAAGACUGUUUAAGAAAGAGAAGGGAGGCAAGGAAUGCGAAUACGAGGAGAGGCAGCAGGACAUUGACGACAACGAGACCAACUUCAACAAACAAACUGACGGAAUCAACCGCAAGAGUCAUCAACAUGACUGUUUAGGAUUCGGUAGCAGCCGGGGAUGCAACUCCAAGUAUUACUCGAACCAAUUUUAUUUUCUUAUAUAUGAUUUUCUUAUAUAUAUAGUAAAUUAUUUUAUAAAUUAUUUUGAAGGAGGAAUUUGAGUUCUUUUAGAAAUCAAAUUUCUGUUUAUGAAGAUAGAUAAGCUUUUUGCUGAAUAGUUAAAGAUCAGUUAGAUCAAUUAUGAUCGAGAUCUACUUGCAAUGAUUGUAUAGGUUAUGUACCCUUAUAUGUAUAGGUUUUAAAACGGUGAUUCCGGGGACGAAAUCUUUAUAAGGGAGGGUGAAUGUAAUAACCCGAUAUUUUCUAUAUAAUUAAAUCAGAAAUUUUGUGUAUGAAUUUAUUUAUUUAUUUAUUUAUUAAAGUUGGAAAUAUGUGCCAGGUAAUGUGUAUAUGUAUAUAUGUGAUAAAUAAAAUAUAUUUAUUGCAUGAAUAAUUACCAAUAGUUUUAUUUUAGAAUUAUUGCUCAUUAUAAAUUAUAUUAUAAUAAUAAUUAGUUUUAUAGUAGAAAUGUUUUUAUUAAUUCUAUUCUAUGAAAAUGUGUUUAUAUAUUAUUUAAAAAUUAUAUGAAAUGAUUAAAGACUUAUUAUAAUGAUUAUUCUGUUUUAUUAUAUGAAUUUUAGUUCAGAUUAUUUAAGUUAAUUAUUUUAACUUAAUUAUUAUUGUUAUGUAUGCAAGAUAAAUCAGAUAUGGAAUCCAAAUCCUAAUUUUGGAUUUUGAACAACGAAUGAGAAUAAUAAUAUAAUAUUAAUUAUAUUUUUAUUCUUCAGUGCUAUAAAUAUGUAUGUUAUGUUUGUAAGGUUAAUCUGGGGAGCAAUUUCCUUAUGACCUGAUAAAACCCUAAUUUGAAAGUCAAUUACGACUGUAAAAUCUGUUAAGUCAUUGUGAUAUGUGGUAUAUGAUUUGUAUUAUAAGUAUUAAUGUUAAUUAUAUAAAACCCUAAUUAGUAAUUUAAAACUCUAUUUUUCUUAUAUUAGAAACCCUAAACAGUAAUUAGCUAUCCGCUAAGUGGAAACCCUAAUUUAAAACUCAACUAUGAGUUUGAGACUAUUAUGUAACUGUGUUAUUAUGUUUAAGGUUAAGUAUUAUAGAAUUUUAUAUUAAUUAGAGAAACCCGAAUUAACAUUUAGAAAUCCUAAUUUCCAGAAACCCUAAUUUCUAAAUUAGUAAACCUAAUUUCUAAAUUAGUAACCCUAAUUUACUAAAAUAAAAUCCUAAUUGUUAAUUUAGCACGCUUAAUGAUAAUUAGUAAAAUCUAAACCUAAUUUUCAAGUCUAUGUAAUGAGGAAACCAAAUUAAUUACGAAACCUUAAUUUGUAUUUUUAGAAACUAAAAAUUUCAAUUUUUGUUUAAAUUAGAAAUCCUACAACACUUUGUGCUAAACCUUAUGGUCAAACCCUAAGGGUCAAACCCUAAGUGUUUGAUAAGUUACUAGUUUGCCCUUAAAUUGGUUAGCCAAAUGACAAAAAUACCCCUCUUGCAUUAUUGGACAUAACUUGUAAGACUAACCAAUUUUGAGUUGCUCAACAACUCUUACCAGCCCCAUUUGACUAAAAUGCCAGCAAUUAGCCAACUUGAUUUCAUGUUAUAUAUAGAGAGAUCAGGAAAGAGAAAUUUCAUUUAUUAGCCACAUUUGUACAAAAAACUCCUUACCAACUCUCUCUCUCCCAAAACCCACGAAAUGUUGUAGUAGAUCAGUCCCAUAUUAAAGCCCCACUAACACACUUAACCAAAUCAGCAGCCAGAAUCAAGAAUUGAUGUUUAAAGGUAUAAAAUCCUAAGUUAAAGUUUUGAUCUUGUAUGCUAUAUUGGAUUUAUGGUUUUUAUGUUUAAUCAUGUAGAAUAAGGUGUUAAUAGGUGAUCUGGGUUGGCACAUGUUAGAUCCAUAACAUCAAAGUGCUCGAAAUCUAAGUUUUUCAAAAUCUGGAAUUUUUUGUUUUUGUUGUCUGACAGCGAAUGUCAGGCCUUGUAGAUCUGUGCUUGUUUAUUGUUUUGAUGAUUUAAAGGUUUGAAGUGGUAGUUUGGUAUGAGGUCUUUCAUAUGAAAGUGGAAUCACUGUUAUUGGAUGUCUAGAUCGAAAGUUAUUGAUGGUCAAAAGUCGUUGACCAACCAUGACCGAGUGUAAAUCUGGGCAACCCAGAAAGCUUUUUCAGCGUCUGACAAUGUUUUGGAAGGCUUAGAUCUGUCAGUGUGUAAAUGAUUUGAUGAUGUUAUAAUAUACAGUUUAUAGCCUGUCAUAUGUACUUUAUAUUUGUGGCUUUAGAUCCUUUAAACAAACAAUUGAUCAAACUUAGUGGAUGGUCAAACUUGGCCCCUCGGUCACGAUUUCAUUUCUGGGAAUUUCCAGAAAAUCGGAAGAACAGCCCUCUGACAGGGUUUGACCAAGUUAUAUCUUGUAGAUCUGUUGAUGUUAAACUGAUUUGUUGUUAUAUUAUUGUUCCUGGACAUAAGGACUACAUCUUUGAGGCAUUAGAUCACUUGAAUCAUGAACGGAACCUAGAUUAAAUCGAGGAUGAAAGUGACUGGUCGACCACCUGGGUUUCUGGAAAACCCAGGAAUGCUCUGACAACAUAUUUGCAAGCCUAGAUCUCCUUGUGUGUUUGUUGUAUGACCUAGAUAUUGAUUGCUAGUUAUAGUGUUGUAUAAUGACUUCAAUAUUGAUGCUUAAGUUUGCCCAGAAACGAAUUAGACAGAGAAUUAUUAGUGGUCAAAGUUGACCCCUCAAACACAAAGCUAUAAGUGUUCUUGAGCUCAAGAACACCAACAGCGACGCUUACUGUCGCUAAAAGCCAAUAACGACGGUUUCUAAUACUUUUAAUUUCUGAUUUUUCGAAAAAUACUUAAAAAUAGAAAAUAAAUUAUAAAAAUUACAAAAAUGGUUUUAAAAAUUAUUUUCAAUUAUGAAAAAUAACUUUUAAUUAUUUGGGAUAUUUUUCAUUAAUAUUUAUAUAUUUUUUAAUAUUAAUAAUAUUUAAUUUAUUUAAUUAGUGUAUUAAAUAAACUAGAGAAAAAUGAUUUUAAUGUUAUAAAAAUCAAUUGAAAUAAGAAUAAAGUGUUUAAAAAUAUUUUUGAGUUAUAUAUGUAACUUUUAAUAUUUUUGUGAUGAAUUUCAUUAAUUAAUUAAUAUUGGUGAUAAUUAAGUAAUUUAAUAAAUGUAUUAAAUAAAUUAUGAAAAAUAGAAUUUGUGAUUUAAAAAUCAUAUAAAAGUGAUUUAAAGAUUAUAAAAAAAUAUUUAAAGUUAUAAAAUAUAACUUUUGAUAUUUUGUCAUGAAAAAUAUUAAUAAUUUAAUAUUAAUAAUAUUAGAUUUAUUUAAUGAUUAUAUUAAAUAAUUUAGUUUAAAAAUAAUUUUAUUAUUAUAAAAAUCAUUUUAAAUGAAAAUAAAGUGUUUAAAGAUAUUUUAAGUUAUAAAAUAUAACUUUUAAUAUUUAAAGGAUAAUUUCAUUAAUAAUUUAAUAUUAAUGAUAUUAAUUUAAGAUUUAUUGAUAUUAAAUUUAUUUAAUAAUUAUAUUAAAUAAAUAUUUUUAAAAUGGUUUUAUUAGUUUAAAAAUCAUUUAAAAGGAUAUAAUUGAAUUAAAAAUAUUUUAAGUUGGAAUUAAUGACGUUUAAUAUUUGGAUAAAUAGUAAAUUAAUAUUUUAAUAUUAAUGGUAAUUAUUUAAAAAUGAUUUUAAAUGUUUUAAAAAUCAUUUAAGGGUAGUAUUAGUACUUUAAAAAUAUUUUGAGUUAUUAUCAAUAACUUUAAUAUUUUGGUAAUGAUUAUAUUAAUAAUUUAAUAUUAAUUAAAUAUUAAUGAUAAUAUGAUUAUGUACUAUUUAAAUCAUUUAAUUAUGAUUCCAGUGUUUGAAAUUUCAUAAUAAAUUAUAAUAAAUGUUUAAAAAUUAUUAUAAGUCAUUUAAAAAUAAUAUGAUUGAUACUUGUAGAUAUUGAGAUACAAUAUAGAGUCUUAGACUCGAUAUUUACCCAAUAAAGCCGUCGGUAGACCGACAUAUUUUAAAAAUUGAUCUAGACUUAGAUAUUUGACUGUAUUAAUGUUUGUUUGUGAUUUAAUGAUUGUUGAAUAUGUGUGACAAUGUGAUUAGGUUAUGUCCUAACUGCAAUAAGAAGUGCUAUGUGUUAUAGUAUGUUAUUCUAAUCGAACAAAUGAUUUUAUUAAUGAUAGGUUUUGGUAUUAAAGAUAAAACUAAGUUGUGUAUUGUAAGUAGCAGACCAGACAAGUAUCCUAUCUUUGCAUUUUCAUUAUGCAAUGGACAUGAGUAAGAAGUUUAGAACUGUAUUACUACUGUAUCAGAUUAUUAACCCUAUUGUUAUAUAUGUUAUAUCCGAUUAUUGUUUAUCAACAUUGUGACGACCCCAAAAUAGUUAUACAACACCCAUUCUGAGUCGCCAUAAUACAUGGUACAGAAAGAAAACUACAACUUCACUAUUACAAUUGUCAUGCAAAAUACGACAACACAUACUGUGAGUUUAAAUACAAAUAUUGUCUUCUAGACAAUAUCCACAAUCAAAUAAGUCCUCAAUACAUUUAUUAAUACAUUAUUUUACAAAAAUAGUGAGGACUGCUAAAAUAACUAUCUUGAAUCAUCACUCCAUACCCCGGCUAGUCCCUGCUAUAUUCUCACCUCCUGAGAAGAAAAAUGGAACAACAAGAAAAAGGGUGAGUUCAACUAGCCCAGUAAAGAAUAUUAUGACUAAGAUAAUAUACAACAAAUUAUCAUUAGUCCUCAACAGGGAAAAAUCUGAUAGAAUAUAAUAGACAACAAGUUUUAGAUCAGCAAAUGCAGCGGAAACAACAAUCCAUUAGAAGAGUCACGUAGAGAAUGAGUUCUACUAUCUUCUAAGAUUUAAAAGUCCAUCAUCAAUAUUUUAUCCCUGUAACAACAAUCAAUAUACAUCUUUACACUACAGGCCAAAGAUAUUCAUUUAAAUCACCAGUCGGUCAUGUUCAUCUCAACACCUGUUCAUCUUUGCACUACGGGCCAAAGAUAUUCAUCAGUUUAUCAUUCAUCUUUGCACUACAGGCCAAAGAUAUUCAGUAAUAUCAUCAUUUAGGACUGAGGAUGAUGAAAAAUAUUUUUUUUUAAAGAAACGAAUCCAGUGAAACAAAAGGACAAGGAUUAAGAAUUCGUACUUUAGUUUGUCCAAAUUCAAAAAUACUCCAUAAUAAACAAUUAUGGGACAAAUUUUAAGAAUGAAGAUCAAAACAUGGAUAUAAUCAAAGCUAGUAUCAUAAUGGACAUUUUGGAUAAAAAGGAAAUUUUUUAUUUUUCGGUGAAUAAUGUCGUAUUCGUGAAUAGUGCUGUAUACGUGAAUAGUGCCGUAUACGUGAAUAGUAACCCCGACACAAAAAGUUCCAAAUUUGAUAAAAAGAUCAGAUCAAUAUUUCGACGUAAUGAUAUUGACGAAAAUAAUAUCAUUCAUGAAGAAAAUAAUAUUCCUUACCUCAAAGAAGCAGUACUUCGGAAUGAAAGGUCGGAAGUGAUGCUGAAUGAAACUUGUACUGAACAACAACUCUCAAAGUAUCUAAAUACUCACAAAAUACGCUCGAUAAUAUAGAGAGAAAGAGAGAAAGCUUAUGUUUCUUGUGUGAUUUUCAAUUCUAACUUAGCCAUCUAUUUAUAGAAAAAUGUUAACCCGCCGAAGCAGACUUGACCUGCUACCUGAUGGCUUUACCUGUUACUAUUGCCACCCACCACAUUUAAAAUUCAAUUUGAGCACAUUUCUCACCAACCACAAGUGGGGCCCAUUCAAUUCUAGAAUUUUCCACCAAAAUCAUUUAUAACCCUAAUUUCCGAAGCAGUCACCUCUUAAAAUUCAUAACAAAUCAUUCGUUCAUUUUUAACGGUUCAAAAUUUGUGGACAUAUACCCAACUUAUAUAUGUAUAACAUAACCAAAAAUCACAACAAUCCAACGGUCAGAGUAAAAAUUAUAACUCACGCAAUAUAUCGUAAAAAUACUGAUUUGAUUUUUAAUACCUCCAUUCCGACAAAAAUAUAGAUAAAACACCUCAACAUUAACUCCUUCAAUUAUAAUCACAUAAAAUAAACAAAUCCAUCAUUUAUAUAAAAUAAAUAUUUCCUUAUCAUAUAAAUCAAUAAUUAAUUAUUCACAAAUAAUAUUAUAGAAUCACAAUUAUGACAACCAAGCCGUUUCCAGGAAAGAGGGGGCUUUCCAAUAAGGAUUUCUCCUUACUGGCGCGCAAUUAGAUGACCUAACCUCUCCUUAACAGAACUUUCUAGACAUUGCCAAUAAUGCUAUCUAAUAAUAUUAUUAAAGCAAUAUGAAUUAUUGAUCUGAUAAUGGGAAAUACUGUGCAGUAACAAUAAUUGAAAUAAUAAUAAUAUAAAAUAUCAACGCAGCAAUUAUUGAAUCAAUAAAAUAAAAUAUUAAACAGUAACUACUGUAACAAUUAUUGAGUAGUGCCUUCUUACGUAAGAAUCAAUAAUUCAACUAUACUGUGUAAUACCGUGUGCUACUGUGCAACUACGCGUAUUACUGUAUUUUAACCACCAGGUAAUCCAACAGUGUUAACGGUAACAACUGCGCCGUUAUUUAUAAAAACACAUACUUGUCGUUUUCCUUCAUCCAACCAUUUUUCAUUAUGGGGCCCACAAAUGGCUGCGCCGUCGUACGAAUAUUCCCUGACAGCAAGAAUAUUCCACGACGAAACGAAUAUUCCCCGACAACAAUGAAUAUUUUAUAACCACUUGCUUAUUUUGCAAAAUUUGCUUAUCUCAUCCAUAACCAAAAUAUUAUAUCAAAUUAACACCUUAUUAUUCACAAUAAUAAUAAUUAGAGGAAAUUCAAUUUCAUUUAUAAAAAGUUGGGGUCUUACAAACAUGAUAUUAUAUUAUAUAAUUCAGAUAUAUAUUCUGUUCGUUAAUUUCUAAAAAUGAUUUAAUCACAUGUUGAUAUAUAUAUAUAUAUAUAUAUAUAUAUAUAUAUAUAUAUAUAUAUACCUAUUGAACCCCAGUAUGUAUACAUUAAGUAAAAGUCGUCUAAGCUAUUCAACUAGCUAGACACAGAUUUAGAUAUAUCAUUGAAUAUGAUAAAACUUUUUUGUAUCCAAUCAAAUUGUUUUGGUUCGGAUUCCAGACUAAGUAUGAACAUCCAGAACAUGGGAAAACUUUUAUGCACCUAAGACGGACAGAGUGAAUGAUAAUAUCGUUCUUGCAUGCAGUAUUGAUCAAUACAGGGUCCUUGGGAUGUACACCCUCGUGCCCAUAAGUUAUGACGGUUUGCAAAUGAAGUUCUACUUUACCUUUUUGAAAAUAGAAAAUAAUGUUCAUAAUAUGUCACCCUAACCCUAUAUAUAGUCAAUACGUAGUUUCAAAAAUGUGAGAUAGAGUUGUUAUGUUAUUAUUAUCGGUUUAGUUUACUUCACAACUAUUGAAUCGUUGUAGAAGUAAUGUACAAAGAAAACAUUUAAUUCUUUCAGAUAAUUAUAUUUAUAAUUGUUAUUACUUGCUGGGCACUCAAAUGCUCAUCCUUGCUUAAUUUAAAUGUUUUCAGCUAAGCGUGAUCAAUCUGAAGGUUUAGACAAUAAUAAGUGAAAAGGAAAGCAAACAGAAUAUGUUUAACGGUAUCUUUUGUAAUAGUUAAACUGUAUUAAGAUAAUGAUAUGUAUUAUCUAUCAUGUAAAGAAUUAUAGUAAAUGUUGCGUACUUGGGAUUAGACUAUGAUAUUUGUAAAUUAAGUUUGAUUUUUAUAUUAUUGUUAUUAUUAUUAUUAUUAUUAUUCUGCUCAUAAAAAUGGUAUCGUGAAGCACCGAGUUCGGGUUUCAAGUACCUAAAUUUGGGGGCGUCACAAAUAUGGCUCAGUUAUUGGAGCGCGAUAAUGAGUCAACCCAACCAAGAGAGAGUAGCCGACAAAAUGAUAAUACCAGUGGUAGCAGUCAUCGAAGCGGUGUCAACAAACGUGGAGGGAAUCAACAUGCUAGAAAUGGUAACCACUUCGGUAGUAAUCAUGGCGAAGAUAAUAAAAAUGGAAAUUUCAAGAAGAGGAGAAUCAACAAUGAUGGAAAGACGUCAGCACCAGAACCCGUUGGUAAGGAAGGAGAACGACCAGCGAUCGUAUGCUACAAAUGCGGAGGGGAGGGAUACAUCAGUCCAAACUGUGCGCAGCCGUCCAAAAUGUAUUAUAAUUAUGGAAGAGAAGGUCACCUAGCUCGAUUUUGUCUUGCAAGGAAGCCAAGUCAAGCUGGGAUGGAGGCACCAAAGGUCAUCCCAGAAAAGUCAAAACCAGUAGUUCAAGGGAGAGCGUUUUUCGUGACCUCCCAGAAAGCAAGGAACCUGAACGAGGUUAUCAUGGGUAAGCUAAUCAUAAACUCUAGCGAAGUAUAUACCUUAUUUGAUAACGGUUCUACCCAUUCUUUUAUUUUACUAUUGGCACUCAACGUUUAAAUUUAACUCUGGAGAAAUUAGACUUUGACUUAUCUGUUAAAACUCCGUUGGGAGAAACCUUCAUUACAUCCACUGUUUAUAAGUCUUGUUUAGUUCAAAUCGGUACCCUCACAUUACCUGUCGAUCUUAUUUCUUUAAAAAUACUUGCAUUUGAUGUGAUUUUAGGGAUUGAUUGGUUAACUACUCAUCAUGCAAAAAUUGAUUGUUUUCGUAAGGUUGUUAGCUUUCAUAUUCCUAACCAACCUAUUAUGCGAAUUCAAGCAACCAAACCACUAAAGUCAAUCACUGUCAUAUCAAGCCAUAAAGCUAUUCAUUUAUUGAAAAAUAGAUGUCAAGCUUUCUUAGCCCAUGUCACAAAUUUAAACAAAAAUACGUCAUAUUUGAAUGAUAUUUCUAUUGUUAAUAAAUUUCCAGAUGUAUUCCCUGAAGAACUUCCUGGCCUACCCCCAGAGCGUAAAAUUGAGUUUGUAUUGACCUCGAACUCGGUAAAAGACCCAUUUCCAAAGCCCCAUAUCGAAUGGCUCCUAUUGAACUUCAGGAGUUAAAAACCCAACUGCAGGAGUUGUUAGACAUCUGUUUCAUUUUUCCUAGUACGUCUCCUUGGGGUUCUCCUGUUCUAUUCGCAAAGAAGAAAGAUGGGAGUAUGCGACUUUGUAUUGACUAUCGGGAGUUAAAUCAUGUCACUAUCAAAAAUAGGUACUCGUUGCCUCGCAUUGAUUACCUGUUUGACCAGUUGUAAGGAGCCAAAUUCUUUUCAAAGAUCGAUCUUCGUUCUGGAUAUCACCAGUUAAAGAUUAAAACUGAUGACAUCCGAAAGACUGCUUUCAGAACUCGGUACAGGCAUUAUAUAUGAAUUCCUAGUCAUGCAUGUCCGUUGGAUUGACUAAUGCUCCUGCUGCUUUCAUGGAUAUGAUGAACCGAGUAUUCAAGGAAUAUUUGGAUCAUUUUGUGGUCAUUUUUAUUGAUGACAUCCUCAUAUACUCCAAAAUCCGUGAAGAUCAUGAGCAACACUUGAGGUUUAUACUUCAAAAGUUUCGUGAAAACAAGCUUUAUGCCAAGUUGAAGAAAUGCGAGUUCUGGCUUAAGGAAGUGGCAUUCCUUGGGAACGUGAUAUCAAUUCACGGAAUAUCUGUUGACCCAUUGAAGAUUAAAGCAAUUCAGAGCUGGGAGCAACCUAAGUCAGUGACCGAAGUACGUAGCUUUCUGGGCUUAGCUGGUUAUUAUCGGAGAUUCAUGGAUGGAUUUUCUCGAAUUGCUACUCUAUUAACUCAGCUGACUCGAAAAGAUACAAAAUUCGGUUGGAGCGAGGAAUGUGAGAAAAGUUUUCAAGAACUCAAGAGAAGACUCAUUUCAGCACCUGUUCUGAUAAUACCAUCUGGCUCGUAGGGAUUUAUCAUCUACAAUGAUGCUUCAGGCAAAGGGUUAGGAUGUGUUCUCAUGCAACAUGGGAAAGUCAUAGCCUAUGCAUCAUGACAACUCAAAGAAUAUGAGAGGAAUUAUCCUACUCAUGAUCUAGAGUUGGCAGCUGUCGUUUUUGCGCUUAAGAUUCGGAGGCAUUACCUGUAUGGAGAGAAUGUGGAGAUCUAUACGGAUCAUAAAAGCCUCAAAUAUUUCUUCACUCAAAAGGAGCUCAACAUGCGACAACGACGUUGGCUUGAGCUAUUGAAAGACUACGAUCAUACCAUUUAAUACCAUCUUGGAAAAGCGAACGUAGUAGCUGACGCAUUGAGUAGAAGAUCAUAUGCGGGUACGAGUGCGAUAUUGUUAACGCAAAGACCCAUUUUGUAUGACUUACAAAGGAUGGAAAUAGAGUUAAAGACUCUAGGGACCCAAGUGAUGAUGGCAAAUAUACGAUUAGAACCGACUUUAAUCGAUAAAGUUAAAGCUGCUCAACUUACGGACCUGGAGCUGAUGCGUAGUAGGAAGAAAGUACAAGGUGCUAUCCUGGAAGCAAGAAUCGAUGAAGAAGGAAUACUAUGAGUCAACUCUAGACUUUGUGUUCCUAACGACCCUAAUUUAAAGUAUAAAAUCAUGAUGGAGGCGCACAACACACCGUUUGCAAUCCAUCCUGGGAGUACCAAAAUGUAUCGUGAUCUUCGACAUAUAUUUUGGUGAAGUAAUAUAAAGAGAGAGAUAACAGAGUUUAUCUCAAGAUGUUUAACUUGUCAACGUGUCAAGGCGGAGCAUCAAGUGACAAAAGGUCCAUUGCAACCACUUGAAAUUCUAGAAUGGAAGAGGGAGCACAUUACCAUAGAUUUUGUUAUUGGUCUUCCCAAGGUUUCUCAAGGCAUAGUUGCAAUUUGGGUCAUUGUUGAUAGAUUGACCAAGUCUGCUCAUUACUUACCUAUACGAGAAACCUAUACACUUGAACGUCUUGCUCGUAUAUACAUAAACGAGAUUGUAAGACUGCAUGGUAUACCAGUAUCCAUAGUUUCUGAUCGAGACCUAAGAUUACUUCACGAUUUUGGGUCAGUUUGCAGAAAGCUAUGGGCACGGAUUUGCGAUUCAGUUCUUUGAUGCCCCCAAAAUAGGUAUACAUCACCCAUUUUGAGUCGCCAGAUACAUGGUACAAAAUUCAAAUACAACUUAAUUAUACAACAGUCGUGUAAAUACGACAAAACAUAAUCUAAGAGUUUUAAUAAGAAUAUUGUCCAUCUAACAAUAUCCACAAUCAAUGGAGUCCUCAUUACAUUUAUAAUCACACUAUUUCACAGAAUAGUGAGGACUACUAAUACAAACAUCUGGACCGUCACUCUGUUCCCCGACUAGACCCAGCUACGUUCUCAUUUCCUGAAGAGAACCAUGAAAGAAAAGGGUGAGCUCAACUAGCCCAGUAAGAAAUAUUAUGACUAAGAUAAUGCAAAAUAAAUUAUCCUUAGCCUUCAACAGUAUAACAACUGAUAGAAUAUAAUAGACAACAAGUUUUAGAUCAAAAACUGCAGCGAAAUAAGCAAUCCAUUAGAAGAGUCAAGUAGAGCAUAAAAUCUACUAUCUUCUAUGAUUUAAAAAGUUUUUCAAAAUUUUUAUCGCUGAGACUCAGCUUAAUAUAUAUAUAUAUAUAAAAGCAAUAAACGCACCGGAUGUAGACUUACAGUGGACUGCCAAAGUAGACUUCUUGGACUGCAAAUGGAUGAACACUCGUCUCUCGCCGGACUAAAAGUAGCUAUAUACGAGCUAACUAGUGUUUAAAGAAAAGGAAACACUCAAAAGAUGUGUAUGCAGAGCUAAACGGACAGGGCUUCCUCGCCUUUUUCCCUCUCUUCCUUCUCUCAAAUGGCUGACCCCCCCUCUAUAUUUAUAGACGGAUGGCCGCAGGUCUACCUGCGGCUGGUCGUGGUGGGCCCGGGCAUCGCGGGUCUCGUCGUCUUGUAGUACGUGCACUUGCGCACGGUAAUGUCCAAUCGAACUUUCAGAACUUCAAUCCUAGCAUCCAAACGAAGCGUGUCUGUACUUCUUCGGACCGCUGGUGUCGAGAGUUACGUAAUGACAUGGAUUAGAGGUUGUACGAAGUCAGGAAGCGGGGUAUAUGCCCAUGGUCUUCAGGCUUCAAAUUCUAUCCAAAGUAUUGUCACAGGUAAUAGUCACUCGGGAUUGUCAUUCCUCGGUUAUUUGGGACAUUGUUGUAUGUAUGUAUGUCUGAAAGGUUGAGACGACGUGCCAUUUGUUGGACGAACAAGAUGAUGUUUGACUCUUUGCCGGAGUUAUCGCCUGGUUGAGCUGAAAGUAACCGUUGCUCAGGUUACAUCUGAGAUUGGACUACUUGUUGGUAUGCUGCUAUAUCAUCUUGUUACGAGAUGACGUUGGUGACUCCUCACCGGGUUUAUCGCCGGUUUAAGCGGAAAGCAGACGUUGAUCAGGGUUACAGCUAAGAUUGGACCGCCUAUUUGUAUGCCUCACUGUCAUCUGUGAUUGAAGCUGAUUGCAUGUGUUUGCAACAAGCAAUUCUGGAGUUAUCGCCGGAACUGCGAUGGCAUCACUUGGGGUUAUCACCAAGGAUGGGACUACUACUCCCAAUGUUGUCUCUGGGACUGGAACUGAACGUCGCGGUGUCAUCACCGAGACAGGACUGUCCUCUCCGGUGUUGUUGCCGGUCUUUUGAUCUGCACAUCUCGGGGUUAUCUCCGAGAUUGGAAAUGACGUGCCCGGUGUGUGUUCCGGGUUUGGAACCGAUGCUCCCGGUUUGUGUUCCGGUUUGGAGCGAAACUUCCGGUAGUAUCUGGACUUGUUGUGAGCUGUCUUUCAGGGUUAUCUCCAAAAGACGAAUCUACCCUCCUGCAAUGUUAGUAAUAGGAGUGCAGAAAAUUUCGAGUGUCUACAACACCUAGCAACCCAGAUCAUCACUAUAGACUAAAAACAACAUAUUCUAACACCCAAACAUAACAUUUAACAACAUAUCAAAGGUCAGAUUUUUAGGUUUAGUGUUAUACCUUCUUGCUCAAUUUCUUGAUUUUAUGUUACUGAUUUGUUAUGGGAUUUCGUGGGGCUUGAAAAUGGGACAAAAAUGCUAUAGAUUUUCGUUGGUUCUAGUGAGAGAAGCUCUUGGUUGAGUGUUGUGCAAUUUUUAGUGAACAAAUGCAUUUUCUCUAUCCUUAAAUCUAUUUAUAGACAAAUUAGAUACAUGAAUGGCUGAGCUAGAACUUGUUGUUGUCAAUUUAGUGUCACAUGGCUACUCUAGGGUUAGCCAACCACUCCAUCUAGACCUAUUUCUACAAGCAAGCUUCAAUAAUACAAUAGGGCACAAAAGUCUUUUGGCUAGCAAUUUUAAGGGCAUUUUUAUAACUUGUCAAACCCUUAGGGUUUAACCCUUAGGGUUUAGCACAUAACACAAAUGAUUUUUAGCAACUUAGGGUUUGAAUAAAAUAAAAUUAUUUUAGCUUCUAAAAUUUGAAAAUCAAGAUUUGUUAAUUAGAUUAAGUUAGUAAUUAUAUUAUACAUGAACAUUAGGGUUUAGUACCACUAAUCAUAAUUAACCUUGCCAAAAUAGCAAUUAGGGUUUAAGAUUUUAAUAAUUAGGAUUUCUAAAACUCAAUUAGGAUUUUCUAAUUAUCCAAUUAGGGUUCUGAACAUUAGGGUUUUAAUUUAAUAAUUAUGUUUACCAUAAUUAGCAAUUAAAGUCUAUUGUACGUGUUAUUAAUCACAGUAACAUAAUUUUUGACAGAUAAAAUUCUUCAGUUUAAGUUUUGAUUUAGGGUUUCUAAUAUCAGAAAUUCAAAUCUAAUUAGGGUUUGACAUUUAUAAUUAGGGUUCCCUAAUUGGCAUAUCAUUAUGUAACACAACAUAUAACACAGUUAUAUAACAGUCUCAAAUUUCCCAUUUAAAUUGAAAAACAGGGUCAAACCAAUUAAUGCUAGGGUUUGGUCAAUAUACACCAUAAUUGACCAACCAUCAACAGUACGUACAUACAGUACAUAUUUAUGGCACUGAGAAAUUAAAAUAUUAUAAUAUUAUAUAUUAUUCUCAUGCCUUGAUCAAAACCCAAAAUUAGAGUUUGGAUUCCGUAUCUGAUUUAUCUGCCAUAAAUAACCUUAUUAAUUAAGUUAAAAUAAUUAACUUAAUAAUCUGAACAAAAUUCAUAUAAUAAAAUAAUUAUUAUAAUUAUUCUAACAUCAUUUCAUAUAUUACUUAUAUUUUCAAGGAAAAUAAUUAAUAAAACAUUUCUAAUAUAAAAUUAACUGUUAUAAGAAUAUAAUUUAUAAUAAUUAAUAUUUCUAAAAUAAAUCAAUUUGUAAUAAUUAAUGUAAUAAAUUUUAUUUAUCACACAUAUAAUUAUACACAUAUUACCUUGGCACAUAUCACCCAUAUUUAUUUUAAUAAAUAAUAAAAAAAAAAUUUAUACGCAAAAUUUAUGAUUUAUUUAUAUAGAAAAUAUCGGGUUGUCACAUUCUUCACAUUCAUCAGAUUCGGGUGUGUAGCUUGAGCGGCUUUAACUUUAUCGAUUAAAGUCGAUUCUGCUCGUAUAUUCGUUAUCUUCACGUGGGUCCUUAGAGUCUUUAACUCUAUCUUCAUCAUUUGUAAGUUAUACGAAAUGGGUAUUUGUGUUAACAACAUCGCACUUGUAAACACAUACGAUCUUCUACUCAAGGCGUCAGCUACUACGUUCGCUUUUCUACGAUGAUAUUGAAUGGUAUAGUCGUAAUCUUCAAUAGCCCGAGCCAACGUCUUUGGCGCAUGUUACGUUCGUUUUAAGUGAAGAAAUAUUUGAGGGUUUUAAAAAUGGGUUUUGUACUGGGGUCAAUACAAAAUUUGAUUUCACGCUCUAGGGGUAGGCUAAGAAGUCUUCAGGAAUACGUCAGGAAACUUAUUAACGAUAGAAAUAUCAUUCAAAACUGUGACUCUCAUCCCAAGACUUGGAUAGCCCGUCAUAUUGAUACCUAUCAACUUGCCACCGUUAUUCACGGCGUCCCCUACGGAUAGUCUGGCUUCGGUGUAUUCCAAGACUUGGAAGUCAUCAGCGAAAGGCUUAGGUCUCUUUACUUAUGGCUUGAUAUGACAAUGAUUGGCUUUAGUGGUUUGGUUGCUUGAAUUCGCAUAACAGGUUGGUUAGGAAUAUGAAAGCUAACAACCUUACGAAAAGCAUGAUGAGUAGUUAACCAAUCGACUCCUAAAAUCACAUCAAAGGCAAGUAAUUUCAAAGAGAUAAGAUCGACAGGUAACGUGAAAGUGUCGAUUUGAAUUAAACAAGAUUUAUAAACAGUGGAUGUAAUUAACGAAGGUUUCUCCUAACAUAGUUUCAACCGAUAAGUCAAAGUCUAAUUUCUCCGGAGUUAAGUUCAAACAUUGAACACAACUAGGUGAAAUAAAAGAGUGAGUAGAACCGGUAUCUAACAAGGUAUAGACUUCGCAAGAGUUUAUGAUUAACUUACCCGUGAUAACUUUAUUCAGGUUUCUCGUCACGAAAAACGCUCUCUCUUAAACUACUGAUUUUGACUUGUCUGGGACAUCCCAGUUGGACUUAACUUUGCUGUAGAGUACAUUCCACCCUUAAUUGCUUCAUCACAUUCCUGAUCCAUGAUUCGAAUCAUUACUCUCUGAUCCAUAUCGAAUUGGGGUUAACCGCUCUGCACAGGGUAAUUUCGAAUUCGAUGUUGGAUUCUCCCAAUUGUUGUCCAAAAAGCAAAAUCCAUUUCAUCUAUUUUAGCCUUAUUGGAUCUGACGUCUUUUUCUACAAUAUCUACACGUCGUGCGACUUUUACCCAUGCAUCAUCUAUUCUCAUUCGUUCAGUUGUUUUUUCUUUCAUCAGAACUUUGAUCAUAGCAUUCUUAAAUUCCAGCUCUAAUAUCUUAUACUCUGCCAAAGAGUGCUUCUGUUCGAGCAUCGUACAUCGGGUAACACAAUUUUGAAUUGCUACAUCUCUUUGCUCCACGACCGCCUGUCGUUCUUCAGCCUGCUCUUCUAGCUCAUGAAUACAAUUUUGUAAUUCUAAAUUUCGAUCAUAAAAUUCUUCUAAUAAAUUCACCUCAGGUUCCUCUUCUUCCUCACUCUCAGCUGCUACCUCUGCAACUAGCUCGAGUGCAACUAUUAGUUCUUCACUCACCAUGUAGAUAUCUCUAAUUUCUUCUUCGUUUGACAUCACAUUAACCUGGUUAGUGAUUAAAGGUGUCUCAACGAUCUCAUUCACUGCAUUGUUAAUAUUUUUAGCCGCCAUUUUUAAAUACUGUCAUAAAACAAGGGUGAAUUAACAUAUCACAUAUUAUCAAUAUAUUAUGACCGACCAAUUAAAUACCAAAUAAACUUAGGUAGGUCAUACUAGCAAAGGAAUUCCCCGUCUCUCCCCUCCUAGUUCUUGUCUCACAUCUCAGCCAGGGAUCAUAUCCCUAAGCUUUGAUACCAACUGUGACGCCCCCAAAACAGGUAUUCAUCACCCAUCUUGAGUCGCCAAAUACAUAGUACAAAAUUUAAAUACAACUUAAUUAUACAACAGUCGUGUAAAAUACGACAAAACAUAAUUUAAGAGUUUUAAUAAGAAUAUUGUCAUCUAGACAAUAUCCACACUCAAUGGAGUCCUCAUUACAUUUACUGUCACACUAUUUAACAGAAUAGUGAGGACUACUAAUGCUAACAUCUGGACCGUCACUCUGUUCCCCGACUCGUCCCAGCUAUAUUCUCAUUUUCUGAAGAGAACAGUGAAAGAAAGGGUGAGCUCAACUAGCCCAGUAAGAAAUAUUAUGACUAAGAUAAUGCAAAAUAAAUUAUCAUUAGCCUUCAAUAGUAUAACAACUGAUAGAAUAUAAUAGACAACAAGUUUUAGAUCAAAAACUGCAGCGGAAUAAGCAAUCCAUUAGAAGAGUCAAGUAGAGCAUAAAAUCUACUAUCUUCUAUGAUUUAAAAAGUUUUUCAUCAUUUUUAUCGCUAAGACUCAACUUAAUAAAUAAAAUUGAAUCAUCCCUGCACCACAGCGAAGUUUAUUCAUGUAAUCAUCAAUGGUCAUGACUAUACCGAAUAAUCCCUAGUCAUAAUCAUACCAACAACUGUCCACCAAUGAAUUACAUGCCAAUGAUGACUUUUACCACAUCAUUCGUCACAUUACAGUCAUGAUUAUACCGAAUAAUCCCUGGUCAUAAUCAUACCAAGUCCAUCUAUGCACGUAAGUCAAAGAUGACUAUCAUCACAAUAUAAGCAUGAAGAUGAUAACAAUGACAUAAUAAUUCAAUAAAACAAGUUCAAGGAUAAAUUUUAAAGAUUUAUAAUUUAAUUUAUCCAGGAAUCAAUAACGUCUAAUUUGUCAACAUGAUACUGCUUUGUGGAGUAAAAUUCAAGAAUGCUCAGAAGAAUAUUUCUAUGAAAAGAUACUGGAUGAAGUGCAAAUAUCUAGGAUAUUCUACUAAUUUUAUGGAGUAUAGAAGCCAAAACUUUAACCAACUGAGUAUAAUAGAAUAUAUGAAGCUGUAAAUGGAUUUUCGCCCGCCAUGCGGUAAUCCAUGUAGACAGAUCAUUUCCACAUUUUAAUAAGGAAUGAAUACGAAGGAUCAUUCACCAUGCAUGCGAUAAUCCACAUAGACAUGUUAUUCCAACAGAAUAACAAAGUAUGGAAUAACAGAAGAAUUCACCAUGCAUGCGAUAGACCACACAGACAGGUUAUUCCAACAGAAUAAUAAAGAAUGAAAUACUAAAAGAAUUCACCAGGUGUGCGUAGUCCGCACAGACAGGUUAUUCCAGCAGAAUAAUAAAGAAUAGAAUAACAGAAGAAUUUACCAGGCGUGCUUAAUCCGCACAGACAAGUUAUUCCAACAGAAUAAUAAAGAAUGGAAUAACAGAAGAAUUCUCCAGGCGUGCGUAAUCUGCACAGACAGGUUAUUCAACCAGAAUAAUAAAGAAUGGAAUAAUAGAAGAAUUUUGCCACGCAUACGGUAAUCCGUGUAUACAGGUUAUUCCAACAGAAUAAUAAAGAAUAGAAUAACAGAAGAAUUUCACCACACAUACGGUAAUCCGCGUAUACAUGUUAUUCCAACAGAAUAAUAAAGAAUGGAAUAACAACCCUGACAAGUAUUGAAAGAAAUAACUCUCUUAAUAAAUACGAAAGAAAUAAUACCCCUUACCUUAGAAGAAAACUAGAAUAGUGAGGUAGCAGACUUCUCUUCUUCUUUCUCUCUAUAAUUUCUCUCUAUAAUAAUUUCUCUAUAGCUUUAGUGAAUUGGUGAACAAUAAUGAAGGAAUGAGCUUCUAUUUAUAGAAAAAUAUAGUUUCAACAAUUGCACAUUUUGGGGCUCAAAAAAUUACAGUAUAAUAUCUUCUUCUUUUUCUUCAUUUUUAAUUUAGUCCUGCAAGUAUUAUCAAACUUGCACCACCUCCUCUUGGAAGUCCUUGAAUCAAUCAGCUCGAAACAAUCCUUCUUGGACUCAAAUUCUAGUUAAAAUUACCUUUUCUACGCGUACCCAAGCCCCAGCUUGGGUAUUGCCUUGUAAAUAGUAAGCCCCGGCUUGCUAUGCUUCUGAUUUUGAACUCAGGACCCCAAGCCCCGGCUUGGGUAUAAAGCUUAAAAGAGCAAGCCCCGACUUGGGUGCAAGCUGCUAAUAGUUUUUUCUGCUGCAGUGUCCUCAGGUAAAAUGGCCAUAACUUUUGAUCCGGGAGGAGUUACGGGGCCUGCCACCUAUCAAAUCAAAGAUAUCGACGAGAUCUACAACUUUCAUUCUUUGAGAAUUGAGUAAUAACGAACGAAUGAAGGUAGAAAUUGGACUAGAAAUGACUGUUAUGCAAAUGGCCACCCAAAAUAGCGAAGUUAUUCAACAGUCUCCUGUGCUCCAUUGAUAUUCUCAACAUUCUCGGUUGUCAUUUUCAAAUACUGCCACAAAACAAGGGUUAAAUAACAUCACAUAUUAUCUCUAUACUCUGACCGACCAAUUAAAUACCAAAUAAACUUAGGUAGGUCAUACUAGUUCCCCGUCUCUCCCCACCUAGUUCUUAUCUUACAUUUUAGUCAUGGAUCAUAUCCCUAAGCUUUGAUACCAACUGUGACGCCCCCAAAAUAAGUAUACAUCACCUAUUCUGAGUCGCCAAAUACAUGAUAUAAAAUACAAAUACAAUCUUAAAUAUACAACAUAAGUUGUGAGUUUUAAUACAAACAUUGUCUUCUAGACAGUAUUAAAACUCAAAAUAAGUCAUCAAUACAUUUAUUAACACACUAUUUCACAGAAUAGUGAGGACUACUAAUGCUAUCCUCUGGACCAUUACUCCAUUCCCCGACUCGUCCCAGCUAUAUUCUCAUUUCCUGAAGAGAACAAUGAAAGAAAGGGUGAGCUCAACUAGCCCAAUAAGAAAUAUUAUGACUAAGAUAAUGCAGAAUAAAUUAUCAUUAGUCUUCAACAAUGUUAAACUGAUAAAAUACAAUAACUGCAGCGAAAUAAGUAAUCCAUUAAAAGAGUCAAGUAGAGAAUAAAAUCUACUAUCUUUUAUGAUUUAAAAGGAUUUUCAUCACUUUUAUCGCUGAGACUCAGUUUAAUAAAUAAUCCACAUCAUCGAAUCACCCCUGCACUACGGCCAAGGAUAUUCUUUAGUAUUACAACCAUAAAUAUCCAUGCACUACGGGCCAAGGACAUUCGUGUAUUCAUUAAUGGUCAUGAUCAUGCCAAAAACUGUCCAACAAUACACUACGGUCAAUGAGGACUUUUACCACAUCAUUUGUAACAUUACGGUCGUAAUUAUACUGAAUAAUCCCUGGUUAUAAUCAUACCAAGUCCAUCUAUACACUACAGGCCACAGAUGACUUUCAACAGAAUAUAAACAUGAGGACGAUGACAAUGAUAUAUGAAUUCAAUAAAACAAGUUCAAGAAUUUAUUUGUCCAGGAACCAAUAACGUCCAAAUUGUCAACAAGAUACUGUUUUGUGGGAUAAAAUUCAAGAAUGCUCAGAAGAAUAUUUUCAUAAAAAGAUAUUGGAUGAAGCGCAAAUAUCAAGGAUAUUCCACUAAUUUCAUGGAGUAUAGAAGUCAAAACUUUAACCAACUGAGUAUAAUAAAGAAUGAAAUAACAAAAGAAAUCACCAUGCACGUGGUACUUCGCAUAGACUGGUUAUUCCAACAGAAUAAUAAAUAACGGAACCAGGUUAGGCAAAAUUCGCACCGAUAGGAUGUUCCAACUGAAUAAUAAAGAAUGGAAUAACAACAGAAAUCACCAUGCAUACGGUACUUCGCAUAGACAGGUUAUUCCAACAGAAUACUAAAUAACAGAACCAGGUCCGGCGUAAAACGCACAGACAGGAUAUUCCAACACAAUAAUAAAGGCGGAACCAGGUCCGGCGUAAAAGUCACAGACAUGAUAUUCCAACAGAAUAAUAAAUACGGAACCAGGUCCGGCGUAAAACGCACAGACAGGAUAUUCCAACAGAAUAAUAAAGAAGAAAAUAACAGAAGAAUUUCAUCAAAUAUAGGGUAGCCCGCGUAUACAGGUUAUUCCAACAGAAUAAUAAAGAAUGGAAUAACAGAAGUUCUCUUCAUGAAUACAAAAGAAAUAAUACCCCUUACAGUUACAACAAAUAAUAUCCAUUACCGUAAAAGAAACUGGAUAUAGGAAAAUAAAGUUAGCAGACUUCUCUUCUUCUUUCUCUCUAUAAUUUUCUCUCUUUAAAGUUUCAGUGAAUUCGUAAGAAAUAAUGAAGGAAUGAACUUCUAUUUAUAGAAGAAUGGACUGCAUAGUAACUAAUUCAUGAACGGUCCAGAUUGAUUUACUUUUAAUCGAACGAUCCAUAAUUAAAGCAAAGUUUUUUAAAUAAAAUAUAAUAUAUUAUAUAUAUAACAUGUGCAAGAAAAGAAAAAUCACGGGUGGAAGACCCGUGAAUUCAUCUUACUCCCUCUGUCCAUUUUUUCAAACUUACAUAUAUAUAAUAUAAUAUAAUAUAAUAUACAUAAUAAUACUCCUCCCGUCCAUUUCAUCCAUACCCCCCCACCCAAGACUUUUCAUCACAUAUAUAAUAUAAAACAUAUAUAUAUAUAUAUAUAUAUAUAUAUAUAUAAUACUCCCACUAACUUUUCCUUCAACCAACCCGUGACAAACAUAACAUUUCACCCAAGACUUUCCUCCACAAAUGGGCCCCACCCGUGGCCCUCCUAAAAUAACUUCUAUCGAUUAUUUUGAAAACUGGAUAAAUAGGGAUCCAUAAAAUACGUCAAAAUUCACAACAAUUACUAUAACAAUAAUUGAACAAAACUGAGUAGUUCAACAGUAUUAACGGUAAAACUUCCGCCGUUACUUUCAAUAAAAUAUUUUUGUCGUUUUCUCAAUCCGACAAUAAUUCUGUUGUGGGGUCCACCAAUGAUUGUACCGUCGUACGGAUAUUCCCUGACAAAAAGAAUAUUUCCCGACCAAUCGAAUAUAAUAUGACAACUUGCAUACUUUGCAAAAUUUAUAAAUAUUACCCACAAUUAUAAUAUUAUAUCAAAUUAUUCCAUAAUAUUCAAAAAUGAUAUUUAUUGAAAAUUCAUUUUUAUUCAUAAAAGUUGGGGUCUUACAGUAGUUAAAUUCUUAUUUUUGACAUUUUUCAAAUAUUUCAUCCAUGCUUUUACAAUAGACAUCUUUCACUUUGAUGGCGUUUGACAUGCUUACAACAAGUAAUAGAAAUCAUUUUACAGUCAUUAUUUGCAUUAAUCAAGCAUGUUAGUCACAUAGUCAAGUCGUAGUUUCAAUGGUAAUGAAUAGAUUUCUUAUAUGUAAUACAUUUUUCAAAUAUCUCAUCCAUGCUUUUAUCAUCACCAUUUUUCUCUUUGAUGGGGUGUAGUAUGAUAAUAACAUGCAACCAUACAUAUGUAUAGUUACACCAUAUUAAGAACUUAGUUACAUGAAGUUUUCAUGCUUUGCUUAGAGACUUCUAGCAUACAAGGUGCUUUUGUAACUUAUUUUAUGCCUUUGAAAAUAUUCACAACUUGGUUGAGUAAUUUAUAGUUCUUAUAACACUUUUUAGCUUUAUUCUUGUAUACAAAAGUGUAUCAUUCUUGAUUUUCCUCUCUUUCCCAAAAUAGUCCUAACAUGAUCUAUUUGGGGCAAUCAAGCUAGCUUCUCUUGACCAUUUGGGCUUAGUCAGGCUUGGGGUAGCCUAGAUUGGCCUUGCAGUCCCAAUUGGCCUCUAUCUAUGGCAUGAUUUUAUUAAUACCCUCUUCUAUUAAGGUUUACUCUCACCUAUAUCACCAUUUGAUUCUGUUAUUUAUAGGUGAGGAUUUCUUUGAACUGCUACAUGUUUGCUACUUACUUGAUUUUGUUUUCUUUCCGUUUGUAGCUAACUACUCACUAGUAGCAGCUCUCUACUUUAGAUACUAAAUUUACUAGCUUUUAAUCUCCCACUAAACUUUUGGGUCAGCAGCUAGGGGACACAACUCCCUAAUAAUAGAGCAUAUUGGUUAAUUAUCUUAAGCAAUAUAGUUGUAUUGUCUGAAGGUCUAAAGGACAAGUUCAUUACCCAGCUCAGCUACUGUUGCUAUUAGUUGUUAUUUUUCAGUAAUAGAUUGACAGUCUUCAAACUUACCAUGUUUCUUCUUUAAUAACUUUUGUCUAGAAAAUUUCUAUUGCACUAUGUGCACCUUUGAAUACUUGCUUAAAUAAGUAACAAUUACACUCUAUUUAAUUCUGCAGUUUGCAUUUCAAAUCCAAACUACGUUGCCUAUAGCAGUUUAUUGAGGAUGUUUAUUAUUGCCUUAUAGCAACAACCCCCCCUAUUUUGUAAAAUUUCCCAAAUCACAAUUUUAGAUUAACCUAGACUGCCCAAAACCAUUUUAGUAAUGGCUCAUAGCUACAGUUUUAAGCCAACUGUUGCUGCUCCUAGGUAGCAGCUACAUUUGAUUUUGUUUCAUGCCUUGAACUCUCCCUAAUUUUGGUUUACUUGCACUUUAUUUGAAAGUUAUAUAACUAACAUUUUCAACUAAUAGGGAAACUUUAAAUCAAUAGUGAAAUUAUAAUCUAUAUGAUCCAACAUGUUAGCUAAACUGACCCUAGCGAGUCCAGAACAAUGGUCUACAGUCUUCUUUUGUUUUUCUAUGCCAGCAACCAAGCUUGGCUUGGCCCUGUAAGGCUGAUCACCUAAGCUUGGUGUGGCCCUGCUUGGCCUCACGGUCCCUAAGUCAAAUCCAAAGUUGUUAUAGCAGCUGCUAUCUUGGCAACUGCUGCCAUCAAGGAAUAACAGCCCUGCCACUCUUCUUUAAUUCUUAUACUUGCAAACCCCAGAGGAAUGUUUAUACACUAACUUCAACCAUACAUCCUAGUUAGCUCUUAUAAAGUUAUAUUAAUUUGUUAAACAGACUGCCCAAAACUGCUUUAGCAGUCAUUCACUUGUCGACUGUCGCUGCUUGUUUCUAUAACCAGUAGGCAGCCGUCCCAAGUCUUAUGCCACUAAAAGCUUUUACCUCUUAGAUUGAUAUGAAAUCUUGGCAUGUUAUAGGUGAUUCAAAUUCUGAUUAUUUUUAGCUACCAACUAGACUAGGAGAAAAGCUUGCUAGUGCCACUAAAGGUUAAUAUUUCUGCUGCUGCGACAUGCUUUUUGCUGCUGCUUGCAGCUAAUUGCUGCUGCCAAUGGGCAGCUGCGCCCCUUACUUCAGGCCAUUUUUGGCUUCACAUCAAUUAGCCUAUUCACAACCCACUUUCAUUGAUCAAUAAAUGGUACACCUGCCUUCUAAGCUAACUUAGCAACUGUGGCCCAAAUGUACUAUAUGUAAAUCAAAAUGGUGUGCUAACCUUCCUGCUCGGCUCUGCAGAGCAGUGCAGCACAACGCUGGGCGUUUACUGCCAAUGCCUGCAGUAGCCUCAGCUAGCUUUGCCCAAGCUCAAACAUUUUUUUUUCUUAAAAUUUGUUUUUCUUUCCAUUAAUAUGUCAAAACAUAUUUCCUAAUCUUAUAUAAGACGUCCAUAUAUAACCCCAACUUUAAUUCCCUCUAGAAUUCUCUUUUUAGCCAAAACAGUCCACUUGGGACUUUUAACAAAUAUAUGGUGUGCACAGUUUUAAUUUACUCUUUCCAUAGCCAUUUACUUGUGUUAUAAUCUCAUGUUAGCCUCCUUAUUACUCCACAGCCACCUAUCUCCUUGUGCCUAAAUUACAUACAUCUAGCAUGCUAGUGAAUAACCUUUACAACAAUAAAAAAGUAAAAUAAAUGCUAUGUGACUUUACCAGGCCAUUCGGCCAUAACAGUCCAUCACAACUUGCACGAAAUAGUGUUAAACAAGAUAGUUUAUUACUUGAUAACUUUUCCUUAAAAGUUUGAUAUCACAACUUUUACAGAAGAUUACAAUUACCCAUGACAAGUAUAAUUUACUAACACAUCUACAUUACAACAUUAAUAAUACUAACAAUAUAGCAGCCCCUUCUUUUUUCUUUUCAGGCCAUUCGGCCACUGUAGAUUACUAGCAGCAAGAAACUAAAGUGGAAAAGGAUUGGAAAUCUUACCUUAUUGAUUCGAAGGAAACAAAGAAGUUAUACUGCCCAGCUUCUCCACCUACUCUUAGCCGAACUCUUCCACCCUCUCUCUAUAUGACCGAAUUGCUAUAGCUAUUUUGUCUCUACUAAGUGAUGAAGCUAAACUAGUUAAUAAGCUUGGCCCCUUUUUUAUGGCUGAGCUUGGUUCCUUCUACUGUUAACUGCAUCACCUCCUAGUUGGCCCCUACACAGUCAUCAUUCCUAACCUAGCUUCACAGCCACCCUAGCAGACUCUACUUACCUGCUAAGCCUUAUCUUCUGCAAGCUUAUCUAACAUAUUCUUUGUCUGUUAUACAAACUAACCUACCUGUUAACUAGAACCAACUUAGAAACCAUAUGCUUACAGCCUGACUAUGUACUCACGUUAUGCCACUGCUUUUCUUAUUUAGUCUGAAACAGUUAGCUUGUUAUACACCACUGGGUUUACAGGAUUGGUUUAGGUAGGAGUUUGAUAAAUACUUAAUUUGGGCUUAAACCAAUCCUCAAUGGUGGCUGCCGAAAUUGGGCUAGAAAAUGAGUUAGAAUUGGCUUUAUAUUAGACCCAAUACCAUAACCCUUAUUCCUACAUUAAUUAAAGGAGACUUGCAAACAUACAAUUGCAAAAAUUUAUUAUGGCCUAAUAUUUUAAUAUGGACUCUUGUUAAAUUAACACAUGGACUUUUAUAUAUUAUUUUCUCUAGCAACAAUAGUUAACACAUAUAUCAUUAAAAUGUCUAUUCCAUGUAAUCUUAAAUAAUUCAUGGUGGUACAAUAUUUCUUUAUCCUUCAUAAUUUAAGAUGUUUAAUAACCUAUUAAAUAAAUAAUAGUUUUGUCACAAUGAGAAAUAACAUAAUUAAAAUAAAAUAAAAAAUAUACUCACAAAUUGACAUUAUAAUAAUUAAAUAUUACAUAGGAUUUUUUGAGUCAUUACAUACGCGAUAACUCUGCCGUUCUGCAAAAGCACACAGCCUUGUCCUUUAUGCGAUGCAUCAUUGUAUACCACAAAAUUCCCUGUAUCAUCAGGCAAUGACAACACAGGUGUUGAACUCAACCUUUUCAUUAAUUCUUGAAAACUUUCCUCCCACUUCUCUGUCCAAACAAACUUAACCGUUUUCUAGUUAAAUUCGUCAACGGAGUUGCGAUCUUGAAAAAGUCUUGAAUGAAACGCCUAUAGUAACCCGCCAAUCCUAAGAAACUCCUUACUUCUGACGGUAUCUUCGGCUGAUCCCAGUUUAUUACAGCUUCAACCUUUGAUGGAUCUACCGAAAUUUCGUCCUUAUCAAUAACGUGUCCGAGAAACUGUACACGUUCCAACCAAAACUCACAUUUUGAAAAUUUUGCGUACAACUUUUCUUUUUUCAACGUCUCUAACGUCAAUCUCAAGUGUUCAACAUGUUCCUCUUUGGUCUUGGAAUAUACCAAUAUAUCAUCGAAUCAAAUCCAUGAUAUAUUGGUAUGAACAGGGUGUUUAUAUCAUUUGUCUAAGAAUGGUUUAAACACCUUGUUCAUCAAAUCCAUGAACGCUGCAGGUGCAUUGGUUAAACCAAAAGACAUAACCAGAAACUCAUAAUGACCAUACCGAGUUCUGAACGCUAUUUUUGGUACAUCCUCUGGCCUCACCUUUAACUGAUGAUAACCACUCCUCAAGUCUAUCUUUGAGAAAUAGCUUGUUCCCUUCAGUUGAUCGAACAUGUCAUCGAUUCUAGGUAAUGGAUACUUAUCUUUAAUCGUGAUCUUAUUCAAUUCUCGAUAGCAAUGCAGAGCCGUAUCGAUCCAUCUUUCUUCUUAACAAACAACAUCGGCGCUCCCCAUGGCGACACACUCAGUUGAAUAUACUUUUUGUCGAGUAAUUCUUGCAAUUAUACCAUCAACUCCUUCAUCUCUACUGGGGCCAUUCUAUAUGGUGCAUUAGAUAUCGGGGUCGUUCCUGGUAAUAAGUCAAUUACGAACUCGAUUUGUAGAUCCGGCGGAAGACUCGGCAAAUCGUCUGGAAAUACGUCUGCAAAAUCUCUUAUGAUUGGUAUCUCUUCUAACUUCGCACUCUUCUUUUGUGUAUCGACUAUGUAGGCUAAGUAUCCUACACAUUCUUGUCUCAACAACUUCUUGGCUUGCAUCACCGUUAGACAACUUGCUUGUCGAGGUGACUUGCUGCCGUAGAACACAACCUUUGAUGGAGUCAUAAGGUUAACACAUUUCCUUUCGCAAUCAAUUACUGCUCCGUAAUUGAAUAACCAAUCCAUUCCCAGUAUAACAUCAAACUCACAAAGUCUAAUUGGUAUCAAAUCUACCAUCAUCUCGUGACCUUUUAUAACCACCCUACAAUUCCUAUAUAUAAAUCUAACAGGAAUCACUUCCUUAUUCGCAAUCUCUAUGCUUAAGGGAAAUUCUAAUUCUUCCUGAGGCAAAUCUAAAUUUUGAGCAAAUUCAUUGGAUAUAAAUGAAUAAGUAGCACCCGAAUCAAAUAGUACAUAAGCAUUAAUACCAUUAAUCUAAAUGAUACCUGAGACCACAUCCUUAGACUAUAUAACAUCCUGCACGGUCAUAUUAAAAGUCCUCGCAGUAGGUCGACUUUGUGACGCCCCCAAAAUUAGGUAUACAUCACCCAUCUUGGGUCGCCACUUACAUGGUACAAAAUACAAAUACAACUUAAUUAUACAACAGUCGUGUAAGCUACGACAAAAUAUAAACAAUGAGUUUUAACUCGAAUAUUGUCAUCUAGACAUUAUUCAAACACAAAUAAGUCCUCAAUACAUUUAUUGUCACACUAUUUAACAAAAUAGUGAGGACUACUAAUGCUAUCAUCUGGACUGUCACUCCGUUCCCCGACUCGUCCCCGUUACGUUCUCAAUUCCUGAAGAGAAUAGUGAAAGAAAGGGUGAGCUCAACUAGCCCAACAAGAAAUAUUAUGACUAAGAUAAUGCAGAAUAAAUUAUCAUUAGUCUCCAACAAUGUUAAACUGAUAAAAUACAAUAGACAUCAAGUUUAACUGCAGCGGAACAAGCAAUCCAUUAAAAGAGUCAAGUAGAGAAUAAAACCUACUAUNNNNNNNNNNNNNNNNNNNNNNNNNNNNNNNNNNNNNNNNNNNNNNNNNNNNNNNNNNNNNNNNNNNNNNNNNNNNNNNNNNNNNNNNNNNNNNNNNNNNNNNNNNNNNNNNNNNNNNNNNNNNNNNNNNNNNNNNNNNNNNNNNNNNNNNNNNNNNNNNNNNNNNNNNNNNNNNNNNNNNNNNNNNNNNNNNNNNNNNNNNNNNNNNNNNNNNNNNNNNNNNNNNNNNNNNNNNNNNNNNNNNNNNNNNNNNNNNNNNNNNNNNNNNAAUAAUUAAAACGGAACCAGGUCCGGCGUAUAGCACAGACAGGAUAUUCCAACAGAAUAACUGAAUAAUUAAAACGGAACCAGGUCCGGCGUAGCACAGACAGGAUAUUCUAACAGAAUAACCGAAUAAUUAAAACGGAACCAGGUCCGGCGUAUAGCACAGACAGGAUAUUCCAACAAAAUAACUGAAUAAUUAAAACGGAACCAGGUCCGACGUAUAGCACAGACAGGAUAUUCCAACAGAAUAAUAAAGACAGAAUAAUAGAAGAAUGUCACCAAGUAUAGGGUUGCCCGCGUAUACAGGUUAUUCCAACAGAAUAAUAAAGAAAUGGAAUAACAGAAGUUCUCUUCUUGAAUACAAAAGAAUAAUAUUCCUUACCAGAAAAGAACUUAAUAUAAGAGUAGUUUCAGUAGCAGAAUACUUUUCUUCUUUCUCUCUUACAAUUUAUCUCUCUAGAGUUUCAAUGAAUUUGUAAGAAAAUAAUGAAGGAAUGAGCUUCUAUUUAUAGAAAAAUGGAAUGCAUAGUAACUAAUUCAUGAACGGUCCAGAUUGAUUUACUUUUAAUCGGACGGUCCAUAAAAUAUAUUAUAUAUAUAUAAUAUAUAUAUAUAUAUAUAAUAACAAUAAUACUCCCUCCGUAUAAACCAAAAAAAUAAUUUGACAACUUUGAAAAAAACUCCCAACCUUUCAAUUUUCAAUACCGUGGGCCCCACAUGUUCCCCUCCCCCCAACAUGUCAAUAUCACAAGGGUCUCAUUAUAUGUAAAUAACUUUCUAUCAAUAAUAUUGAAAAAUAGGUAAAUGGGGGUCUAAAUAAUACGCCAAAUUUACAACAACUACCUCAUAAAAAUCCCUUCAAUAUUUUUAACAAUAUUUAUCAUCUUUAUUACAAUUCACAAUAUUAAUCGACCAGGUCGUUCCCAGGAUAGAGGGGGCUUUCCAAUAAGGAUUUCUCUCUAUUGGCGCGCAAUUAGAUUAUCUAACCUCUCCUUGACAGAACUUCUAGACAUCGUUAAUAUUGCAAAUAAUAACAUUAAUAACUUUGUCGUCUCAAUUAUUGAUUUAAUAAUAUAAAGAAUAUCAACAAUAAUUGAAUCAAAUAACGUGAGAUACUAUGCAACAAUUACUAUAACAAUAAUUGAAUAAAACUGAAUGACUUCUCACGUAAGCAUAAAUAAUCAAUACCGUGUGCUACUAUGCAACCACGCGUAUUACUGUACUUUUACUACUGAGUAGUUCAACAGUAUCAACGGUAAAACUUCCGUCGUUAUUUUCAUAAAAAUAUUUUUGUCGUUUUCUCAAUCCGACAAUAAUUCUGUUGUGGGGUCCACUAAUGAUUGCGCCGUUGUACGAAUAUUUCCUGCUAAAACGAAUAUUCCCCAACCAAUCGAAUAUAAUAUAGCAACUUGCAUACUUUGCAAAACUUAUAAAUACUACCUUCAACUAUAACAUUAUAUUAAAUUUAUUGCAUAAUAUUCAAAAAUGAUAAUUAUAGAAAAUUUAUCUUUAUUCAAAAAGUUGGGGUCUUACAACCCCCCCUUCUUAAGAAAUUUCGCCCUCGAAAUUAGGGUACGUACCUGGUAUAUCGAAGAGGUAAGGAUACCUUGAUUUCAUUUUAGAUUCUAACUCCCAGGUCAUUUCCUCAACAUCGUGGUUUCUCCACAAAACUUUGACUUGAGGUAUAACCUUGGAGCGUAAAAUAUGUUCCUUGUUAUCCAAGAUUUGAACAGGAACCUCUUUAUACGUUAAAUCUUCCGCUAUUUCGUCUGGUUCUAGCUCAAUAAUGUGGUUCGGGUCUUCCACAUAUUUACGUAACAUGGAUAUGUGAAAAAUGUUAUGAACACCAGACAUACUAGGCGGUAAAGCGAGUCUAUAGGCCACAGUUCCUACUCGAUUGAGGAUUAAAAAUGGGCCAAUGAAUCGAGGAUUGAGCUUUCUUAUCUUUCCAAAUCUCGUAACACCUUUCCAUGGAGCAACAUGUAACAACACAUGAUCUCCAAUAUCGAAUUCCACGUCCUUUCGAUGAAGAUCAGCAUAACUCUUUUGUCGAUCUUGUGAGGUUUUUAUACGUUGUCGAAUCGUUUGAAUCUUUUCCGUAGUCAUACGUACCAACUCCGGUCCCAACAACGUUGCUUCACCCACCUCAUCCCAGCAUACUGGAGAACAACACUUUCUCCCAUACAACGCCUCAAAUGGAGCCAUGCCAAUACUUGCUUGAUAACUAUUGUUAUAGGAAAACUCCACCAAUGAUAAGAACUUAUCCCAACUUCCAUUGAAGUUAAGGACACAGAGUCUUAAUAAAUCUUCUAGAGUUUGAAUAGUCCUCUCUGAUUGUCCGUCCGUCUGAGGAUGAUAUGCUGAACUAAAUCGUAAAUCUGUGCCCAUAGCUUUUUGCAAACUAACCCAAAAUCAUGAAGUGAAUCUUGGGUCUCGAUCAGAAACUAUGGAUACUGGCAUACCAUGCAGUCUUACAAUCUCGUUUAUGUACAUACGAGCAAGACGUUCAAGUGUAUAAGUUUCUCGUAUAGGUAAGAAAUGAGCAGACUUGGUCAAUCUAUCAACAAUGACCCAAAUUGCAUCUAUGCCUUGAGAAACCUUGGGAAGACCAGUAACGAAAUCCAUGGUAAUGUGCUCCCACUUCCAUUCUGGAAUUUCAAGUGGUUGCAAUGGACCUUUUGGUACUUGAUGCUCCGCCUUGACUCGUUGACAAGUUAGACACCUUGAGAUAAACACCGCUAUCUCUCUCUUCAUAUUGCUCCACCAAAAUGUAUGUCGAAGAUCAUGAUACAUUUUGGUACUCCCAGGAUGGAUUGCAAACGGUGUGUUGUGCGCCUCCAUCAUGAUUUUAUACUUUAAAUCAGGGUCGUUAGGAACACAAAGUCUGGAGUUGACUCGAAGUAUUCCUUCUUCAUCGAUUCUUGCUUCCGACAUAACACCUUCUUGCACUUUCUUCCUCAUACGCAUCAGCUCCAGGUUUGUAGUUUGAGCAGCUUUAACUUUAUCAAUUAAAGUCGAUUAUACUCGUAUGUUCGCCAUCAUCACAUGGGUCCCUGGAGUCUUUAACUCCAUCUCCAUCCUUUGCAAGUCAUACAAAAUGGGCCUUUGUGUUGACAAUAUUGCACUCGUACCCACAUAUGAUCUUCUACUCAAUGCGUCAGCUACCACGUUCGUUUUUCUAGGAUGGUAUUGGAUGGUAUGAUCAUAAUCUUUCAACAGUUCAAGCCAACGUCGUUGUCGCAUGUUGAGUUCCUUUUGAGUGAAGAAAUAUUUAAGGCUUUUAUGAUCCGUAAAGAUCUCCACUUUCUCCCCAUACAAGUAAUGCCUCCAAAUCUUUAGUGCGAAGANNNNNNNNNNNNNNNNNNNNNNNNNNNNNNNNNNNNNNNNNNNNNNNNNNNNNNNNNNNNNNNNNNNNNNNNNNNNNNNNNNNNNNNNNNNNNNNNNNNNNNNNNNNNNNNNNNNNNNNNNNNNNNNNNNNNNNNNNNNNNNNNNNNNNNNNNNNNNNNNNNNNNNNNNNNNNNNNNNNNNNNNNNNNNNNNNNNNNNNNNNNNNNNNNNNNNNNNNNNNNNNNNNNNNNNNNNNNNNNNNNNNNNNNNNNNNNNNNNNNNNNNNNNNNNNNNNNNNNNNNNNNNNNNNNNNNNNNNNNNNNNNNNNNNNNNNNNNNNNNNNNNNNNNNNNNNNNNNNNNNNNNNNNNNNNNNNNNNNNNNNNNNNNNNNNNNNNNNNNNNNNNNNNNNNNNNNNNNNNNNNNNNNNNNNNNNNNNNNNNNNNNNNNNNNNNNNNNNNNNNNNNNNNNNNNNNNNNNNNNNNNNNNNNNNNNNNNNNNNNNNNNNNNNNNNNNNNNNNNNNNNNNNNNNNNNNNNNNNNNNNNNNNNNNNNNNNNNNNNNNNNNNNNNNNNNNNNNNNNNNNNNNNNNNNNNNNNNNNNNNNNNNNNNNNNNNNNNNNNNNNNNNNNNNNNNNNNNNNNNNNNNNNNNNNNNNNNNNNNNNNNNNNNNNNNNNNNNNNNNNNNNNNNNNNNNNNNNNNNNNNNNNNNNNNNNNNNNNNNNNNNNNUCAAAAUCCAAUUUCUCCGGAGUCAAAUUUAAACGUUGAGCGCAAGUAGGAGAAAUGAAAGAGUGGGUAGAACCAGUAUCAAAUAAAGUAUAAACUUCGCUAGAGUUUAUGAUAAGCUUACCCGUGAUGACCUCGUUCGGGUUCUUUACUUUUUGGGAGGUUACAACAAAUGCUCUUCCUUGCACUACCGACUUUGACUUUUCUGGGAUGGCCUUUGGUGACUCUAUCCUAACUGAACUUGUCUUCGGUGCACGACAAAAUCGAGCCAGGUGACCUUCUCUUCCACAGUUGUAACAUGCUUUGGAUGGCAUCGCACAGUUGGGACUGAUGUGUCCCUCUCCUCCACACUUGAAACAUAUGAUAGGUGGUCGUUCCCCUUCCUUAACGACAGGUGCUGAUGUUGACGUCUUUCCAUCAUUGUUGAAUCUCCUCUUUUUGAAAUGUCCAUUUUUAUUGUUUUGGCCAUGAUUACCACCGAAGUGGUUACCAUUUCUGGCCUUUUGAUUUCCUCCACGCUUGUUGUCACCGCUUUGAUGACUGUUCUCACUGGUAUUAUCAUUUUAUUGGCUGCUCUCUUUUGGUUGGCUUAACUCGUUAUCACGCUCCAAUAACUGAGCCCUAUUAACAACAUCCGAAUACAAACACAGUUUAUGAGAGAUAAGAUAUUGACGUAUCUCAGGUUUCAAACCUCUUAAAAACAUUCGCGUCAUUCUCUCCUCAUUAUCAACCAAAUGGGACGCAAACUGGGACAACUCGGCAAACUUGGCUUUGUACUGCGAUACUGUCAUGUUGUUUUGUUCCAGCCUGAUGAACUCUACCUCUUUCAUGUGACGAAUACUUUUGGGAAAGUACUUGUCGUUGAACAAUUCUUUGAACUUCUCCCAAGUCAUCUUCAGUGCGGCAGGUUGAGUACGCUUUACAGAUUCCCACCAGUAAUCUGCCUCUCCUCGCAACAUGAAGGUGGCAAAGGAAAUCUUUUGUUCCUCGGAGCAUCCCAAGACAUCAAAUAUCUUGGUAAUCUACUUUAUCCAUGUCUCCGCCUUAAGUGGUUUUGGUUCUCCAAUAAACUUCGGUGGUCCCAGCUCCUUGAACUGUUUGGCGGUGACCAUCCGAGAGUUGCUAGUGUUUUCACCUGCAUUUUGGACAGGAGCCGCUCCUGCCUGAUGUUGUAUGAAUUGCAUGAAUCCUCGAAACAUUUUGUUGUUCAAUAUUUGGUCAGUGUUGUUGUUUGCAUGAGGAUUUUUGCCUUCCUGAUGCACAUUGUCCUGAUUGUUGAUCUGUGGAGACUCAACGGUCUCCUGUGCUCCAUUGAUGUUCUCAACGUUCUCGGAUGCCAUUUUCAAAUACUGCCACAAAACAAGAGUUAAUUAACACAUCACAUAUUAUCCCUAUACUCUAACCAACCAAUUAAAUAACAAAUAAACUUAGGUAGGUCAUACUAGCGAAGGAAUUCCCCGUCUCUCCCCUCCUAGUUCUUAUCUCACAUCUUAGCCAGGGAUCAUAUCCCUAACCUCUGAUACCAACUGUGACGCCCCCAAUAUUAGGUAUACAUCACCCAUCUUGGGUAGCCACUUAUAUGGUACAAAAUACAAAUACAACUUAAUUAUACAACAGUCGUGUAAGAUACGACAAAAUAUAAACAAUGAGUUUUAACUCGAAUAUUGUCAUCUAGACAGUAUUCAAACACAAAUAAGUCCUCAAUACAUUUAUUGUCACACUAUCUAACAGAAUAGUGAGGACUACUAAUGCUAUCAUCUGGACUGUCACUCCAUUCCCCGACUCAUCCCCGCUACGUUCUCAAUUCCUGAAGAGAACAGUGAAAGAAAGGGUGAGCUCGACUAGCCCAGUAAGAAAUAUUAUGACUGAGAUAAUGCAGAAUAAAUUAUCAUUAGUCUCCAACAAUGUUAAACUGAUAAAAUACAAUAGACAUCAAGUUUAACUGCAGCGGAACAAGCAAUCCAUUAAAAGAGUCAAGUAGAGAAUAAAAUCUACUAUCUUUUAUGAUUUAAAAGGUUUUUCAUCACUUUUAUCGCUGGGACUCAGCUUAAUAAAUAAUCCACAUCAUCGAAUCACCCCUGCACUACGGCCAAGGAUAUUCUUUAGUAUCACGACCACAAUUAUCCAUGCACUACGGGCCAAGAAUAUUUGUGUAUUCAUUAAUGGUCAUGAUCAUGCCAACAACUGUCCAUCAAUGCACUACGGGCCAAUGAGGACUUUUUCCACAUCAUUUGUAACAUUACGGUCAUGAUUACACCGAAUAAUCCCUGGUCAUAAUCAUACCAAGUCCAUCUAUGCACUACAGGCCACAGAUGACUUUCAACAAAAUAAUAACAUGAGGAUGAUGACAAUGAUAUAAGAAUUCAAUAAAAUAACUUUCAAGAAUUAAUUUGUCCAGGAAUCAAUAACGUCCAAAUUGUCAAUAAGAUAUUGUUUUGUGGUGUAAAUUAUUCAAGAAUGCUCAGAAGAAUAUUUUCAUGAAAAGAUAUUGGAUGAAGUGCAAAUAUCAAGGAUAUUCCAUUAAUUUCAUGGAGUAUAAAAGUCAAAAUUUUAACCAACUGAGUAUAAUAACGAAUGGAAUAACAAAAGAAAUCACCACGCAUGCGGUACUUCGCAUAGACAGGUUAUUCCAACAGAAUAAUAAUAACGGAACUAGGUCAGGUGAGAUUCACACCGACAGGAUGUUCCAACAGAAUAAUAAAUAAUUAAAACGGAACCAGGUUCGGCGUUUAGCACAGACAGGAUAUUCCAACAGAAUAACUGAAUAAUUAAAACGGAACCAGGUCUAGCGUAUAGCACAGACAGGAUAUUCCAAAAAAAUAACUAAAUAAUUAAAACGGAACCAGGUCCGGCGUAUAGCACAAACAGGAUAUUCAAACAAAAUAAUAAAGACAGAAAAAUUGAAGAAUGUCACCAAGUAUAGGGUUGCCCGCGUAUACAGGUUAUUCCAACAGAAUAAUAAAGAAAUGGAAUAACAGAAGUUCUCUUUUUGAAUACAAAAGAAUAAUAUUCCUUACCGUAAAAGAACUUAAUAUAAGAGUAGUUUCAGUAGUAGAAUAAUUUUCUUCUUUCUCUCUUACAGUUUAUCUCUCUAGAGUUUCAAUGAAUUCGUAAGAAAAUAAUGAAGGAAUGAGCUUCUAUUUAUAGAAAAAUGGAAUGCAUAGUAACUAACUGAUGAACGGUCCAGAUUGAUUUACUUUUAAUCGGACGGUCCAUAUUUAAAGUAAAAUCUUUUAAAUAAAAUAUAUUAUAUAUAUAUAUAUAUAUAUAAACAAUAAUACUCCCUCCGUAUAAACCAAAAAAAUAAUUUGACAACUUUGAAAAAAACUCCCAACCUUUCAAUUUUCAAUACCGUGGGCCCCACAUGUUCCCCUCCCCCAACAUGUCAAUAUCACAAGGGUCCCAUUAUAUUUAAAUAACUUUCUAUCAAUAAUGUUGAAAAAUAGGUAAAUGGGGGUCUAAAUAAUACGCCAAAUUUACAACAACUACCUCAUAAAAAUCUCUUCAAUAUUUUUAACAACAUUUAUCAUCUUUAUUAAAAUUCACAAUAUUAAUCGACCAGGUCGUUCCCAGGAUAGAGGGGAUUUUCCAAUAAGGAUUUCUCCCUAUUGGCGCGCAAUUAGAUUAUCUAACCUCUCCUUGACAGAACUUCUAGACAUCAUUAAUAUUGCAAAUAAUAACAUUAAUAACAUUGUCGUCUCAAUUAUUGAUUUAAUAAUAUAAAGAAUAUCAACAAUAAUUGAAUCAAAUAACGUGAGAUACUAUGCAACAAUUACUAUAACAAUAAUUGAAUAAAACUGAAUGACUUCUCAUGUAAGCAUCAAUAAUCAAUAUCGUGUGCUACUAUGCAACCACGCGUAUUACUGUACUUUUACUACCGAGUAGUUCAACAGUAUCAACCGUAAAACUUCCGCCGUUAUUUUCAUAAAAAUAUUUUUGUCGUUUUCUCAAUCCAACAAUAAUUCUGUUGUGGGUUCCACCAAUGAUUGCGUCGUUGUACGAAUAUUCCCCGCUAAAACGAAUAUUCUCCGACCAAUCGAAUAUAAUAUAGCAACUUGCAUACUUUACAAAACUUAUAAAUACUACCCACAACUAUAACAUUAUAUUAAAUUUAUUCCAUAAUAUUCAAAAAUGAUAAUUAUAGAAAAUUCAUCUUUAUUCAAAAAGUUGGGGUCUUACAGACUUGACUGUGCUGAUCCAGAGAUAGUUAAUGUACCACCAACGUUGUUGUUUCCUUUUCCACCACUUGCACUUCCUGCUGGCUUCUUAGGGCAAUCACGAGCCAUGUGAUCCUACGAACCGCAGGUAAAACAUGCUCCUUUAUUUGGACUAAAACAGUUCAGUGUAAUGUGUCCCUCCUGACCACAGUUGAAACACACCCGCUUUCCCUUCAAACAUACUCCAUUAUGAUUGUUUCCAUAAGUCGCAUAAGCUUCAAACUUUUUCUUCUGCUGAUUUCCUUGUUGUCCUCCCGCAGUCGAAUUUUCACUCCACUUCCUCUUCUGAUUGUUAUUUCCAACGUUACUUCCACCAGCCUUAUUUUCAUUCUCAGUCUUCCUCUUCUUAUAUUCUUGGUUGUACUUGGUCAAGGCAUCGCUUUCACCUUCUGCGAUAAUUGCCUUUUCCAGUAUAACCGCAAAUGUAUUUAACUGAAAUAUUGAAACCUUGCUAUACAGCCAGGGUUUCAAUCCAUGUUCGAACCUUAUCGCCUUUCGUUCAUCAGUAUUGACUUAAUAAGUGGCAAACCUUGCCAAUUCAUUAAACUUCGCAGCAUAUUCUGGCACCGUCAUAGUUCCUUGUUUCAGUUCCAGAAAUUGCAUUUCCAACUUAUUCUGAGAACUCGCUGGAAAGUACAUUUCAAAAAAUAUCUCCUUAAAUCUAUCCCACGCUAUCACUCCUUGUCCCCCACGAACCUUAUUUGCCUGCCACCAGUAGCUAGCUUCAGACUUCAGCAUGAACGUUGUGAACGCAGUCUUCUGAUCCUCGUUGACUCUAGAAACGUUGAACACUUUCUCCAUUUCCAUGAUCUAGGUUUGGGCUUCUACUGGAUUCAUAGACCCUUGAAACUCUGGCGGUCCAACCGCUUUGAAUUCCUUAAAGGUCAUGACUUGAGCUUGCGGUUGAUUCGCAAGUGCACCUGUUAACAAGGUUACCAACUGCUGAACCGGGUUAGCAUUGGCCUCGUUAUUAUUUUUAGUAGACCCCUCAGGAGGUGGUUGUUGACGUGUUUUUCUUCUUCUAGGAGGCAUUUUCUGUUAAGAUAUACGCUCAUUAGUUCAUUACUCAACUUCUUGAUUAUUUGAAGUUUAACUUAAAUAUUCUAAGAUUAAAGUUAUAACACAUAACAUUUCAAAUAAACUCUGGUAUUUUAUUCAUUCAUAAUGUUUUAAAACAUAUUAAAGAUAGCAUAACCGCUAUUAACAUUCACUUUCCUGAACUAAGCAAGUUUUAGGAUUACAUAUUCAUACUACCCCUUUAUUUAUCUCAAAAUAAGGGAUUCACAGUUUAUAUACUCACUUACUUAACCACGUAUUAUUAUUCUCAUUCUUUCUAUCUAGACAUAUUAAGAUGUCGUAAGGCUUCUCUAUGUUCUUCCUCCAUAAUUCGAUACAUCGUUCUACGAUCCAUCAUGAACUACAACGAAUCUUCAAAUUGAGGUGGAUAAUAAAAGACUCGAUCCUGGGCCCUAUCAAUUGCAGAAUUAAAGGCAUAAUCCAUCCCAUUCAUCUUGGCCUUCUUCACUUGAACUUUAUCCUCGGCACGGUCUGCACGUUAAGUCACCUUUAUCCAAGCGUCCUCUGCUCUCGUACGUUUAGUUGAAUCCUCUUUCAAGUCAUCUUUUAACUUCUCCACAUCAGUCUUCAUCUUCUUGUUCACUGCCAACAAAUCUUCAUGCUGACCCUUGGUAUGAAAUAGGUCCCACUCCGUGUUUCCAAGUCUUGAGUCGAGUUCUUGAAUCUCCGCAUCCUUCUGCUCUAUCGUAGCGUGAUGCAUCUCAACCAACUCCUUCAGCUCCUGAACUUUGUCUUGUAAUUCUAUGUUACGAUCGUACAGAGCAUCAUACAUCUCAGCUGAUAUGGAGCUUUGUGGAAACGCCACAGGAUCCUCUUCCUCAUCAUCCAACUCUAUCUCUUCAGAACUAUCCUCCUCGGGAUCGGUCACAGGUUCAUCCUCCUGGAUCAACUGUUCACGCAUAACAUGAAUAUCCCGGGGUUCCUCAUCUCUAGGUAUCUGAGGUAUUACUUCCCUAGCUGGAAUGGAUCCUCCUUCAUUAGACAUCCUAACAACAAAAUAUUUUAAGUUUACUUAACAUUUUUCGAUACUCGCGAGCACAUAAGUUAUUACACAUAGCACAUAAUGUCUUUUAUUAUUUAUCUUCAAUGGAUAGCUUAAUCCAUUCAUUAAAACUCGAUAAGAGUUAGACACCUCUAUAUUUUCUGUCUUCUUAAAGGUUACUUCCUAAGGUUUCCCCACCUAAGGUUCAUAACCUAAAGCUCUGAUACCAACAUGUGACACCCCCAAAUCUGGGUAUUCCUUUUCCACAGGAUUUGGUGCUCACUAUCCAAAACCAUUACAUCUAACUACCCAUAACAAAGGAUAAAGACAUAAUUUAAAUAACUUAACAAUAAUCUUCCCAUUAAAGGGUUACAUCGUCAUAAAACAAUCCCAAAUAAUUUAAUCUUAAAUUAUUACAUAAGUUUGCGGAAUACAUCAUAAAAUAAAACAAGUCUUAUAACAUAAACAUUUAAAUAAACUUUCAUAAAUCUUCAACACUUGGACAUCUUUCCCUUUUCUUUGCUAGUAGAUGGCUCAUCGACUUUCUCAACUUUAGCUGCAGUGUUAAAUGCAAGAGUGAGCAAACAAUUGCUCACUGAUAUAGAGAGUAGUAAUGAUAACAACAUAAGAUUAAACAACGAAUGCUGAACAAUAAUGAAAUUGUUCUAUGAAUAAAAAAUAGAAAACAAGUUCAAAUUUAAUAUCUGAGGGUCUUAAGACCACGAACUAUGUCCCCGAUAUUUAGGUAUUAUUACCCAACCUUAACAGUCAUUUAGACUAUACAAACCCUUCUUAACGUACUUAGGGGGAUCAGCCCUUUGUACCAUGUAUUGUGCACAAACAUCUAAACGUUACACGUACAAAAUCCCCUAUGUUAGGGUUGUUCGUCUCAGCUUGAAUUUAGAAUUUCUGCACUAAAGAGAGUUUAGCUCGGAACUAACUUAUCAAUGGUUCUAGAAUUUUAGAACACUACUCAAUUAUAGACUAAUUCAAUCAAUAAGAGUUUGCUUGCUACUUGAAGAUUUAAUAUAACAAAAAUAGAAUUGAACAAGGCUAUCAAAGUCAAAGAUCGAAUAUCAACAAUAUACAGUUGAGCACUACAACAAAAAAGCUUAUCAGCGACCGCCUAUCAGCGACCGCCUGUGGUCGCUGAUAUCUAUCUGCGACCGUCUACUCGAGUAAACAUGAUAUACAUGCAAAGUACUAUAUCCAAAAGAGUUAGAAUAAUCUCCUUUGAAUCAAUGUAUUAGAACAAUAUAUUCUUUUGAAUAACAAUAUCAAGAUUUAGGAAAGUGAAACUCGCUCAAUGUAACAAACUAGAUUACAAGAGAUUGUACGAUACACGAGAUAGAAUCAAUAGGCUUGCUGAACUUUAAUGUAAAAUUUAGAAUUAGAAAGCUUGUUUGACAUAAAAGAUAACAUAGCUAUGAAACUUGCAUUCAUUAAUAAAAGAAUGAAGUUAGAAAACUUGCUCAAUAAAAGUUUAGGAUAAGAAACUUGCCUUGUAUGUAAGCUACACAAGUGUAAUAAUGUUCGCCAAUUACCCUACACAUAUCAUUGGAAUCGCAAUAACAAUUAGUUGUAUUAUUAUUAGCUUUAAGGGUUUAAACCACCAUUUAGGUCAUAACCUUAACUUAACAUCUAACCAUGUUGGUUAACACCUUUAACAAAUCUAAAAUCCCUCUAUAAACUAACAUAAACUUUAUCAUUCAUUUCUUACUUUCAUAAACAUUAUUUUUUUAUUCAUUACAUAACUUAAUUAAAUAAUCACUUAAAAUCUUCAUACUUUAUAUUACAUCACGUUGAAAUAUGUUAUUGUAGUUCACGUUAACAUGUAUGCCAAACUAGAUUAAGUCCAUUAAUCAUAACCUAUAAAUAAGCAGAAGUCAUUGCCUAGGCUCAGGGCACGGCGCAGCUGCGCUGUCCCAAGCCUUGGCAUCGGCACAGCUGCGCCGUACACGGACAGGAACUGCAGCAGCAGCUCUGUUACACAGCACACACCAAAACUCAAUCAAAUUUCACAGAAAUCAUAAAACUCAACAUCUAAAACUUUGUGAUAACAUUAAUAAUGAUGUUAUUCAUCAUUCUCACUACCUAAACAUUAUAUAUAUUAAAUUUUAAAAGAUCAAAACCCCAAUUUUUCCAAUUUCAUCAUUUUUUUACGCUUUUAGCGAAUUCGAUUGCUACGAAUUCAUUUCUUAAUCAAUUGACACAAUUCAAACUACGUUGUUUUCGUUUCUUAACAUACUAACACAUUCUAACAUCAAAUUACAGAUUAUAGCAAGUAUUGAUCAUGAAAUUUCGUACUUUCUAAAGCCAUUUUUCAAAAAUAAACACUAUUAUUAUAACUUCUUCCUUACAAAGCCAAUUCUCACAUGUUUGGAAAUCAAAUAGCACUCACAUAUAAUGAUUAACAGAUUAUAAACCAUAUAUACAUGUAUUUGUAUUAAUCCAUCGUAAUUAUCAAUAGAAAUUUCAAACAUAAAAGUUAGAAUUAGAGUUAUACCUUACUCCUUUGAUUGUUUGCUAGCAAAAAGAUGGUGACUAGGUUUAGAAAUCCCUCUCCUUGACAAUCAUAAAGAAUUCAAACUCACUGUGUUUUCCUCUCUUGCUCUCUCUCCAAGCUCUCUGUUCUUCACUAAUAUCUAGCCUUAGGGAAAGGAAUAAUACGCGUAAAAAAAUAUACUAACUCCCACUUUCCCCACUAAUGUCAGGUCACAAACCCAAAAGUUUGUGUCAGUUAGAAAUAAGCCAAAGGCCACAGGGCCUUGUUUGGCUAACCACAAUUUCUCCUCUACUAGAUUAUUUUUAUAUUAUUUUUAUUAUAUAGUUUUUAUUUGUCACACUUGCCACCAAUUUAAAUAGCUUACAAUAAUAAUUAUAAUAAUUAUAAUUUUUAUUAUAAUUAUUCUGAUGAUUAAUAAAUAAUUAUAUAUAUAUAAUUUAAUUAAUAAAUUUGACUUAAACAUUACUUUAUUUAAUUUACCUAUUUUCUUUAAUAUAAAAAAAAAUUUAAUUUAAUUUAAUUAUUUCAUUAAAUUAAAUCUUUCAAAUAAAAAAUAGCAUUAUUCAAUUUAAUUAACAUUAAUCAAUUUAGUCACUAAAUUAAUGCACCACAAUUCAUCAAUUAUUUAUUUUUCUCAAUAAAUAAAUUAUUUAAAAUAUUUAUUUAAUUCAAUAAAUAUUUAAAUUAAAUUACAAAUUUCUCGAUCGUUACACUAUUCAUUCGGUUAGUAUUUACCCGGGGUACUAUUCAUGACAAAAAUUGAUUUCUUUUAUGUCCAAAUUAUUUUUGAUACAAUAUUAUUCUUGAAUUUUACUCCACAAUUGGUGAUCAUGUUGACAAUUUAGAUAUUCUUAAACUCUGGAUAAAUUUAAUUAUAAAUAUUUAAUAUUUAUCCUUUAUCUCGUUUGAUUGAUUCUUUAUAUCAUUGUCAUGAUCCUCAUGCUUAUAUUGUGAUAAAAGUCAUCUUUGGCCCGUAGUGCAUAGAUGGACUAUUGGUUAUUGGUUUUACAGUUGUUUUUCUUUGGCCCGUAGUGCAAAGAAGAACUGUUGAUUGAUAUCUUUGGUCGUAGUGCAAAGAUGAAUUGUUGAUUGAUAGCUUUGGCUCGUAGUGCAAAGUUGGACAGGUGUAUGACAUGAUCAUGACCACUGGUGAUACUAACGAAUAUCCUUGGCCGUAGUGUAUGGAUAAUUCAAUGAUGUGAUUGGCAGGAUCAUGACCAUUAGUUAACAGUUGAAUGUCUUCGGCCGUAGUGCACUGACAGACAAUUGAUUGGUAUGAUCAUUGUUAUUACACUUGAAUGUCUUAGCCUUUGGGGUAAGGAUAUUGAGUAAACGUUCUAUUAAGCCUUUGUGGCAAGGAGAAACUGUUGAUUCACAUUAUUAUAAACAUGAAUUGUGAAUUUAUCUAAAAUCUUUGGUGGUUCAGGUGAAGACAGGUGAUGAAAUUUCUCUUUGUCUUGGUAUAAUAAAGAACUGUUAAUGGGUAUUAUAGGGAUAAAAUUGAUGAUAAACUUUUAAAUCAUAGAAGAUAGUAGAUAUCAUGCUCUACUUGACUCUUCUAAUAGAUUGCUUAUUCCACUGCAGUUGUUGAUCUAAAACUUGUUGUCUAUUAUAUUCUAGCAGUUGUUAUACUGUUGAAGGCUAAUGAUAAUUUAUUCUGCAUUAUCUUAGUCAUAAUAUUUCUUACUGGGCUAGUUGAGCUCACCCUUUUCUUUCAUUAUUCUCUUCAGAAAAUGAGAAUAUAGCUGGGACGAGUCGGGGAAUGGAGUGAUGAUCCAAGAUAAGUGGCUUUAGUAGUCUUCACUAUUCUGUGAAAUAGUGUGAUAAUAAUUGUAAUGAGGACUCCAUUGAGUUUGGAUAUUGUCUAGAAGACAAUAUUUGUGUUAAAACUCUCAGCUUAUAUUUUCUCGUAUUCUACACGACAGUUGUAUAAUUAAGUAGUAUUUGUAUUCUGUACCAUGUAUCUGGCGACCCAAGAUGGGUGAUGUAUACAUAUUUUGGGGGCGUCACAUCAACAACCACCACAAAUAUAAAACCUUUGAAGCCAAGCCUGUGAGACCCCAAAUUUUAUGAAUAAAGAUUUAAAUUUCUCGAAAUAUUUUUUUUGAAUAUUACGGUGUGGAUUUGAUAUAAUGUUAUAGUUGUGGGUAAUAUUUAUAAAUUUUACAAAGUAAACAAGUUGUUACAUAAUAUUCGUUUGGUCGGGGAAUAUUCUUUUUGUUGGGGAAUAUCCGUACGAUGGUGCAAUCAUUGGUGGACCCCACAACGGAAGUAUUGUCGUAGUAAGAAAAUGACAAAAUUAUCUUUUUAUAAAAAUAAUGGCGAAAGUGUUACCGUUAAAACUAUUGAACUACUCCGUAGUAAAAGUACAGUAAUACGUGUGGUUGCAUAGUAGCACACGAUAUUGAUUAUUAAUACUUACGUAAGAAGUCACUCAGUUAUACUUAAUUAUUGUUAUAGUAAUUGCUGCAUCUAUCUCUCAUAUUAUUGAUUCAAUUAUUGUCACAGUAUCAUCUGCAUAAUAUGUUAUAUUAUUAAAUCAAUAAUUGAGACGACAAAGUUAUUUAUAUUAUUAUUUGCAAUAUUGAGAAUGUCUAGAAGUUCUAUCAAGGAGAGGUUAGAUAAUCUAAUUGCGCGCCAAUAGGGAGAAAUCCUUAUCGGAAAGCCCCCUCUUUCUUGGAAACUACCUGGUUGUUAAAUAUUGUGAGUUAUAAUAUUAAUGAUGUAUAAGUUUGUGUUGAUUAAAGAUGAAAUUGAUAGUUCCAUUGUGUUGGGAUUAUUAGUGUUAGUGGAAAUCGACAUUUAUUUCGAUAAUAAUUGAUGUUUGGAAGUUAUAUUGACCAAUCGGGUAAUUAACCGGAUAAAUGAGCAAUUAAUUGCUAUUAAUUCACAUGCUUAUAACUAUGUGUUCACAUGUGUGUACUAUUGAUUCACAUGAUUUACUAUUAGGGGAGUUGGUGCAAGAUUGAUAAUACUUGCAUGACUAAAUUAAAAAUAGAGGUAUAGAUGAAGGUACUAUACUGUAAUUAUUUUUUUCACAUGUUUAGAACUAUUGAGUCACAUGAUUUACUAUUGAUUCACAUGAUUUACUAUUAGGGGAGGUGGUGCAAGUUUGAUAAUACUUGCAGGACUAAAUUAAAAAUGAAGAAAAAGAGGAAGGUAUUAUACUGUAAUAUUUCGAGCCCCAAAACGUGCAAUUAUCGAAACUAUAUUUUCCUAUAAAUAGAAGCUCAUUCUUCCUUCAUUUCUCACCAAUUCACUAAAGCUUUAGAGCAAUUAUUAUAGAGAGAAAUUAUAGAGAGAAAGAAGAAGAGAAGUCUGCUACCUCACUAUUUUAGUAUGCAGUUUCUUCUAAGGUAAGGGUAUUAUUUCUUUCGUAUUCAUGAAGAGAGUUAUUUCUUUCAAUACUCGUAAGGGUUGUUAUUCCAUUCUUUAUUAUUCUGUUGGAAUAACCUGUCUGUGCGGACUACACACGCCUGGUGAAUUCUUUUGUUAUUACAUUCUUUAUUAUUCUGUUGGAAUAACCUGUCUGUGCGGACUACGCACGCAUGGUGAAUUUUUUUUUAUUCUAUUCUUUAUUAUUCUGUUGGAAUAACCUGUCUACGCAGACUACCGCAUGCAUGGUGAAUGACCCUUCGUAUUCAUUCUUUAUUAAAUUAUGUAAAUGAUCUGUCUACGUAGAUUACCGCAUGACGGGUAAAAAUCCAUUUGCAGUUUCAUAUAUUCUAUUAUACUCAUAUGCGAUAUCAUUUCUUUUGUACUCGUCAUAUAAUAUCAUUUUCUUUGGAAUUUUUCUUUUACGAGUUACUAUUGACAGAUUACUAUUCACCUGAUUAUUAUUCACUCUAGUAUUAUUCACUCAGGUAUUCGGGGCACUUUUCGUGUCAGAGUAUUAUUCACGGGUUACUAUUCACCCGAUUACUAUUCACUCUAGUAUUAUUCACUCGGAUAUUUGGGACACUUUUCGUGUCGAGGUACUAUUCACGGAGUACUAUUCCUGAAGUACUAUUCAUGAAAUACUAUUCACCCAAAAAAUAUAUUUCUUUUCAGUCCAAAUUAUUUUUGGGUACAAUAUUAUUCUUGAAUUUUACUCCACAAAACAAUAUCAUGUUGACAAAUUGGACGUUAUUGAUUCUUGGAUAAAUUAAAUUAUAAAUCUUUAAAAUUUAUCCUUGAACUUUUUUUAUUGAAUUAUUAUGUCAUUGUCAUCAUCCUCAUGCUUAUAUUGUGAUGAAAGUCAUCUUUGGCUUACGUGCAUAGAUGGACUUGGUAUGAUUAUGACCAGGGAUUAUUCGGUAUAAUCAUGACCGUAAUGUGACGAAUGAUAUGGUGAAAGUCCUCAUUGGCCUGUAGUUCAUUGAUGGACAGUUGUUGGUAUGAUUAUGACCAGGGAUUAUUUGGUAUAAUCAUGAACAUUGAUGAUUACAUGAGUAUCAUUGGCCGAGAUGCAGGGAUGAUUCGAUUUUAUUUAUUAAGUUGAGUCUCAGCGAUAAAGUUGAUGAAAAACUUUUUAAAUCAUAGAAGAUAGUAGAUUUUAUGCUCUACUUGACUCUUCUAAUGGCUUGCUUAUUCCGCUGCAGUUGUUGAUCUAAAACUUGUUGUCUAUUAUAUUCUGUCAGUUGUUAUACUAUUGAAGGCUAAGGAUAAUUUAUUCUGCAUUAUCUUAGUCAUAAUAUUUCUUACUGGGCUAGUUGAGCUCACCCUUUCUUUCACUGUUCUCCUCAAGAAAUGAGAAUAUAGCUGGGACGAUUCGGGGAACGGAUUGACGGUCCAGAUGGUUGUUUUAGUUGUCCUCACUAUUCUGUGAAAUAAUAUGAUAAUAAUUGUAAUGAGGACUCCAUUGGGAGUGGAUAUUGUCUAGAAGGCAAUAUUCUUGUUUAAACUCUCAGUUAUGUUUUGUCGUAUAUUACCCGACAGUUGUAUAAUUAAGUUUGUAUUUGAUUUAUGUACCAUAUAGUUGGCGACUCAAGAUGGGUGAUGUAUACCUGUUUUUGGGGUGUCAAAGUUGGUAUCAAAGCUUAGGGAUAUGAUCUCUGGCUGAGAUAUGAGACAAGAACUAGGAGGGGAGAGACUGGGAAUUCCUUCGCUAGUAUAUAUGACCUACCUAAGUUUAUUUGGUAUUUAAUUGGUCGAUCAGAGUAUAGGAAUAAUAUGUGAUAUGUCAAUUAACCCUUGUUUUGUGACAGUGUUUGAAAAUAGCAUCUAAAAAUGUUGAGAUCAGCAAUGAAGCACAUGAGACCGUUGAGUCACCAACGAUUAAUACCUAGGAUAAUGUGCAACAGGAAGAUAAUAAUCCUCAGGUAAAUAACAACACCGAUUAGAUGAUGAACGAUGGGAUGUUCAGAGGCUUUAUGCAAUUCAUGCAACAUCAGACGAGAGAGACUCUUGUUCAAAAUGCAGGUGGAAACACUGUCAACUCUCGGAUGGUCACCGCUAAGCAGUUUAAGGAGUUGGGACCACCAGAGUUUUUGAGAGAGCCAGAACCACUUAAGGCGGAGACGUGGAUAAACAGAUCACCAAGAUAUUUGAUGUCUUGGAAUGCUCAGAGGAGCAAAAGGUUCCCUUUGCCACCUUCAUGUUGCGAGGAGAGGCAGAUUACUAGUGGGAAUCAGUAAAACGUACUCAGCCUGCCGCACUGAAGAUGUCUUGGGAGAUGUUCCAAGAACUGUUCAACAACAAGUACUUUCCUGAAAGUAUUCGUCAUGUGAAAGAGGUAGAGUUCAUCAAGCUUGAGUAAAACAAUAUGACCGUGGCGCAGUACGAAGCUAAGUUUGCCGAGUUAUCUCAGUUUGCGUCCCACUUGGUUGAUAAUGAAGAGAGAAUGACGCGGAUGUUUCUAAGAGGUUUGAAACCCGAGAUACGUCAAUAUCUAAUUUCUCACAAACUGUGUUUGUAUUCAGAUGUUAUGAAUAGGGCUCAAUUAUUGGAGUGUGAUAAUGAGUCAGCACAACCAAAAGGCAACGACCAACAACACGAUAAUAAUCAUACCGGUGGCAACGGCCAUCGGAACAAUGAUAACCAUCGUGGGGGAAAUUAUUAUGCCAAGAAUGGUAACCACUUCGGUGGUAAUCAUGGCCAAGUUAAUAGAAGCGGAAAUUUCAAGAAGAGAAGGUUCAAUAAUGAUGGAAAGACGUCAUCACCAGCACCCGUUGUUAAGGAAGGAGAACGACCGCCGGUCGUAUGUUACAAAUGCGGAGGGGAGGGACACAUAAGUCCAAACUAUUCACAGCCUUCCAAGGUAUGUUUUAGUUGUGGAAAAGAUGGUCACAUAGCUCGAUUUUUUUCUUGUAGCGAAAUCAAGUCCAGUUGGGACAGUGGCACCAAAGGCGGAUACGGACAAAACAAAGUCGGUGGUUUCAGGAAGAGCGGUUUUUAUGACUUCUCAAAAAGUGAGUAACCCGAACGAAGUUAACACGGGUUAGUUAAUUAUAAAUUCUUGCGAAGUCUAUACCUUAUUAGAUAUCGAUUCUACCCAUUCUUUUAUUUCUCUUGCUUGCGCUCAGCGUUUAAAUUUGACUCCAGAGAAAUUAGACUUUGACUUAUUGGUUGAAACUCUGUUAGGAGAAACCUUCGUUACACCCACUGUUUAUAAAUCUUGUUUUAUUCAAAUCGACACUUUCACGUUACCUGUCGAUCUUAUCUCUUUGAAAAUACUUGCCUUUGAUGUGAUUUUAGGAAUCGAUUGGUUAACUACUCAUCAUGCCAAAAUUGAUUAUUUUUGUAAGGUUGUUAGCUUUCAUAUUCCUAACCAACUUGUUAUGCGAAUUCAAGCAACCAAACCACUAAAGUCAAUCACUGUCAUAUCAAGCCAUAAGUAAAGAGCCCCGAGCCUUUCGUUGGUGACUUCCUUGUGUGGAAUGCAUCGAAGCCGAACUUUCUGUAGGGGACGUCGUGAAUAACAGUGGCAAGUUGAUAGGUAUCAAUGUGACGUGUUAUCCAAGUCUUGGGAUGAGAGUCACAGUUUUGAAUGAUAUUUCUAUUGUUAAUAAAUUUCCUAGCGUAUUCUUGAAGACUUCUUAGCCUACCCCUAGAGCGUGAAAUCGAAUUUUUUAUUGACCCCAAUACAAAACUCAUUUAUAAAACCCUCAAAUAUUUUCUUUACCCAAAACGAACGUAUAAUGUGCCAAUGACGUUGGCUCGAGCUGUUGAAGGUUACGACUAUACCAUUAAAUUCCAUCGUGGGAAAAGCGAACGUGGUAGCUGACACAUUAAGUAGAAGAUCGUAUGCGUUUACGAAGUGUGACGUUGUUAACACAAAAACCCAUUUCGUAUAACUUAUAAAUAAUGAAGAUGGAGUUAAUGACUCUAGAGACCCACGUGAAGAUAACGAAUAUACGAGUAAAAUCGACUUUAAUCGAUAAAGUUAAAGCCGCUCAAACUACACACUCGGAGCUAGUGAAUACGAAGAAGAAGGUUCAAGAAGGCGUUAUUCUAGAAGCAAGAGUCGAUGAAGAGAGAAAAUCUCAAUCCUCGAUUUAAUUGGGCCAUUUGAAAUCCUCGAUGGAGUAGGAACUGUGGCCUAUAGACUUGUUUUACCGCCAAGUAUGUCGCGUGUUCAUAACAUUUUUCAUGUAUCGAUGUUACGUAAAUAUGUGGACGACCCGAACCACAUUAUUAAAUUGGAACUAGACGAGAUAGCAGAAGAUUUAACAUAUGAGGAUAUACGUGUUAAAAUCUUGGAUAAGAAGGAUCGUAUUCGACACUCAAAUUUUAUACCUCAAGAGUUAGAAUCUGAAAUAAAGUCAAGGUAUCCUUAUCUCUUCGGCAUACCAGGUACGUACUUAAAUUUUGAGGGCGAAAUUUCAUAAGAAGGGAAGAUUGUGAGAUCCCAAAUUUUAUGAAUAAAGAUUUAAAUUUCUUGAAAUAUAUUUUUUGAAUAUUACGGUGUGGAUUUGAUAUAAUGUUAUAGUUGUGGGUAAUAUUUAUAAAUUUUGCAAAGUAAGCAAGUUGUUAUAUAAUAUUCGUUUGGUCGGGGAAUAUUCUUUUUGUCGGGGAAUAUCCGAACGACGACACGAUUAUUGGUGGACCCCACAACGGAAGUAUUGUCGUAGUAAGAUAAUGACAAAAUUAUCUUUUUAUAAAAAUAACGGCGAAAGUGUUACCGUUAAAACUGUUGAACUACUCGGUAGUAAAAGUAUAGUAAUACGCGAGGUUGUAUAGUAGCACACGGUAUUGAUUAUUGAUGCUUACGUAAGAAGUUACUCAGUUAUACUCAAUUAUUGCUACAGUAAUUGUUGCAUCAUAUCUCUCAUAUUAUUGAUUCAAUUAUUGUCACAGUAUCAUCUGCAUAAUAUGUUAUAUUAUUAAAUCAAUAAUUGAGAUGACAAAGUUAUUCAUAUUAUUAUUUGCAAUAUUGACAAUGUCUAGAAGUUCUAUCAAUGAGAGGUUAGAUAAUCUAAUUGUGCGCCAAUAGGGAGAAAUCCUUAUCGGAAAGCCCCCUCUUUCCUGGGAACGACCUGGUUGUUAAAUAUUAUGAGUUAUAAUACUACUGAUGAAUAAGUUUGUGUUGAUUAAAGAUGAAAUUAAUAGUUCCAUUGUGUUGAGAUUAUUAGUGUUAGUGGAAAUUGACAUUUAUUUUGAUAAUAAUUGAUGUCUGGAAGUUAUAUUGACCAAUCGGGUAAUUAACCGGAUAAAUGAGUAAUUAAUUGCUAUUAACUCACAUGCUUAUAACUAUGUGUUCACAUGUGUGUACUAUUGAUUCACAUAAUUUACUAUUAGGGGAGUUGCUACAAGAUUGAUAAUACUUGCAUGACUAAAUUAAAAAUGGAGGUAUAGAUGAAGGUACUAUACUAUAAUUAAUUUUUUCACAUGUUUAGAACUUUUAAGUCACAUGAUUUACUAUUGAUUCACAUGAUUUACUAUUAGGGGAGGUGGUGCAAGUUUGAUAAUACUUGCAAUUAAAAAUGAAGAAAAAGAGGAAGGUAUUAUACUGUAAUAUUUUGAGCCCCAAAACGUAUAAUUAUUGAAACUAUAUUUUUCUAUAAAUAGAAGCUCAUUCUUCUUUCAUUAUCACCAAUUCACUAAGCUAUAGAGCAAUUAUUAUAGGGAGAAAUUAUAGAGAGAAAGAAGAAGAUAAGUCUACUACUUCACUAUUCCAGUAUCCAGUUUCUUCUAAGGUAAUGGGUAUUAUUUCUUUCGUAUUCAUGAAGAGAGUUAUUUCUUUCAAUACUCGUAAGGGUUGUUAUUCCAUUCUUUAUUAUUCUGUUGGAAUAACCUGUCUGUGCGGACUACACACGCCUGGUGAAUUCUUUUGUUAUUAUAUUCUUUAUUAUUCUGUUGGAAUAACUUGUCUGUGCGGACUACGCACGCCUGAUGAAUUCUUCUAUUAUUCCAUUCUUUACUAUUCUGUUGGAAUAACCUGUCUACGCGGACUACCACAUGAUUGGUGAAUUCUUCUGUUAUUCCAUUCUUUAUUAUUCUGUUGGAAUAACCUGUCUACGCGGACUACCGCAUGCAUGGUGAAUGACCCUUCGUAUUCAUUCUUUAUUAAAUUAUAGAAAUGAUCUGUCUACGUAGAUUACCGCAUGGCGGGUGAAAAUCUAUUUGCAGUUUCGUAUAUUCUAUUAUACUCGUAUGAGAUAUCAUUUCUUUUGUAUUUGUCAUGGAAUAUCAUUUUUUUUGGUAUUUUUCUUUUACGAGUUACUAUUCACGGGUUAGUAUUCACCUGGUUACUAUUCACUGUAGUAUUGUUCACUCGGGUAUUCGGGACACUUUUUGUGUCGGAGUACUAUUCAUGGGUUAUACUAUUCACGGGUUACUAUUCACCCGAUUACUAUUCACUCUAGUAUUAUUCACUCGGGUAUUUGGGACACUUUUUGUGUCGGGGUAUUAUUCACAGGGUACUAUUCUCGAAGUACUAUUCACGGAGUACUAUUCACCAAAAAAAUAUAUUUCUUUUCGAUCCAAAUCAUUUUUGGGUACAAUAUUAUUCUUGAAUUUUACUCCACAAAAUAGUAUCAUGUUGACAAAUUGGACGUUAUUGAUUCCUAGAUAAAUUAAAUUAUAAAUCUUUAAAAUUUAUCCUUGACUUGGUAUGAUUAUGACCAGGAAUUAUUCGGUAUAAUCAUGACCGUAAUGUGACGAAUGAUGUGGUGAAAGUCCUCAUUGGCCUGUAGUUAAUUGAUGGACAGUUGUUGGUAUGAUUAUGACCAGGGAUUAUUCGGUAUAAUCAUGACCAUUGAUGAUUACAUGAGUAUCCUUGGCCGUGAUGCAGGGAUGAUUCGAUUUUAUUUAUUAAGUUGAGUCUCAGCGAUAAAGUUGAUGAAAAACUUUUUAAAUCAUAGAAGAUAGUAGAUUUUAUGCUCUACUUGACUCUUCUAAUGGAUUGCUUAUUCCGCUGCAGUUGUUGAUCUAAAACUGUUGUCUAUUAUAUUCUAUCAGUUGUUAUACUGUUGAAGGCUAAGGAUAAUUUAUUCUGUAUUAUCUUAUUCAUAAUAUUUUUUGCUGGGCUAGUUGAGCUCACCCUUUCUUUCACUGUUCUCUUCAGGAAAUGAGAAUAUAGCUGGGACGAGUCGGGGAACGGAUUGACGGUCCAAAUGGUUGUUUUUGUAGUCCUCACUAUUCUGUGAAAUAAUGUGAUAAUAAUUGUAAUGAGGACUCCAUUGGGAGUGGAUAUUGUCUAGAAAGCAAUAUUCUUGUUUAAACUCUCAAUUAUGUUUUGUCGUAUAUUACCCGACAGUUGUAUAAUUAAGUUUGUAUUUGAUUUAUGUACCAUAUAUUUGGCGACUCAAGAUGGGUGAUGUAUACCUAUUUUGGGGCCGUCACAAAGCCCAUACACUCCCAUUUUAGAUCAUAGCUCCUAUGCCCAGACCCAUUAAGAGCAUACCCAGCCCCUACUAAUAUGCACAAUCUAAGCUCCCAUGAUCUAAAGCCCCUGACUUUGCAAAUAUAGAUCGAUAGAUAGAUUUUCGGGAAGGAUCACAUUUUGGUAGAUAGAUGGUUUAAUUUGUUUAACUAUUUAUUAUAAAAUUGAGUAUAAUUUAAUAUAAUUAAUUAUUUAGCUUACCUUCUCUCUCCUUGUCUGCAUUGACACAUAGAUUUAUUGAUUGCCACGUCCUUCUUCUGUUAAAUGGUUAACAGACAUAGACGACAAAAUUAAUUUUUGUAAAUAAAGUAUAGUUCAAUGAGUUGACCGUAAAAAAAUUUAGUUUAGUGAUGCAUUUGUAAACCGAUGUUGAGUAGAGUGGAGAAAAGUGUAUUUAAUCCGCUCCAAAAGUCACCACUUUACAAGUCUCGUCAACAAUCAGCACCAUGUAAACACUCACCCUCUUUGGUGAACUUGAAGAGUUUGAAAAUCAACUUAGGAGGUAUGAUGAUGAAAAUGAGGCACCAAUAAAGAAGACAUUGACACUUCAAGCUGAGAGUAACAAUGAAUGUGAUAACGAAGAUUUUGAUAAAGAAAUUGAAAUGCUCUCAAGAAACUUGAGAGACUAUUUCAAAAGAAAAUAAAAAAGGUAGCUCAACUCCAGUGGGUAAGUUCAAAACAGAACAAGAAGAAGAAAUUGUCCAACUCUAUUUCAUAGGACUAGAAGAUGAUGAUCAACUUGAGGUAACAAAUUUUCAUGAAGCUUUUGAAAUAUCUAUGCCUGAUUAUAUUGCUUUACAAAAUGAAAAUCAACAACUCAAAAAAAAAACUGUUUAUUUUAAGAAUUGCGUAAAUGCUAAUGAAUGAAGUUAAGUCAUUUAUUAAAGAGAGAAAAGAAAAUGAAUAUCUUAAAAAUGAAAAUGAAGUUUUAAAAGAAAAUUUAAAAAUGAGAGAUGAAUGCAUAAAUGCUUUUAAUGAUGGAAAAAUGAUGAAUGUGCAACAUGAUGAUAAUGUCACAAAUGCAAAAAUAACAUCUUUAAAAAAUGAUCUUGCUAAAUUUGUGCAAUGAGAAGAGAACCUAAAUGUUAUGUUAGGGGCACAAAGGUCUAGUCUUGAUAAAUAAGAAAUUGGGUAUAAUCCUAUUAAAAUGUGAAAAAUAGAACUAAUAAUAAUAUUAUAAUGAUUAAUAGAAAACCAAUGCAUAAACCACUUUAUUGUUCACCGUUUGUUACUUGUAAAAAAUAUGGUUUUAAAGGUCAUUUUAAAAUGUGGCUUUAUUAGAAUAAAGCAAAUUUGGGUAAAGAAAUGUGAUUUAUAUGCUACUAACCUAAUAGGACCCAAGAAGAUUUGGGUACCAAAAUGGUAGAGACUAUUUGUUCAUUUUGUAGAUGUCUCAAGGUCAAAAAGGAGACAGAUAAUACUUAUAAAUUAUUUGGCAAAAUUCGCAAGUACCUUAUUUUUUUAAAUAGAUUUUUAAUUAGAUAUAUUAUGAAAACUCUAUGGAUUUCGUAUCAUAUGGCUUCAUAACAUCAUUUAUUAUAAAGUUUUUAUUGUGCUAAAUGCUCCAUAUUUAAUACAAACGACAAUCUUGAUGAGGAAUAAGUGAAUAUUAUUUUUGAUGAACUUAACCAUGAUCUGUUAAAGGAAGAGAAUGAGGUUUCUGCUGGAAAUGACUAUCUGAAUUGUGGAACCCAAACAGUUCAAUCCGGAUAGUCUAAGCCGUCUCUAUCAGAAGGAAAGAUAGAUGAAAUCAGACAAUUUGACCCGUCUGUUUUAGAAGAAAACUCAAAUUUACAAACACCUAAAUCCAAACAGAUCGAGUCGUCUACUUUAGAAGACAAAACAUAUGAAUAUUCGGAUGCAGUAACUUAUAUUCCAGAGGAUGAAUCUCAAAAGCAAAUGACUACUGCCAGGCUUCCUAAAUCUUCUAGAACUAUGGGAAAUCAUCAUCCAAGUCUGAUCAUCAGAAAUUUCAACAUUAGGAUGUCCACAAGAAGAGGUUUUGAAGAAAUUUGUUUGCUACACUAAGGAGCUUAUCUAUUAAGCUUAUUGUUGGUAACAAAAUUGUGGAUAUAUAGGUAACAAAUCACAAAGGUAUGGUCAUUUUAUUUAAUUGCUAUAUGUGAUAUUGUUAUAAGCUUGCUCCCGUGUCUUUAUUUUAUGAAUUAUUUUUUGUUUGUCACAAAUGGGAUAGAGAUAUAACUAAAUUGAUGAUUUUUUUUUUUUUGAUAAUAACAAAGGGGAGAAAUGUUUAGAAAAAUUGAUGAUUAUGAUAUCUGAUGGUUAUAUUGAUUAUAAUAUGUUUAGAUUUUUUUGAUAUCAUAUUGAUGAUAAUGGUUGGAUAUUUUGAUUCAUUAUCUGUUAUAGCUUAUCAUUAUGCAUUAUUUAUCAUAACAGUUAUGUGAUCUUUAUAUCUCCUAUAGGCAUAAAUUUAUGGGGAGCAUGAUUGCAAGGAAUAAUAUAUUGUCAUCAUCAAAAAAGAGGGAAAUUGUUAGUUUUAUUAUUUGUGAUUUUAAUAAUGACAAUAUAUUUGUAAAUAUAAUUUAUUUAAUGUAUUGAAUUAAUUUUGUAAUGGUUUGUUGAAUAUGAUAUAUAGUAAGUUUGGUUCAUGAUAAUUUAAUUUGGUUAUAAUUCAAAUUGUUAUUACGUGCAGGAUUGAAUUGAAAUAUUUUCUUCCAGGUUGUUAUUUUGUUAAAACAGGUUGUUUCAAUUUUGAAUUGGAAUAUGUUAAGGAGUUUGUUUAGCAGUGUAAUCUAUCUAUUAAAUAUAUUAAAAUGCAGUACAUGAUAUCAUAGCUUGACAUAUGUCAUUCUCACAAUUCAACACGUGUCCUGUCUAAUUAAUAUUCCUUAAGACCCUUAACAAAAGUGCCCAGCUAACAUAACAAAUGAGGAUGAAAACAAACUUUAAUUCAUUCCCCUAAAUUUUAGAUUUAUAAUCCCCUAAAUCAUGCUACAAAUCUAAACUAUUUUGAUAAUAUCAACUGUUUUGAUAUUAUCCUUUGUAAUUUAAUUAUUAUUUAAUAAAAUUACUUUUUUAUGCUAUUAAUUAAUUUUUUAGAUUUAUAAUCUUCUAAAUAACUACAAAUCUAAACAGUUAAUAACAUAAUGUCAUUCUCUUAAUUUUUUAAAUUUACAAUCCUCUAAAUCACUACAAAUCUAAACUGUUUUGAUAAUAUCAACUGUUUUGAUAUUAUCCUUUGUAAUUUAAUUAUUAUUUAAUAAAAUCAUUACUUUAUCUCAACACCACCCCCUACAAUGUAUAUUCAUUUGUUUUUCUGUGUAAAAUUUGAUCAUCGCACAACAAUCUACCAUCUUCUUAUUAUAUUUUAAUUUAUUAAUUAUACAUACAUAUUUAUUGAAUAAUUCCGCCCGCAACGCACGAGUUUGUAUCUAGUGUGGUCUAAUUUGGAGUCUUUAAAUUAACUGGUUUAGAUAUUUGUGUAGAGUAUGGGCUCUAUCUACUCGUUAAUUUUAGCCUAUGUUGAUUACGUAUCUUUGAUUUUCUAAUUUUGAGAAUAUUUUAAGCUGUUAGCUAUAUCUAUAGUUCUGAAAUAUCAAAUUCUCGAAAUGAAAGACCAAGUCAUGCUAACCAUUUCAUAUAGUCGUUGGACUGAGUUCUAUAUAUUUUCUUCAUGUUUGUCUAUAGUGAGCAGGACUCUUGAAGCUUAUAGCAGCCAUAUUACACAGAUUAAUCAAGAGCUUUUCAAAGUUAUUUUCAGCUACUCAUUAUAUUGUUAAUUUAUUUCAGUUAAAAAUUAAGAGUCUAUUAUAAUCUAUAUUUAUUGUAUUAAAUUUUAGUUCAAGUCUUGUUUGGCUUGAUCGAUCCAAUAGUGGAUAGGUUUGUUCGAAGAAAACUUUUAAGGUUGCAGAGGUGCAAAUGUCUCAGUGGUGAGAAAGGUUGCAAUGAUGCAAAGGGGCAGAGGUGUUCAUCGCAGUGGAAAAUUUUAUUUGAACAGGGAGUUCUUUUUAUUAUACUUAAUGGAGUCUUAAAAGUUUAAUAAAAAGAGUCCAAUACCGGUUGGUUUUGAACGUGGAUUAAGCCGUUAGAGUUUAAGGGCAGAACCACGUAAAAAUUCUUGUCUGUGGUUUGUUAAUUCUUCUGGGUUGAUAAUUUAUUUCUCACGUUGCAUCUAAUCUCAUUCAUAUUACAUUUUAUUGUUGGUAGGAAAAGUAUACUAAUCUAGACACUAUCUUCUGUCUUUAUAACAAAAGUAAAAUUGACUCUAAAGCAGACACUUUUAUUUGUCUGUUUUAAGUUUAGCAGCAAGUUCAGCAGCAGGAAAAUAAAAUUAGUCAUUGUUAGUGUGCUUAUUUAUAGAAUUACAUCCACAUCUGUAAUUCUACUGAGAUUUAAUGAAUGUUUAUUUUGCCGAUUAAAAAACAAAGGAAAAAGAAUAAAAGUAAUAAGAUGUUCGAAACAUUUGAUUGUAUUAUUAUAUUUUUGUGAGCCAAGGUGAAAGCAAAGCCACCUAGUGGUAGUUGUUUUAUUUAUAAUAUGGUAAUAACAACCAUGAACUGAUAGUUGAUUUAUUUAUUAUAUGCUAAUAACAGCUAUCAGCUAGUGGUUGAUUUAUUUAUUAUAUUCUAAUAAACAGCCAUCAACUAGUAUAUAGUUUCUUGAUCAACUGUUCAUAGGAAGAUUACUGAUCGUUCAUUUAGGCGUUGGGGGGACUAAUUUGAACACCAUAGAUAACUAAACCCGUCUCCAUAGUCGUGUUUUCACUCCCGUCGAGAGCAAAUUUGAAAUCUCCAGAGUCAAAGCUAUUCAAGAAUUCCCCAGCUUUGAGUGAAAUCGGUGUGUUCCUCGGACAAUCCAUCAACCUAUAUCCAUUCACUUGCGUGGACCCAUCCGGAGGAGUAAGUGUAAGACUCACCGGACUUUCUAUGUUAAGGUUGUCUUUCAGCAGCACCACAAAAGACACCUCAUAAGUUCAUUUUUCAAGAGUUUCUGUCGGAUAUUUUCCAUCAACAUGUAGGACUAAGCUACCAAUUAAUUCAGCACUGGCAUCACUGAAAAAAAAUGAUAGUAGAAUUAAAGUCAGAAACUUUUGAUAUAAGGAGCUUAAAUUCAUUAAGGUGAUUUUAUUGAUUUUUUUUUCUGGAAAAUUUUUAAUGUUAAGUCCUUCUAUCUGACUAGAGUCUAGACUUCAAUAAAAUUUCUAUAGUCCUUCUAUCACUUUAAUUUAAUGACAUAGUUGCUUAUAUAUCCCUAUUUUUAACUGAAUAAAAUUCAGGUGUUUAAACACAAAUCUUGACCUUUGACAUCAAUUAAGUUAACUAAGUCUUAUUUCUACUUACGUAAACUUCCAGCCUGAAGGGUUGGCAUAAUUGAGUUCCUUUGCAUGCACAAAAGCCCAACUGCUCUGAAUAAGUCAACAGAAAUUUACAUUAUUAUAUGGAUAGAUAAGGCAAACCAGCGGUGACCAAUAAAUGAUAUGUCGAUGCCUUUAUAAAUAUAUAUAUAUAUAUAUAUAUAUAUAUAUAUAUAUAUAGAAUAUUGACGGUUGACAUUGUCAAAAUAACAAUUAUAAAAGUGUUGCCAAAUGUAUAUUUACUCUGAUAGCGAUGACAUUAUCAACCACCUAUAUAUAAAUAGCAAAUGUUUCAUAGCAAAAGUUUAUUACAGAAUAUGUAUCACUCAAACCAUCUUAUAUCAAUCAUGCAUUACAACAUCAGAUAGAUGAGAUCUUAAAAUUUUUGAACACUCCGCGACAUUAUGUUGCAAAUGGUACCAAAUUUUAAAAAUCCCAAAGGUGUAAGAUGGUCUAAAUUUUGCAAAAAUGUAUCACUUGCAAAAUUUACAAAUAUUAAGGAUUAUUUUUGUUCUGUAGACAACUUUAGUGUGUAUAUAUAUUUGAUGUUUGUUUCCAAUUUCAGUGGACUUACCUUCUGGCCCGGGUCCUUUUUGAGCAACGCAUUUUCCUUAGCUUGAGACAACAAUGUCUUGAGGUCAACCUUGUGAUACCUCACUACUUGUGCCAUUUCGCCUUUAAUUCUGCUAUAUAUAUUUUUUGUUUUUGUUCUUGAUGUCUAUAUAUCUCUCUUCCAAAGGCUAGCUCUAUUUAUAGAUAGCACAAAAGAGGGUAUAUUCAAUAAUAACCUAUCUUCAAAUAUUCCUUCCUUUUUCACAGUGGGGAUCCUGAUAAGUUUAACAUCAUCAUCAUCAUCGCCAAGGAUAUAGAGCAUCAGAUUCUGUUUAAUAAUUUUGUUGGAAUAUUUCUUUUCCAUUUCUCAGUUCAAUAAUUCUUUCUUUAGCUUGUUGCGCUGGCAAAAUUCGAUGAAGGCGAAAGGUACGUAGGCAUUCAAGUAAGUGAUGAUUUUCUUCUAACCAGAAGUAUGAGCAGGUUGAUGAUACAUAUGUCAUGCCAACAUAACAAACUUUAGAGGAGCCGAGUUCGAAAAAGAGAGGGUACUGGUAUAAUUGCCUUAAUUCGAUCUUAUCACCCAAGCACGGGUGCCAUCUAUUUUGGUUCAAUAUAAUGGAGUAUAUAUUCAAAUCAACAAAACAAGGCAAGAACAAAAAAUAAAUUUAAAGUGCAUAUUUUAAUAGGAAUAUCUAUUAAUAUAUAUAGGUAUGUUACUCAAAUAUCUAUACCAUCUAUACCAAUUUAUAGCAAGAUAAAUACGAGUUAUUUAAGUUGGUCUUGAGCCAAUUUAGUAAUCCAAUUUUGGUGACUCCGUAACUCAAAAUGUUUUUUUUUUGUUUUUUUGUUUGAUUUUUAUGUAUUCUUGGUCAUAAAUUUUGAUAUUCCCAAAAGUCAACUAAAACACUCAAAAGUUAUAUAUUUUCACAAAAUUUUAGUACACAUUUAUUAUUAAAGAUGGAAUAUAUUAUCUAUCAUUAAGAAUUGAGUAAAUAUAUAAAAAUAAAAUAAAAUUAAUGAAAUAACUUUUGAGCUAUCAAGUCAUCAAAUUUGGAGAGCUGAGUUGACUUGAGUUAUAUUAAAAUGUCAUUCAAAAAUAUUAUAUAUAUAAUUUACCAAAUAAAUCGUUUUUAAACUUAUCCGUACUUCGUACGGAUUAUUAAUUUUGUUUGUAUUAAAAGUAGAAGUAUAAGCAUCUCGCAGGCCAAAAAUAAAAAAAGAAAAAAAAAAAGAAAAGAAGAGCAAGACUACUUCUUUUUCUUCCUUUUUAUCUCCUUUCUUUCUUUGUUUCUUUUUAGACGGAGGACUUCAUUUCAUCUUUGAAAAUAAACAUAAGAAUUUAUCAAAGGAAAUACAAGAUAGACGAUACAAAUAUUGAGAUCUAAUGGAACUUUUGUUGUCUAAUUAUUAUUAUUUUUUAUUUUCAAAUAUACGCAUACAUGAUAAAGAUUCACAAUUAUAUAUAAUAGGCUAAAAUCAACAAUCCGCUAAAAAAUUUGCGGUCUGUCAAAAUGUUUAGUUGUCGAGCUAGUAUAAAUUACCGUCUACCAAAUCGUUAUUAGUUAACAAACUAGUGUAAAAAUUUCACUUUGGAAGCUAAUAUAAACUAUCAUCUAUCAAAUUGUUAUUAAAUGGGGAGCUACGAAUGUAAACUAUCGUCUAACAAACUUUAUUAGCUGAUGAGCUAGUGUAAAAUAUCAUUUAUCAAACUGUUAGAUAGAGUGUUGGUUACAGUUAAAUGUGUCUUUGGAUCAAUUCCUAUACAGUCCGCUUCUCCAACGGACCGGUUUGUCAGCGAACCAACUAUAGUGACGGUUCAAUCCGUCGUUAUAGCAUAGAAAAAUGUUAACGCCAAGAUUCGUCCACGUGCAAAAACGAAAUCACACAGAGGAACUUGUCGGCUUGGGCCGCCAGGGGAUAGCUCUGGUAUAAGAAUAAGUACUGACUGAAUAAAGUUAACAAUGGAGGCUUAUAAUUUUAGUGCUGAAAAAAUAAUAAGAUAUUGUGUGCAUGUGAACCAGGGUAUAUAUAGCCUUGUAUUUAUAGUGAUCACACCUCUUUAAAACGCAUCAUCUCGUAUAGGAGUAGAAUUCCUCAUUAAGAUGGAUACCUUAAUGGGACAUGAUUGAAUCUCCUUAAAAAAAGAAAGUCGGAUACUAUCCUGACUCUUUCCUUAGAAGUUAGAAAUUAAAUAUAAUUAGGAAUCCUAGAUUCCUUAAAAUUCUCCCACUGCCCGUGGGGAGACUUCCUCCACGUGGACUAUGGCCCACCGAAUUCUGUGGUCCCAAAUAAUCAUGUUCCAACAUUGUCCCCCAUUGUAAUACCUAGAAAAAUAAUUAAAAAAAUAAAAAACAUUUAAGUUUAUAUUUUAAAAUAUAUUAGUUGGAUUUUAUUAUUUAUUUGGGUCAAAGUGGUCAUUAAUUUAUGUGGGCUAAUAAAUAUUAAUAAAUUAGGGAUAAAUUAAUUUGAUAAAAUUGAGCCUUAAAACUAAUUGGGUCUAAUUUAUAUUUGUGUAAUAAUAAAUCUUAUUAAAAUUUUAUUAAAAUUAAAAGAAUUAAUAAAACAUAUUAAUUAAUGAAUAAAUAACAAACCUAAUCUUACUUUUAUUAUACAAACUGAGGGAAAGAAAAAGAAGAGAAGUAGGUGAGGCGACUUAAGAGUGAAGAAUGAAAAUUUGUCACUCUUGAUAUUUGGCAAGACACAUUUAGUAAGUUGUUACUAUUUGUUUUUUAAAUUGUUAGAUCCAUCAUGUAGAAAGCCAGUGAUUCAUAAGAAAGUUAAAAUACAUUAUAUAUGAAGUAUACUUUUAGAAGUUUGAUACAUUAUUGGUUAAUGUGGAUAGCCUUUAAGGCAGAGUAUCCAUGUGAAUUGGAUAUCGUGAAUGGCAUACUAAAAUAAUAUACGCUUAGUAUAUGGCGUGAAUCAGAUAAGAUCAAAAGGUAUUUACUGAUUAAAUGUAUCUGAAUAUAUCUAAAUAUAUCUGAAUGUAUCUGAAUUGUAUGUUCUCCAAAAUCCUAGCACCCAUAUUUAUAGGCCAUAGAAAAAUCCAUAACCAAUUAAAUAGGAUUUUUAAUAUAAAAUUGAGUAUAGAUAGAAACGAUAACUUUUCUAAAACAGAUUCUAGGUAAUACCUAAACCCAAAUCCAAUAAGGAUUCAUGUUAUACCCAACAAAUGUCCACCUUGACUUGAAUCCUCCGAAUAUUGCACAAACAGUAAACUUUUUCCUCUUCUCAAAAUGCACAACUCAAGUGCAUCGAACACUAACCACGUCCAAGCAAUGUUUGAACUUGGUAUGUGUUAACGGCUUCGUUAACAUGUCAUAUGGAUUUUCUGCUGUACCAAUCUUCAAGACCUUAUUGUCACCAUCUUCAACAAUGUCUCGAACAAAAUGAUACCUGACAUCAAUAUGUUUCCCCCGAGGACAAUACUCACAGAAGUCAAACUUUAUUAUUUUUUGUAUAGACAACUCGCUAGAUUUCUUCGUCUCCUAAUCCGUAUCAGACAUAUCUACAGGCUUCAUUGGCUUCCCUACAAUGGCUUUCUUCAAGCCUUGCUGAGUAAAAACAGCCUUCAUCCGAACCUGCCAAAGACUGAAACUAAUUUUCCCAUCGAAUUUGUCAAUAGAAAAUUUUGUUGAUGAAGUCGAACUCAACGUCAUAGUAUAUAUCGAUAAUAACCAAGCUCUGAUACCAAUUUAUUAUGACAAACUAUGACAAACACAAUAAAUCAAUGCAGAAAGAUAAAGACAAUAACACAAGGUUUUACAUGAAAACUCAAAUUGGAAAAAAACUACGGAGAAGGCAAAAGAAAUCCACUAAAUAAAUAUCUGAAGAGUACAAGAUAAAAAAAGAGAAUACUAAAUUGAGUAUAGGUAAAAAAGAUAACUUUUCUAAACCAAAACAGAUUCUAGGUAAUACCUAAAUCCAAAUUCAAUAAGGAUUCAUGUUAUACCCAACAAAUCUCCACCUUGACUUGAUCAUUCCUCCAAAUAUUGCACAAAUAUUGAACUUUCUCUUCUUCUCAAAAUGCACAACUCAAGUGCAUCGAACACUAACCACAUCCAAGCAAUGUUUGAACUUGGUAUGUGUUAAUGGCUUCGUUAACAUGUCAUCUGGAUUGUCUACAGUACCAAUCUUCAAGAUAUUAAUGUUACCAUCUUCAACAAUUUCUUGAAAAAAAUGAUACCUGACAUCAAUAUGUUUUCCCCGGGACAAUGCUCACAGAAGUACAACUUUCUUACUUUCUGUCCAGAUAACUCGCUAGUUUUCUUCGUCUCCCAAUCCGUAUCAGAGAUAUUUACAGGAUUUAUUAGUUUCCAUACAAUGGCUUUCUUCAAGCCUUACUGAGUAAAAACAGCCUUCAUCCGAACCUACCAAAGACUGAAACUAAUAUUCCCAUCGAAUUUGUCAAUAUCAAAUUUCGUUGAUGAACUCGAACUCAACGCCAUAGUUUGGAUCGAUAAUAACCAAGCUUUGAUGUGACGCCCCCAAAACAGGUAUACAUCACCCAUCUUGGGUCGUCAAAUACAUGGUACAUAAUACAACUACAAACUUCUUUUAUACAACUGUCGUGUAAAAUACGACAAAACAUAGCUGAGAGCUCUCAAUGGAGUCCUCAGUACAUUUAUUAUCACACUAUUUCACAGAAUAGUGAGGACUACUAAAACAACCAUCUGGACCGUCAAUCCGUUUCCCAAUCAGUCCCAGCUAUAUUCUCAUUUCCUGAAGAGAACAGUGAAAGAAAAUGAUGAGCUCAACUAGCCCAGUAAGAAAUAUUAUGACUAAGAUAAUGCAGAAUAAAUUAUCCUUAGCCUUCAACAGUAUAACAACUGAUAGAAUACAAUAGACAACAAGUUCUAGAUCAACAAAUACAGCGGAAUAAGCAAUCCAUUAGAAAAGUCAAGUAGAACAUAAUGUCUACAAUCUUCUAUGAUUAAAAAGUUUAUCAUCAAUUUUAUCGCUGUAAUACCCAUCAACAGUUCUUUAUACCAAAGACAAAGAGAACUUUCAUCACCUGUCUUCACCUGAACCACCAAAGAUUUUAUUUAAAUUCACAAUUCAUGUUUAUAAUAAUGUGAAUCAACAGUUCCUCCCUGCCACAAAGGCUUAAUAGAACGUUUACUCAAUAUCCUUACCCAAAGGAUAAAGAUAUUCAAAUGUAAUAACAAUGAUCAUACCAAUCAGUUGUCUAUCUUUGCACUACGGGCCAAAGAUAUUCAACUAUAAAACCAUUAGUCAUGAUCAUACCAAUCAAUUGCAUGUCGGUGCACUACGACCAAAGACAUUCAACUGUUAACUAAUGAUCAUGAUCCUGCCAAUCACAUCAUCGAAUUAUCCCUGCACUACGGCCAAGGAUAUUCUUUAGUAUCACCAGUGGUCAUGAUCAUGUCAUACAGCUGUCCAUCUUUGCACUACGGGCCAAAGCUAUCAAUCAAUAGUUCAUCUUUGGAUUACGACCAAAGAUAUCAAUCAACAGUUCUUCUUUGCACUACAGGCCAAAGUCAUACAACUGUAAAACCAAUAACCAACAGUCCAUCUAUGCACUACGGGCCAAAGAUGACUUUUAACGCAAUAUAAGCAUGAGGAUCAUGACAAUGAUAUAAAGAAUCAGUCAAAUGAGAUAAAGGAUAAAUAUUAAACAUUUAUAAUAUAAUUUAUCCAGAGUUCAAGAAUAUCCAAAUGUUAUCAAUCACUUAAUAAUCUCAUAAUCUAAUAUCAUUAAUAUUAUAACAAUAUUUUAAUCAUUUCUUAAACUUAAUUAUAAACAAUUUAUUUUAAUUGUUUACACUUUACUAAUUAAUGCAUUUAAUCAGCCUAAAAUGCCAAACUCAUAAGAUUUCAUCACCAAUAACCAAAACUCUCAUAAAAAAUCUGCAUAUACCUUAUAUAGGAUUUUCAAGCCAUAAAAUCCUAUUUAUCAAUUUUUUAACUUCACAUAACUUAUUUAAUUUAUAUGUUCGUAACUAAACUAUUUUCAUGAAAAAUAUCAAAUCAGUCUAAAAAAGUUUUCUUUUCUGAGAUUUAGCAGAAUAUAGUCCCAUAUUGAACAUAUAUUUUUCUCGAAAUUUUUAAAAUUCAUUUACUAUUUUUCAUAUGGCCAAAAUUACCGAAUAUUUAAACAUUUAUCAUAAACUAUACUUUUGUCCAAAAAUUCCAAAAUUUACAGGGUAUACUCCUUUGAUAUAUAUGUACGCCCAAUAAAUUUUUUAUCAAUUUUGGAGUUAACCACAAGGAUUUAUAAAGGUUUACUUUUAAAAUAGUCUUUUCCCAUAAAAUUCAUAACUUCUAAUCUAUACAUCCAAAAAUCACCAUUUUUGGACACAAUCUAGAAAACUCAUCAAAUUAUCAUUUCAAAUUUUUCCAGAAUUUUUGACGGUUAGAAAAAUUACGAAACUGCAAAUGGAUUUUCACCCACCAUGCGGUAAUCCACGUAGACAGAUCAUUUCCACAAUUUAAUAAAGAAUGAAUACGAAGGGUAAUUCACCAUGCAUGCGGUAGUCUGCGUAGACAGGUUAUUCCAACAGAAUAAUAAAGAAUGGAAUAACAGAAGAAUUCACCAUGCAUGCGGUAGUCCGCGUAAACAGGUUAUUAAUUCCAAUAGAAUAAUAAAAAAUGGAAUAACAGAAGAAUUCACCAUGCAUGCGGUAGUCCGCGUAGACAUGUUAUUCCAAUAGAAUUAUAAAGAAUGGAACAACAGAAGAAUUCACCAUGCAUACGGUACUCCGCGUAGACAGGUUAUUCCAACAGAAUAAUAAAGAAUGGAAUAGCAAAAGAAUUCACCAUGCAUGCGGCAGUACGCGUAGACAAUUUAUUCCAACAGAAUAAUAAAGAAUGGAAUAACAACCCUUACGAGUAUUAAAAGAAAAUAACUCUUUUCAUGAAUACGAAAGAAAUAAUACCCCUUACCUUAGAAGAAAACUGGAUAAUAGUAAGGUAGCAGACUUCUCUUCUUCUUUCUCUCUAUAAUUUCUCUAUAUAAUAAUUGCUCUUGUGAGACUUAGUGAAUUAGUGAGAAAUGAAGGAAGAAUGAGCUUCUAUUUAUAGGAAAAUAUAGUUUCAAUAAUUGCACAUUUUGUGGCUUGAAAUAUUACAGUAUAAUACCUUCCUUUUUUUCUUCAUUUUAAUUUAGUCCUACAAGUAUUAUCAAACUUGCACCACCUCCCUAAUAGUAAAUCAUGUGAAUUAAUAGUUCAUUCAUGUGACUCAAUAGUAUAAUCAUGUGAAAAAAAAACUAAUUAUAGUAUAGUACCUCCAUCUAUACCUCCAUUUUUAAUUUAGUCAUGCAAGUAUUAUCAAUCUUGCACCACCUCCCCUAAUAGUACUUGCAUGUGAAUCAAUAGUACACACAUGUGAACAAAUAGUUAUAAGCAUGUGAAUUAAUAGCAAUUAAUUGCUCAUUUAUCCGAUUAAUAAUCCGAUUGGUCAAUAUAACAUCCAGACAUCAAUUAUUAUCGAAAUAAUUGUCGAUUUCCACUAACACUAACAAUCCCAACACAAUGGAAAUAUUUUUAUCAACAAAUUUAUUUUUGAAAUUUUGAAGUUUGACUUUUUCUGCAAAAGUCAAAUGUUGACUUUUUGACCAAAAAGUCAACCCCAGUAAAUUUUGUGUUUAUAGUCUAUUUUUACUAAUUUUAUCGUUCUGGACUCAAAUAUCACGUUCGCGUCUCCAAAUUUAAUUCUGAACUCAAAUUCUAGUUUUUAAUAACAUUCAUAAUUAAUAUUAUAACUCACAAUAUUAACAACCAGAUCGUUCCCAAGAAAGAGGGGGCUUUCCGAUAAGGAUUUCUCCCUAUUAGCGCGCAAUUAUAUUACCUAUCCUCUCCUUGACAGAACUUCUAGACAUCGUCAAUAUUGCAAAUAAUAAUAUGAAUAACUUUGACGUCUCAAUUAUUGAUUUAAUAAUAUAAAAUAUUAUACAUAUGAUACUGUGACAAUAAUUGAAUCAAUAAUAUGAGAGAUAUGAUGCAGCAAUUACUGUAGCAAUAAUUGAGUUUAACUAAGUGACUUCUUACAUAAGCAUCAAUAAUCAAUACCAUAUGGUACUAUGCAACCACGCGUAUUACUGUAUUUUUACCACCAAUUAUUAUAUGACAACUUACUUACUUUGAAAAAUUUUCACAUAUCACCCUUAACUUUAACAUUUUAUCAAUUUAACUAUUUACUAAAUAGAAUAAUAAUUAUAAAAAUUGAAUACUUUCAUUUCGUAAAAUUCGGGGUCUUACAAUCUCAUCUCCUUAUGAAAUUUUGUCCUCGAAAUUUACGUACCUAGUAGUUCGAAGAGAUGAGAAUACCUUGCUUUCUUUUUCGUUUUGUACCUUCCCGGUUAUUUCCUCUCUAUCAUGAUUUUCCCAUUUCUCAUCUCCUGUAUUUCAGAUAUCAUUCUAGAAUAUAGAUUCAAAAUAAGGGUUAAUUAACAUGCCACAUAUUAUCUCUAUAUUCUGACCAACCAAUUAAAUAACAAAUAAACUUAGGUAGGUCAUACUAGCGAAUGAAUUACCCGUCUCUCCCCUCCUAGUUCUAGCCUCACAUCUUAGCCAGGGAUCAUAUCCCUAAGCUUUGAUACUAAUUGUGACGCCCCCAAAACAGGUAUACAUCACCUAUUUUGAGUCGCCAAAUAUAUGGUACAUAAUACAACUACAAACUUCUUUUAUACAAUUGUCGUGUAAAAUACGACAAAACAUAGCUGAGAGUUUAAACAAGAAUAUUGCCUUCUAGACAAUAUCCACUCUCAAUGGAGUUCUCAUUACAUUUAUUAUCACACAAUUUCACAGAAUAGUGAGGACUACUAAAACAACCAUCUGGACCGUCAAUCUGUUUCCCGACCAGUCCCAGCUAUAUUCUCAUUUCCUGAAGAGAACAGUGAAAGAAAAGGGUGAGCUCAACUAGCCCAGUAAGAAAUAUUAUGACUAAGAUAAUGCAGAAUAAAUUAUUCUUAGCCUUCAACAGUAUAACAACUGAUAGAAUACAAUAGACAACAAGUUUUAGAUCAACAACUGCAGCGGAAUAAGCAAUCCAUUAGAAGAGUCAAGUAGAACAUAAUGUCUACUAUCUUCUAUGAUUAAAAAGUUUAUCAUCAAUUUUAUCGCUGUAAUAUCCAUCAACAGUUCUUUAUUAUACCAAAGACAAAGAGAACUUUCAUCACCUGUCUUCACCUGAACCACCAAAGAUUUUAUUUAAAUUCACAAUUCAUGUUUAUAAUAAUGUGAAUCAACAGUUCGUCCUUGCCACAAAGGAUUAAUAGAACGUUUACUCAAUAUCCUUACCCAUAAGGAUAAAGAUAUUCAAAUGUAAUAACAAUGAUCAUACCAAUCAGUUGUCUAUCUUUGCACUACGGGCCAAAGAUAUUCAACUAUAAAACCAAUGGUCAUGAUCAUACCAAUCAAUUGUAUGUCAGUGCACUACGGCCAAAGACAUUCAAUUUUUACCUAAUGGUCAUGAUCCUGCCACUCACAUCAUCGAAUUAUCCCUGCACUACGGCCAAGGAUAUUCUUUAGUAUCACCAGUGGUCAUGAUCAUGUCAUACACCUGUCCAUCUUUGCACUACGGGCCAAAGCUAUCAAUCAACAGUUCAUCUUUGGAUUACGACCAAAGAUAUCAAUUAACAGUUCUUCUUUGCACUACAGGUCAAAGACAUACAACUUUAAAACCAAUAUCCAACAGUCCAUCUAUGCACUACGGACCAAAGAUGACUUUUAACGCAAUAUAAGCAUGAGGAUCAUGACAAUGAUAUAAAGAAUCAGUCAAAUGAGAUAAAGGAUAAUUAUUAAAUAUUUAUAAUAUAAUUUAUCCAGAGUUCAAGAAUAUCUAAAUGUUAUCAAUCACUUAAUAAUCUCAUAAUCUAAUAACGUCCAAGUUGUCAACAUGAUACUUCUUUGUAGAGUAAAAUUCAAGAAUGCUCAGAAGAAUAUUUUCAUGAAAACAUACUAGAUGAAGCGCAAAUAUUAAGGAUAUUCCACUAAUUUCAUGGAGUAUAGAAGUCAAAACUUUAACCAAUGGAGUAUAAUAAAGAAUGAAAUAACAAAAAAAAUCACCAUGCAUGCGGUACUUCGCAUAAACAGGUAAUUCCAACAGAAUAAUAAUAACGGAACCAGGUCAGGCAUAAUACGCACCGACAGGAUAUUCUAACAGAAUAAUAAAGAAUGGAAUAACAACAAAAAUCACCAUGCAUGCGGUACGUCGCAUAGACAGGUUAUUCCAACAGAAUAACAAAUAAUGGAACCAGGUCUGACGUAAAACGCACAGACAGGAUAUUCCAACAGAAUAAUAAAGACGAAACCAGGUUCGACGUAAAACGCACAGACAAGAUAUUCCAACAAAAUAAUAAAGACGGAACCAGGUCUGACAUAAAAUGCACAGACAAGAUAUUCAAACAGAAUAAUAAAGAAUGGAAUAAUAACAGAAUUUCACCAUGUAUGCGGUACUUCGCAUAGACAUGUUAUUCCAGCAGAAUAAUAAAUAAUGGAAUAACAAAAGAAUUUCACCAAGUAUAGGGUAGUCCGCGUAUACAGGUUAUUCCAACAGAAUAAUAAAGAAUGGAAUAAUAGAAGUUCUCUUCAUGAAUACAAAAGAAAUAAUACCCCUUACAGGUACAACAAAUAAUAUCCCUUACCGUAAAAGAAACUUGAUAUCGGAGUAGUGAAGUAGCAGAAUACUUUUCUUCUUUCUCUCUAUAGUUUCUNNNNNNNNNNNNNNNNNNNNNNNNNNNNNNNNNNNNNNNNNNNNNNNNNNNNNNNNNNNNNNNNNNNNNNNNNNNNNNNNNNNNNNNNNNNNNNNNNNNNUAACUUUAUAAAAGUAUUCUGUUUUAUAUAAAAAGAUUUUACUAUUAGCCUAAUAAAACGAAUAACUUUAUAAAAGUAUUCUGUUUUAUAUAAAAAAAAAUUCUAUUUUAUUACAUUAAUAAUACUAAUAAAACAAAACUUAUAUAUAUAUAAUAUAUAUAACAAUCAACAAUAAUUGAAUCAAAUAACGUGAGAUACUAUGCAGCAACUACUGUAGCAAUAAUUGAACAAAACUGAGUGACUUCUCACGUAAACAUCAAUAAUUAAUAUCGUGUGCUACUAUGCAACCACGCGUAUUACUGUACUUUUACUACCGAGUAGUUCAACAGGUUUAAUGGUAAAACUUCCGCUGUUAUUUUCAUAAAAAUAUUUUUGUCGUUUUCUCAAUCCGACAAUAAUUCUGUUGUGGGGUCCACCAAUGAUUGUGCCGUCGUACGAAUAUUCCCUGUUAAAACAAAUAUUUCCCGACCAAUCGAAUAUUAUAUAACAACUUGCAUACUUUGCAAAAUUUAUAAAUACUACCCACAACUAUAACAUUAUCUCAAAUUCACACCAUAAUAUUCAAAAAAAUAUUUCGAGAAAAUUAAAUCUUUAUUCGUAAAAUUUGGGAUUUUACAUUGUCGGCUCACAAUCUCCAGAAGACUAAAAGCCUCCUAUAAUUUUUCAUUAUAAUGUGUUUUUACCCGGAGAUAACUUAACGAAAGAGCCAGCCAUAGUUCAGAAUACAUGGAUCAAUGAUAUUGGAUGGGGGAAGAAGGAAAGAUGCCCUGACCAUCGAUCCACUAACAUUGUGAAAUGUACAUUAUAUACAUUCUCCUUGCUAGCUUUUGUUGGUAACCAAACCUUCACACCAAGGUAACCAAACUGUCAUACCAAGGUAACCAAUCCACACCUCCAUACCAAGGUAACCAAACCUUCAUACCAAGGUAACCAAUCCACACCUGUAGUUUUUUCAUAAUGCAGUUGGUAACCAAACUUUCAUCUCAAGGUUACCAAACCUGCAGUUUUUUUAUAGUGCAGUUGGUAACAAAACUUUCAUACCAAGGUUAUCAAUCCACCUCCACACCUUCAGUUUUUCAUAGUGCAGUUGGUAACUAAACCUCCAUACCAAGGUAACCAAUCCACACUUGCAGUUUUUUCAUAGUGCAGUUGGUGACCAAAUAAACUAUCAUACCAAGGUUACCAAACCUGCAUACCAAGGUUACCAAUCCACCUCCACACCUGCAGUUUUUUCAUAGUUCAGUUGGUAACCAAACUUUCAUACCAAAGUAACUAAACUGUCAUACCAAGGUAACCAAUCCACUUCCACACCUUCAGUUUUUUCAUAGUGCAGUUGGUAACCAAACCUUCACACCAAGGUAACCAAACCUUCAUACCAAGGUAACAAACCUUCAUACCAAGGUAAUCAAACCACAUCCACACCUGCAGUUUGUUCAUAGUGCAGUAAUUGGUAGCCAAACAUUCAUACUAAGGUAACCAAUUCAGUGUUAUUAGGUUACCAAUUUAUUUUGAAUGUGAUGCAGUUGGUAGCCAAACCUUUAUGCAGUGGGUAGCCAAACAUUCAUACCAAGGUAACCAAUUCAGUUUUAUUAAGUUACUAAUUUAUUUUGAAUGUGAUGCAGUUGGUAGCCAAACCUUCAUGCAGUUGGUUGCCAAACUUUCAGUCCAAGGUAACCAAUUCAUACUGUAGGCGUUGAUGUAGAUUGGUUACCUUAGUAUAAAGGUUUGGUUACCUUGGUAUAAAAGUUUGGUUACCUUGGUACGAAGGUUUGGUUAUCAACAUUACAUUACACAUCACUCUCUUAUCUCUCUCUUUUCUAUUCAGAAAAUAAUUUUUUUUUAUAAAACUAGAACUGAAGGUGUUCCAGUACUAUUAUUAAGUAGCUAGCUAGCUUAUUACAUGAUGACACCAAUUAUGCCUUUAUCUCCGUUCAUGUCAUGAACUCUAAUUGCUCUCUGGUGCCAUGACAUUACUAAUGAUCUUCUCCUCUGCAGUAUCUCGUGAAUUUUCUUUUCUUACCGGAAAACGGUUGCUCCCGCCACCACUGCCCCACCCUCCACCUCCACCGUCUCUGUAACCACCACCUGAGCCACCACCGCCAACUCCNNNNNNNNNNNNNNNNNNNNNNNNNNNNNNNNNNNNNNNNNNNNNNNNNNNNNNNNNNNNNNNNNNNNNNNNNNNNNNNNNNNNNNNNNNNNNNNNNNNNNNNNNNNNNNNNNNNNNNNNNNNNNNNNNNNNNNNNNNNNNNNNNNNNNNNNNNNNNNNNNNNNNNNNNNNNNNNNNNNNNNNNNNNNNNNNNNNNNNNNNNNNNNNNNNNNNNNNNNNNNNNNNNNNNNNNNNNNNNNNNNNNNNNNNNNNNNNNNNNNNNNNNNNNNNNNNNNNNNNNNNNNNNNNNNNNNNNNNNNNNNNNNNNNNNNNNNNNNNNNNNNNNNNNNNNNNNNNNNNNNNNNNNNNNNNNNNNNNNNNNNNNNNNNNNNNNNNNNNNNNNNNNNNNNNNNNNNNNNNNNNNNNNNNNNNNNNNNNNNNNNNNNNNNNNNNNNNNNNNNNNNNNNNNNNNNNNNNNNNNNNNNNNNNNNNNNNNNNNNNNNNNNNNNNNNNNNNNNNNNNNNNNNNNNNNNNNNNNNNNNNNNNNNNNNNNNNNNNNNNNNNNNNNNNNNNNNNNNNNNNNNNNNNNNNNNNNNNNNNNNNNNNNNNNNNNNAGAGUGUUGGGAGAUAGCAUUAGAUAUACAUAAUAUUUUUACAUAUUUACUAAUACACAAAAUCAUUUUCUAAUUUCUCUUUCAUCUUUCAUUCUAAACUAGCUAUCAAAGCAAAACAAAAAAGAGAGAGGGAGAGCAUAGAUUUGAUAGCCUUAAGGAGGUAAAGGGGAAGAAUUUUAAUCUUCAUGCACCCUAAGUUCAUCAAUUACUUUGGUAAAAGAAGAAGAACAUCCCAAAGAACAAGGUAAAGACCCUAAAAAAUUUCAAGUUUUGUUACUUUCUUUUGAUAAGUUUUGAUGAAAUAAAGAGCUUGUGUUCUUGAACUUUAAAACUCUUGAUCUACAUGUGUAUGCUUUUUUCACAUGUAGGUCUAGUUAUUUUUGAAGUUAAAAGUUUUUAAAAAAAAGAAAAAAGAAGAAGAAAUGAAAGUAUGUUCAAAAGGGGCUAAACACCCUAAAUUAACUAUUUUUUUUAUUUAGUUUUUUUUGAUGAAAUGUAAAGAUGAUGUUUCUAAGUUCUAAAAUUUUUUAUCUUUAUGUUUUCUAGUGUUUCAUAUAAAGAUCUAACCAUUUUUUAUGUUAAAGGUUUGAUCAAAGGUAAGGAAAGGAAACUAGUUUUUUUUUAACGAAUAAAAACCCUAAAACUUUUUAUUCACUUUGAAAUGCUAUCAUUUAAAAUCUACAUCUCCUAUUUAUGAUCCGUCAAAGAUGGGUGCUAGAUAUAGGAGUUAGCUUUCAAACCUAAGUGGUAUCACUCAAAUAUGUUGAAUUUACAAGCUUUGGUGACUGUUUUAACAAAGCUAUCCAGAUUUUUAAAAGAGAAAAAUGGAACAAUCUCAUUAUACUACAAAACAAUAUUAUUAAGGUUUAUUUACACUAUUUUAAGAGAAGCUAGAAAUGAGUUGCUGUUUGUCCAUAAGCAACAGCCACAAAGGUACUGUCUGAGAGCCUAGGAAGAGCUCCCAGACACUGUUUGUAUGCCUACUGCUACUGCCGAGGCAGUAGCCCUGCACCAAGUUCACUUUUAGCAACUUCUGAUAUUCUACUUUGCUUAGGCUAAAUUUUUAGAGAUGGUAAAGGUACUAUAUUAGUCUCUUUUAGAAACCUACGAGGCUUAAAUUUCACGUUUAUUUACUGUCCAAAAACAAUUGUCAAAGUGACUUAACAUAAUAGGUUUUAAUUUUUCACUUUGGCCUAAUAAUGUAGUUUAUUUCAUUUUAGUAAUGUUAAACUUAUUAAUUAUCUUUAUAUGUGUUGUCUCAACCACACUCAAGCUGCAAUUCCUUCUAAAAUCCCAUUUUUAGUUAAAACAGUUCACCUAGGACUUUUAACAAACAGGUGGUGUGCACAGUUCCAAUUUCUUCUUUUCAUAGCCAUUUAUUUGAGUUAUAAAUCCAUUUUUAUCCUCCUUAUUAUUCCUCAGCCCAACCUAGCUCCUUAUGCCUAAAUCCAGCUCAUAACAGUUAAAUACACGAUUUAAUAUGUGUAUAAUCAAGUAAUUGACAACUAUCUAGUUAUAACUUAGUUAGCUCACUAAUUUUCUUACUUUCAACCUUAUUAACAAUACAUUUCCAGCCCCAACAGUAGGCACAAUCCAUAACAGUUCUAGGCAUAGCAAUAUAUUGUACAAUCAUAAGCAUGUGCAAUCACUUAUUACAAUUAUAGGCAUAAGCAGUCACUUAUUACAACCUAACAAUUUCAAUUCUUGACAUACAAACUUAGUAAACAAUGGUUUUAUUACUCUACAUAAACAAGGUUCACAACUUAUAACUUUAAGCAUGAUAACUAGAAACAACCUCUAUCUUGAUUAAGGUGAAUAUUAAAGCACUUGGAAUAUGUAGUCUCUAAAAGAUAUUUGCAUACAUAGCUUCAAUUGGAUAAAUUCUUAGCUUACAUGUGAUUCUCACAACACAGUUUUUUUAUUAGUUAGUAAUAUAACCAAAUCAAGUCAUGACUUUGAAAUUAUAGGUAGCUAGGGGUUGUUUUGAAUCCUAAUCCAAAACAGGCCCAGAUUUGCCCUACUCUAGGCUCUUUUGAAAACUUCCAUAAACCUUCAUGGUUAGGUUCUUUAGACCCCAUGUUAUAAAGUAUAACCCACUUCAUUUUCAAGGACAGAUAAGUUCUUAUAUAAGUUUAUCAAUCUAGUUAAAAGUGGUUUCAUUUUGCUUAUGUAUAUGAUUGUCAUGGUAUGUAAGUUAUACCAAUACAUGUUAUACUUAGGCAUAGAGGGUACUUGAAGCAUAGCUACCCUUUAAAUGAGAACUUAAACAUAAUUUUGGACUCCAUUCCCAGCCAGCCUAUUUUGACACUAUAACAGUUUUAGAGUAGCAUUUUAGGCAUGGUUUAUUACACCAAAACAGUAGCAAGCACUAACGUAUAUGCCUUUCUAACACAUGAACCUUUUAUGUACCAUAUUUUCAUGAUUUAAAGCAUCUAAAGUCAAGGUCUUUAUGCUUUAGGCCAACACAACCCUCUUUAGUAUUUAAAUUCAAAAACAAACAUGGUUUACCAACAUGUUUACGAAGAUAGCAUAAGUGUGCAACAUAGAAGCUUAUACUAUCUUUUUAUAUAGUAUUUAACAUGCAUAAUAUAUGUUUGGAUGACAUGGAAUAUGUAAGACCCCAACUUAUUAUAAAUAAAAUUGAAUUUCUCUAUUUAUUAUCUUGAAAUAAUAAGGUGAUAAUUUGAUAUAAUACUUUAGUUAUGGGUGAAAUGUGCAAAUUUUGCAAAAUAAGCAAGUGGUUAUAAAAUAUUCAUUUUUGUCGAGGAAUAUUCGUUUGGUCAUGGAAUUUUCUUGUUGUCGGGGAAUAUUCGUAUGACGACGCAGCCAUUUGUUGGACCCAUAACAGAAUAAUUGUCGGAUGAAGAAAACAAUAAGCUUGAGUUUUUAUAAAUAACGGCGUAGUUGUUACCGUUAACACUGUUGGAAUACCCGGUGGUUAAAAUACAGUAAUACGCGUGAUUGCACAGUAGCACAUGGUAUUACACAGUAUUUUUGAAUUAUUAAUUCUUACAUAAGAAGACACUACUUAAUAAUUGUUACAGUAAUUACUGUUCAAUAUUUUAUUUUAUUUAUUCAAUAAUUGUUGCGUUGAUAUUUUAUAGUAUUGUUGUUUCAAUAAUUGUCAUUGCACAGUAUUUCCCAUUAUCAGAUCAAUAAUUCAUAAUAUUUGAAUAAUAUUAUUAGAUAGCAUUAUUGGCAAUGUCUAGAAAGUUUUGUCAAGGAGAGGUUUGGUCACUUAAUUGCGCGCUAGUAAGGAGAAAUUCUUAUCGAAAAGCCCCCUCUUUCCUGGGAACGGCCUGAUUGUCAUUAUUGUGAUUCUGUAAUAUUAUUUGUGAAUAAUUAUUUAUUGAUUUAUAUGAUAAGGAAAUAAUUAUUUUAUAUGGACAUAAAUGAUAUGAGACCCCAGAUUUUAUGAAUAAAUAUUUAUUUUUCUCGAAAUAAUUUUUUAAUAUUAUGGCGUGGAUUUGAUAUAAUGUUAUAGUUGUGGGUAGUAUUUAUAAAUUUUGCAAAGUAUGCAAGUUGUCAUAUUAUAUUCGAUUGGUCGGGAAAUAUUCUUUUUGUCGGAGAAUAUCCGUACGACGGCACAAUCAUUGAUGGACCCCACAACGGAAUAAUUGUUGGAUUGAGAAAACGAUAAAAAUAUUUUAUUAAAAAUAUCGGCGGAAGUUUUACCGUUAAUACUGUUGAACUACUCGGUAGUAAAAGUACAGUAAUACACGUGAUUGCAUAGUAGCACACGGUAUUGAUUAUUGAUGUUUACGUGAGAAGUCACUCAGUUUUGUUCAAUUAUUACUACAUUAGUUGCUGCAUAAUAUCUCACGUUAUUUGAUUCAAUUAUUGUUGAUUGUUAUAUAUAUAUAUAUAUAUAUAUAUAUAAGUUUUGUUUUAUUAGUAUUAUUAAUGUAAUAAAACAGAAAAACUUUUUAUAUAAAACAGAAUACUUUUAUAAAGUUAUUCGUUUUAUUAGGCUAAUAGUAAAAUCUUUUUAUAUAAAANNNNNNNNNNNNNNNNNNNNNNNNNNNNNNNNNNNNNNNNNNNNNNNNNNNNNNNNNNNNNNNNNNNNNNNNNNNNNNNNNNNNNNNNNNNNNNNNNNNNNNNNNNNNNNNNNNNNNNNNNNNNNNNNNNNNNNNNNNNNNNNNNNNNNNNNNNNNNNNNNNNNNNNNNNNNNNNNNNNNNNNNNNNNNNNNNNNNNNNNNNNNNNNNNNNNNNNNNNNNNNNNNNNNNNNNNNNNNNNNNNNNNNNNNNNNNNNNNNNNNNNNNNNNNNNNNNNNNNNNNNNNNNNNNNNNNNNNNNNNNNNNNNNNNNNNNNNNNNNNNNNNNNNNNNNNNNNNNNNNNNNNNNNNNNNNNNNNNNNNNNNNNNNNNNNNNNNNNNNNNNNNNNNNNNNNNNNNNNNNNNNNNNNNNNNNNNNNNNNNNNNNNNNNNNNNNNNNNNNNNNNNNNNNNNNNNNNNNNNNNNNNNNNNNNNNNNNNNNNNNNNNNNNNNNNNNNNNNNNNNNNNNNNNNNNNNNNNNNNNNNNNNNNNNNNNNNNNNNNNNNNNNNNNNNNNNNNNNNNNNNNNNNNNNNNNNNNNNNNNNNNNNNNNNNNNNNNNNNNNNNNNNNNNNNNNNNNNNNNNNNNNNNNNNNNNNNNNNNNNNNNNNNNNNNNNNNNNNNNNNNNNNNNNNNNNNNNNNNNNNNNNNNNNNNNNNNNNNNNNNNNNNNNNNNNNNNNNNNNNNNNNNNNNNNNNNNNNNNNNNNNNNNNNNNNNNNNNNNNNNNNNNNNNNNNNNNNNNNNNNNNNNNNNNNNNNNNNNNNNNNNNNNNNNNNNNNNNNNNNNNNNNNNNNNNNNNNNNNNNNNNNNNNNNNNNNNNNNNNNNNNNNNNNNNNNNNNNNNNNNNNNNNNNNNNNNNNNNNNNNNNNNNNNNNNNNNNNNNNNNNNNNNNNNNNNNNNNNNNNNNNNNNNNNNNNNNNNNNNNNNNNNNNNNNNNNNNNNNNNNNNNNNNNNNNNNNNNNNNNNNNNNNNNNNNNNNNNNNNNNNNNNNNNNNNNNNNNNNNNNNNNNNNNNNNNNNNNNNNNNNNNNNNNNNNNNNNNNNNNNNNNNNNNNNNNNNNNNNNNNNNNNNNNNNNNNNNNNNNNNNNNNNNNNNNNNNNNNNNNNNNNNNNNNNNNNNNNNNNNNNNNNNNNNNNNNNNNNNNNNNNNNNNNNNNNNNNNNNNNNNNNNNNNNNNNNNNNNNNNNNNNNNNNNNNNNNNNNNNNNNNNNNNNNNNNNNNNNNNNNNNNNNNNNNNNNNNNNNNNNNNNNNNNNNNNNNNNNNNNNNNNNNNNNNNNNNNNNNNNNNNNNNNNNNNNNNNNNNNNNNNNNNNNNNNNNNNNNNNNNNNNNNNNNNNNNNNNNNNNNNNNNNNNNNNNNNNNNNNNNNNNNNNNNNNNNNNNNNNNNNNNNNNNNNNNNNNNNNNNNNNNNNNNNNNNNNNNNNNNNNNNNNNNNNNNNNNNNNNNNNNNNNNNNNNNNNNNNNNNNNNNGAUAUUGUUUAGAAGACAAUAUUUGUAUUAAAACUCACAGCUCUCUUGUUGUAUAUUAAAGAUUGUAUUUGUAUUCUGUACCAUGUAUUUGGCGACUCAGAAUAGGUGAUGUAUACCUAUUUUGGGGGCGUCACAGUUGGUAUCAAAGCUUAGGGAUAUGAUCCCUGGCUGAGAUGUGAGAUAAGAACUAGGAGGGGAGAGACGGGGAAUUCCUUCGCUAGUAUGAACUACCUAAGUUUAUUUGGUAUUUAAUUGGUCGGUUAGAGUAUAGGGAUAAUAUGUGUUAUGUUAAUUAACCCUUAUUUUGUGGCAGUAUUUAAAAAUGGCAUCCGAUAAUGUUGAGAAUAGCAAUGGAGCACAGGAGACCGUUGAGUCUCCACAGAUUAAUAAUCAGGACAAUGUGCAACCGGAUGACGAUAAUCCUCCUGUAAACAACAACACUAAUCAAUUGACGAACGACGGUACGUUUAAGAGCUUUUUAGAAUUCAUGCAACACCAAACGAGAGAGACUCCUGUUCAUAAUGCUGGAGGAAACAAUGGCAACCCACGGUUGGUCACCGCUAAGUAGUUCAAGGAGCUGGGACCACCAGAGUUUUUGGAAAAGCCAGAACCACUUAAGGCAGAGACGUGGUUAAAGCAGAUCACCAAGAUAUUUGAUGUCUUGGGAUGCUUGAAAGAGCAAAAAGUUCCAUUCGCCACCUUUAUGUUUCGUGAAGAAGCAGAUCACUGGUGGGAAUCUAUAAAACGUACCCAGCCUGACGCACUCAAGAUAUCUUGGGAGAAGUUCCAAGAGCUGUUCAACGACAAGUACUUUCCUGAAAGUAUUCGUCACAUGAAGGAGGUGGAGUUCAUCAAGCUGGAGCAAAACAAUAUGACCGUGUCGCAGUACGAGGCUAAGUUUGCCGAGUUGUUCCGAUUUGCGUUCCAUUUGGUUGAUAAUGAGGAAAGAAUGACGCGAAUGUUUCUAAGAGGUUUGAAAUCCAAUAUACGUCAAUACCUCAUUUCUCACAAACUUUAUUUAUAGUCAGAUGUUGUGAAUAGGGCUCAGUUAUUGGAGCACGAUAAUGAGUUAGCACAACCAAAAGGCAAUGACCAACAACACGAUAAUAAUUAUAUCAGUGGCAACGGUCAUCGGAACAAUGAUAACCAUCGUGGGGGAAAUUAUCAUGCCAAGAAUGGUAACCACUUCGCUGGUAAUCAUGGACAAGAUAAUAGAAGUGGAAAUUUCAAGAAGAGAAGGUUCAAUAAUGAUGGAAAGACAGUAGCACCAGCACCCGUUUCAAAGGAAGAAGAACGACCACCGAUCGUAUGUUUCAAAUGCGGACAGGAGGGACACAUCCGUCCAAACUGUAUGCAGCAAUCCAAAACGUGUUUUAAUUGCGAAAGAGAAGGUCACCUAGCUCGAUUUUAUCGUAUGGUAAAGUCAAGUCCAGCUGGGAUAGUGAUGCCAAAGGAUGUCCCAGACAAGCCAAAGCUGAUAAUUUAAGAGAGAACGUUUUUUUUCUCGUGACGAGGAACCUGAAUAAAAUUAUCAUGGGUAAGUUAAUCAUAAACUCUUGCGAAGUCUAUACCAUGUUAGAUACCGGUUUUACUCACUCUUUUAUUUCACCUAGUUGUGUUCAAUGUUUGUACUUAACUCCGGAGAAGUUAGAAUCUGAUUUAUCUAUUAAAACUCCGUUGGGAGAAACCUUCGUUACAUCUAUUAUUUAUAAAUCUUGUUUGAUUCAAAUCGACACUUUCAUGUUACCUGUCGAUCUUAUCUCUUUGAAAAUACUUAUCUUUGAUGUGAUUUUAGAAAUCGAUUGGUUAACUACUCAUCAUGCUUUUCGUAAGGUUGUUAGAUUUCAUAUUCCUAACCAACCUGUUAUGCAAAUUCAAGCAACCAAACCACUAAAUUCAAUCAUUGUCAUAUCAAGCCAUAAGUAAAGAGCCCCGAUCCUUUUGUUGUUGACUUCCUUGUGUGGAAUGCACUGAAGCCAGACUUUCUGUAUGCGACAUCAUGAAUGACGAUGGCAAGUUGAUAGGUAUUAAUAUGACGUACUAUCCAAGUCUUGGAUGAGAGUAACAGUUUUGAAUGAUAUUUCUAUCGUUAAUAAAUUUCCUGACGUAUUCCUGAAGACUUCAUAGCCUACCCCUAGAGCAUGAAAUCGAAUUUUAUAUUGACCCCAGUACAAAACCCAUUUCUUACACCCUCGAAUAUUUCUUCAACUAAAAUGAACGUAACAUACGCCAAAGACGUUGAAUCGAGCUGUUGAAGAUUACGAACGUACCAUUCAAUACCAUCGUAGGAAAAGCUAACAUGGUUGCUAACGCGUUGAGUAGAAGAUCGUAUGCGGUUACAAGUGCGAAUAUAAGAACCCACGUGAAGAUAAUGAAUAUACGAGUAGAAUUGACUUUAAUCAAUAAAGUUAAAGCCGCUCAAGCUAAAUACUCAGAGCUGAUGAAUGUGAAAAAGAAGGUUUAAGAGGGUGUUAUUCUAGAAGCAAGAAUCGAUGAAGAGAGGAAAUCUCAACCCUCGAUUUAAUUGGCCCAUUUGAAAUCCUCGAUUGAGUAGGAACUGUGGCUUACAGACUCAUUUUACCGCCAAGUAUGUCGCGUGCUCAUAACGUUUUUAACGUAUCGAUGUUACGUAAAUAUGUGGACGACCCAAACCACAUUAUUAAUUUAGAACCAGAUGAGAUAGCAGAUGAUUUAACGUAUGAGGAGAUACGUGUUAAAAUCUUGGAUAAGAAGGAUUAUAUUCGACACUCAAAGGUUAUAUCUCAAGAGUUAGAAUCUGAAAUGAAGUCAAGGUAUCCUCACCUGUUCGGCAUACCAGGUACGUACGUAAAUUUUGAGGGCGAAAUUCCAUAAGGAGGGGAGAUUGUGAGACCCCAGAUUUUAUGAAUAAAUAUUUAAUUUUCUCAAAAUAAUUUUUUAAUAUUAUGGUGUGGAUUUGAUAUAAUGUUAUAGUUGUGGGUAGUAUUUAUAAAUUUUACAAAGUAUGCAAGUUGUCAUAUUAUAUUCGAUUGGUUGGGGAAUAUUCUUUUUGUUGAGGAAUAUCCGUACGACGGCACAAUCAUUGGUGGACCCCACAACGGAAUUAUUGUCGGAUUGAGAAAACGACAAAAAUAUUUUAUUAAAAAUAACGGCGGAAGUUUUACUGUUAAUACUGUUGAACUACUCGGUAGUAAAAGUACAGUAAUACGCGUGGUUGCAUAGUAGCACACGGUAUUGAUUAUUGAUGCUUACGUGAUAAGUCACUCAGUUUUGUUAUUGGUAUUAUUAAUGUAAUAAAACAUAAAAUCUUUUUAUAUAAAACAGAAUACUUUUAUAAAGUUAUUCUAUAAAUAGAAUAUAUUAUAUUCUAUUAUGCAUAGUGUUUUGCAUAGUAAAAUCUUUUUAUAUAAAACAGAAUACUUUUAUAAAGUUAUUCUAUAAAUAGAAUAUAUUAUAUUCUAUUAUGCAUAGUGUUUUGCAUAGUAAAAUCUUUUUAUAUAAAACAGAAUACUUUUAUAAAGUUAUUCUAUAAAUAGAAUAUAUUAUAUUCUAUUAUGCAUAGUGUUUUGCAUAGUAAAAUCUUUUUAUAUAAAACAGAAUACUUUUAUAAAGUUAUUCUAUAAAUAGAAUAUAUUAUAUUCUAUUAUGCAUAGUGUUUUGCAUAGUAAAAUCUUUUUAUAUAAAACAGAAUACUUUUAUAAAGUUAUUCUAUAAAUAGAAUAUAUUAUAUUCUAUUAUGCAUAGUGUUUUGCAUAGUAAAAUCUUUUUAUAUAAAACAGAAUACUUUUAUAAAGUUAUUCUAUAAAUAGAAUAUAUUAUAUUCUAUUAUGCAUAGUGUUGCAUAGUGUCUGCAUAGUGAUUUGCAUAGUAAAAUCUUUUUAUAUAAAACAGAAUAUUUUUAUAAAGUUAUUCGUUUUAUUAGAUUAUAAAUAGAAUAUAUUAUAUUUUAUUUAAAAGAUUUUGCUUUAAAUAUGGACCGUCCGAUUAAAGUAAAUCAAUCUGGACCGUUCAUGAGUUAGUUACUAUGUAGUCCAUUCUUCUAUAAAUAGAAGCUCAUUCCUUCAUUAUUUUCUUACGAAUUCACUGAAACCCUAGAGAGAGAAAUUAUAGAGAAAAAAAAGAAAAGUAUUCUGCUACUUUACUACUCCGAUAUCAAGUUUCUUUUACGGUAAGAGAUAUUAUUUGUUGUACUCGUAAGGGGUAUUAUUUCUUUUGUAAUCAUGAAGAGAACUUCUGUUAUUCCAUUCUUUAUUAUUCUGUUGGAAUAACCUGUAUACGUGGUCUACCCUAUACUUGGUGAAAUUCUUCUGUUAUUCAAUUCUUUAUUAUUCUAUUGGAAUAUCCUGUCUGUGCGUUUUAUGCCAGACCUGGUUCCGUCUUUAUUAUUCUGUUGGAAUAUCCUGUCUGUGCGUUUUACGCCGGACCUGGUUCCGUCUUUAUUAUUCUGUUGGAAUAUCCUGUCUGUGCGUUUUACGCCGGACCUGGUUCCGUUAUUUAUUAUUCUGUUGGAAUAACCUGUCUAUUCGAAGUACCGCAUGCAUGGUGAUUUUUGUUGUUAUUCCAUUCUUUAUUAUUCUAUUGGAAUAUCAUGUCUGUGCGUUUUACGCCAGACCUAGUUCUAUCUUUAUUAUUUUGUUGGAAUAACCUGUCUAUGUGAAGUAUCGCAUGCAUGGUAAUUUCUGUUGUUAUUCCAUUCUUUAUUAUUCUGUUGGAAUAUCCUGUCGGUGUGUAUUACGCCUGACCUGGUUCCGUUAUUUAUUAUUCUAUUAGAAUAACUUGUCUAUGCGAAGUACCGUAUGUAUGGUGAUUUCUUUUCUUAUUCCAUUCUUUAUUAUACUCAGUUAGUUAAAGUUUUGACUUCUAUACUCCAUGAAAUUAGUGGAAUAUCCUUGAUAUUUAUACUUCAUCCAGUAUCUUUUCAUGAAAAUAUUCUUCUGAGCAUUCUUGAAUUUUACUCUACAAAGAAGUAUCAUGUUGAAAAUUUGGACGUUAUUGAUUCCUGGAUAAAUUAAUUCGUGAACUUGUUUUAUUGAAUUAUUAUGUCAUUGUCAUCAUCCUCAUGUUUAUUUUUUUUGAAAGUCAUCUGUGGCCUGUAGUGCAUAGAUGGACUUGGUAUGAUUAUGACCAGGGAUUAUUCGGUAUAAUCAUGACCGUAAUAUUACAAAUGAUGUGGAAAAAGUCCUCAUUGGCCCGUAAUGCAUUAAUGGACAGUUUUCGGUAUGAUUAUGGCUAUGGAUUCUCUUCGGCCAAGGGUGCAAAAAUGAAUUGUUUUAUGUCAUGAUCAGGACCGUUGAUGAAAACACGAUUUUCUUUGGCCCGUAGUGCAUGGAUAAUUCGUGGUCGUGAUACUAAAGAAUAUCCUUGGCCUGUAGUGCAGGGAUGAUUUGAUGAUGUGGAUUAUUUAUUGGGCUGAGUCUCAGCAAUAAAAGUGAUGAAAAAACUUUUUAAAUCAUAAAACAUAGUAGAUUCUAUUCUCUACUUGACUCUUUUAAUGGAUUGCUUGUUCCGCUGCAGUUAAACUUGAUGUCUAUUGUAUUUUAUCAGUUUAACAUUGUUGAAGACUAAUGAUAAUUUAUUCUGCACUAUCUUAGUCAUAAUAUUUCUUACUGGGCUAGUUGAGCUCACCCUUUCUUUCACUGUUCUAUUCAGGAAAUGAGAAUAUAGCUGGGGCGAGUCGGGGAACGGAGUGAUGGACCAGAUGAUAGUAUUAGUAGUCCUCACUAUUCUGUUAAAUAGUGUGAUAAUAAAUGUAAUGAGGACAUAUUCUGAGAGUGGAUAUUGUUUAGAAGACAGUAUUUGUAUUAAAACUCACAGCUCUCUUGUUGUAUAUUAAAGAUUGUAUUUGUAUUAUGUACCAUGUAUUUGGCGACUCAGAAUAGGUGAUGUAUACCUAUUUUGGGGGCGUCAAAAAUGAUGGGUAGAAAAAUAUUUAUUUUGUGUGGUUAUAAAUGAAGAAAUUAAUUUUGAGGUAUUUUAUAAUUAUUUUGUCAGAAUGGAUGUAUUAAAAAUCAUCCGUAUGUGGAUUUCGGACAUUUUUUGUUUAGAAUUUGGAAAAACUUUCUUCUCUAAAGUUGUAGAGAAUUUGAUUUCCUAUGGAAUGGACAUAAAAUUCAUAUUUUUCUGAUAAAAGAGCUAUUUAUUGUGAAUUAAAUGGAGUAAAGAUAAUCAAAUUGAAUUAGUUUUCAAAUUGAAUUUGAAUUCUUUUAUUUAUUUAUUUUUCAAAAAUAUGUGAUAAAUUAUUGGGGUGGGUGAGCAAAGUUGGACAAUCUUGAUUCAAGUAAGGUGUGCGUAGAAGAGAAGGAAAUAAGAAUAUUAUUUUAUUAUUUUAGUCUCCUUUGGCGUUCUAGCAUUUUUCUAUAAAUAGGUGCUUAAGUUAGAAUUGAAAAUCACACCAGAAACAUAAGCUUUCUCUCUCUAGAUUAUCGAGCGUAUUAUUGUGAGUAUUUUUCUUGAGUAUAGGAAUACUUUGAGCGUAGUUUUCUGCAAGAUUUUCUCAGAAUAAUAUCCAAUAUUCCAGGCAAAUCCAGUUUCUACUAAGGUAAAGGAUAUUAUUUUAUUGCUUUUAUAAUUCCUGAAAUGAUUAGAAAUUUCACUUCAUCUAAUAUCCUUUUAUAGGAAUAUUGGUCUGAACUUUUUAUCAAAUUUAGAACUUUUCAUGACGGGUACUGUUCACCGGUACUGUUCACGGGUACUGUUCAAAAAAGAAAAAAAAAUUUCUCCUUCCCAGUUAUCUGUUGUGACCUUUAAUCCUGAAAUUGAAUCCAUGUUUUUGAUCUUUAUUCUUGAAUUUUACUCCAUUAUGGUUUAUUAUGGAGUAUUUUUAAACUUGAGUUAUCUAAAGUACAAAUCUCUAAACUUUAUCCUUUUAUCUCACUUGAUUCGUUCUCUAAAAUGUUUUUCAUCAUCCUCAGUCCUUAAUGGUGAUACUUGAUAAAUAUCUUUGGCCUGUAGUGCAAAGAUGUAUGAUUACCUGAUGAAUAUCUUUGGCCUGUAGUGCAAAGAUGAACAGGUGUUGAGAUGAACAUGACCAACUGGUGAUACAAAUGAAUAUCUUUGGCCCGUAGUGUAAAGAUGAAUAUUUGAUUCAAGAUGUAUAUUGAUUGAUGUUACAGGGAUAAAAUAUUGAUGAUGGACUUUUAAAUUCAUAGAUGAUAGUAGAUUUCAUUCUCUACUUAACUCUUCUAAUGAAUUGUUGUUUCCGCUGCAGUUGUUGAUCUAAAACUUGUUGUCUAUUGUAUUCUAUCAGAUUUUUCCCUGUUGAAGACUAAGGAUAAUUUGUUGUAUAUUAUCUUAGUCAUAAUAUUCUUUACUGGGCUAGUUGAGCUCACCCUUUUCCUUUUUGUUCCAUUUUUCUUCUCAGGAAGCGAGAACAUAGCAGGAACCAGUCGGGGUAUAGAGUGAUGGUCCUAGACAGUUGUUUUAGAAGUCCUCACUAUUUUUGUAAAAUAGUGCAUCAAUAAUUGUAAUGAAGACUUUAUUUGAGUGUGGAUAUUGUCUAGAAGACAAUAUUUGUAUUUAAACUCACAGUAUGUGUUGUCGUAUUUUGCACGACAAUUGUAAUAAUAAAGUUGUAGUUAUUUUCUGUACCAUAUAUUUGGCGACUCAGAAUGGGUGAUGUAUACCUAUUUUAGGGGCGUCGCAGAAUAGCUUAUACCAUAUCAGUCAUUAUCAAAUCCUCUAGUCUAGCAUACAAAAUCCUUAAAACGGUGGCUAAGUCUUAGUUAAAUGCUUAGCUCAUAUAUAGACCGGUAUACACCAAGUUAUAAUCAUCUUAUGCUCAUGCAAAACUAACCUUUUAAGCACAUUUGCAUCUUUAGAAUUUUAAUAUAGAAUAUUGGCAUAGGAUUAGACUUGGCUGUACUCAUUUUCAACACAGUUGACUCCAAUAGUCUAUUAACAGACAUUUUACCAAACAGUUGGGAUGCGGUUCAUAUCUAUCCAUACAAUACAUAUAUUCUUAGCUUAGUGAUCCCAGCCUUAUGGCUUAAACAAUAACAAGCAUAAGAUGAUACAUAACAACUCCAAUCACGGUAAUCCAAAUAGCAUUGAAACAGGCAUCCUAUUGUACCAAUUCCAAUAUAACAGCCAUACAUGUUACCUAAACUCUAACAGUCCAGUUGCUAUCAUUUAAAGAAACAGGAACGAAUGGAAAAGGAUUGGAAAGGUCAGAAUUGGCUUACCUUGUUGAUUUGAAGGUUACAAGUGGGUUGAGCUGCCCAGUUUCUCCUCCUUCUCUAGCCGAAGCUUUUCCUCUCUUACUCUAUAUGACUGAUACCGUUACUUCUUCCCUUUUUCUUUUAACUUUGCUAAGUGGUGAGCUAAUCGGUUCUAGGCCAUAAGCUUGGCCUUUUAUGGUUGAGUUUAUCUCCUCUUUUCUGGCAGUACUAUCACCUUUAGUUGGCCUCUACACAACCACCCUAUCAAGCUCCCAUCCAUCAUUCCUAUUCUAGUUCACUUGGCCCCUAUAGGGCCUGUCAGACCAUAGCUAUUCUGCUUCCUCUUAUCCACUGCAAGUUUAUCCCACCUGCUAGCUGACUGUUAACUGAACUAACAUGCUAACUAGAAACCAACUUAGAAUUCGUAUAACUUGCUACUUGACUUGGUGCUCAAGCCAUGUUAUUGUUUUUCUUAAUUGGUUUGAAGCAGUUAUCUUGCUAUACAUCACUGGGUUUACAGGAUUGGGCUGGGGGAACAAUGUGACAAUUUUAAUUUGGGUUUAAACUAACCCUCCCUCUUUAACCAUGUAGCUGCCAAAUUGCACUAAGAAAAUAGGUUAAAAUUGGCCCUUUUAAUUUUGUUAUAGACCUAAUACAACAACCCAUACCCUAAAAUAGUUGAAAGGGGCAUACAAGCAUACAUAGCAAAAUUUAAUAUGGCCCAAUGUUUUAGAAUGGACUCAUUUUAAACACAAAAUUUUUUCUAUCUUAUUAAAUUCCUUUUAGGCUAGCAACAAUAGUUGGUACAUAUAUCAUUAACUCUUUUUUUUUACCAUUCAUGAUCUAAGAUACUUAAUAAAAUAUUAAGUAACAAAUAAUUAUAAGGUCAGGAUACAAAAAUAAAAUAAAAUUUAUACACAAAAUUGACAUUAUAACAACUGAAUAUUUUAUAGAAUUUCUGAGUCAUUACAUUUACUUUGUUAAGGACUAAUGAUAAUUUAUUUUACAUUAUCUUAGUCAUAAUAUUCUUUACUAGGCUAGUUGAGCUCACCAUUUUCUUUCAUUGUUCUUUUCAGGAAAUGAGAAUAUAGUUGUGACUAGUCGGAGAAUGGAGUGAUGGUCCAAGAUGGUUGCUAUAGUAGUCCUCACUAUUCUAUAAAAUAGUGUGAUAAUAAUUGUAAUGAGAACUUCAUUUGAGUUUGGAUAUUGUCUACGAAAUAAUAUUUGUAUUAAAACUCACAACUUACGUUUUGUCGUAUUUUACACGACAAUUAAUAAUUGUAUAAAUGCAGUUUGUAUUUGAAUUUUGUACCAUGUAUUUGGUGACUCAGAAUGAGUUGUAUGGACCUAUUUUGGGGGAGUCACGAAUAGGACCCAAGAAGAUUUGGGUACGAAAAAGGUAGACUAUUUGUUCAUUUUGUCAAUGUCUUAAGUUCAAAAAGGAGACGAAUAGUACUUAUAAAUUAUUUGGCAAAAUCUGUAAGUACCUUAUAUUUUUUUCUAAAAUAGUGUUUUAAUUAGAUAUAUUAUGAAAAAUCUAUGGAUUUCGUAUUACAUGGGUUCAUAACAUCAUUUAUUAUAAAGUAUAUAUUGUGCUAAAUGCUCCAUAUUUAAUACAAAUGACAAUCUUGAUGAGGAAUAAGUGAAUAUUAUUUUUGAUUAACUUAACCAUGAUCUGCUAAAGGAAGAGAAUGAGGUUUCUGUUGGAAAUGACUAUUUGAAUUGUGGAACCCAAACAGUUCAAUCCGGACAGUCUAAGAUGUGAGACCCCGAAUUUUAUGAAAUAAAAGUAUUAAAUUUUUCUAUUUUGGUAAAUAGUUAAAUUGAUAAAAGUUUAAAGUUAAGGGUCAUAUUUGAAAAUUUUGCAAAGUAUGCAAGUUGUUAUAAAUAUUCGAUUGGUCGGAGAAUAUUCUUUUUGUCGGGGAAUAUUCGUACGACGGCACAAUCUUUGGUGAACCCACAACGGAAGUACUGUCGUAGUUAGAAAAAGACAAAAAUAUUUUAUGAAAAUAACGACGAAGGUUUUACCGUUAAAAUUGUUGAACUACCCGGUAGUAAAAGUACAAUAAUACUCGUGGUUGCAUAGUAGCACACGGUAUUGAUUAUUGAUACUUAUGUGAGAAGUCACUGAGUUAUACUCAAUUAUUGCUACAGUAAUUGUUGCAUCAUAUCUCUCAUAUUAUUGAUUCGAUUAUUGUCAGUAUCAUCUGCAUUAUAUGUUAUUUUAUUAAAUCAAUAAUUGAGACGACAAAGUUAUUCAUAUUAUUAAAUUGCAAUAUUUAUAAUGUCUAGAAGUUCUGUCAAGGAGAGGUUAGAUAAUCUAAUUACGCGCCAAUAGGGAGAAAUCUUUAUCGGAAAGCCCCCUCUUUCCUGGGAACAACCUGGUUGUUAAAUAUUGUGAGUUAUGAUAUUAAUGAUGGAUAAGUUCGUGUUGAUUAAAGAUGAAUUUUAUAGUUUUAUUGUGUUGGGAUUAUUUGUGUUAGUAGAAAUUGACAUCUAUUCCGAUGAUUAUUGAUGUCUGGAGGUUAUAUUGUUCAAUCGGGUAUUCGGGACACUUUUCAUGUCAGAGUUAUUAUUCAUGAGUUACUAUUCACGAGUUACUAUUCAUGAGUUACUAUUCACUAGUUACUAUUCACAAGUUACUAUUCACCUAAUUACUAUUCACUCUAGUAUUGUGCAUUCGGGUAUUUGGGUACAAUAUUAUUCCAUGAGGAGAUGUGUUAAUUUUUCUGACCGUUGGUUGAAAUUAUAAUAGUAAAUCAAUAUGGAUCGUUGAUUUAAAGUCUUAAUAGUAACUUGUCCCUUCAAUAUUACCAAGAGUUAAUUGCCCCUUCGUAAAUAGUAGUUGUCCCUUCAAUAUUACCAAGAGUUAUUUGCCUCUUCGGUGUUCCAAGAGUUAAUUACCCCUUCGCAAACAGUAGUUGUCUCUUCAAUAUUACCAAGAGUCAUUUUGACCCUUCGUUAAGACCAAGAGCCACUCUCAGUUUUUCUAUAAAUAGAAGCUCAUUCCUUCAUUAUUUCUUACGAAUUCACUGAAACUCUAGAGAGAGAAAUUAUAGAGAGAAAGAAGAAGAGUAUUCUGUUACUUCACUACUUCGAUAUCCAGUGUCUUUUACGGUAAGGGAUAUUAUUUGUUGUACCCGUAAGGGGUGUUAUUCUUUCUUAGUCAUGAAGAGAACUUCUGUUAUUCCAUUCUUUAUUAUUCUGUUGGAAUAACCUGUAUAAGCGGCAUACCCUAUACAUAACCUGUAUAUGCGGCAUACCCUAUACUUGGUGAAAUCCCUUUGUUAUUCCAUUCUAUAUUAUUAUGUUGGAAUAACCUGUUUAUGCCAAGUACCGUAUGCAUAGUGAAAUUCUUCUAUUAUUUCAUUCUAUAUUAUUAUGUUGGAAUAACCUGUUUAUGCGAAGUACCGCAUACAUGGUGAAAUUCUUCUAUUAUUCCAUUCUUUAAUAUUCUGUCAGAAUAUCCUGUCGGUGUGAAUUUCGGCUGACCUGGUUCCAUUUAUUAUUCUGUUGGAAUAACCUGUAUACGCGUAUUACCGUAUACUUGGUGAUGUCUGUUGUUCUUCCAUUCUUUACUAUUCUGCUGGAAUAUCCUGUCUGUGCGUUUUACGCCAGACCUGGUUCCGUCUUUAUUAUUCUGUUGGGAAUAACUUGUCUGUGUGGUCUCUAUCGCAUGCAUGAUGAAUCCUUCUGUUAUUCCAUUCUUUAUUAUUCUGUUAGAAUAACCUGUCUAUGUGGAUUACCACAUGCAUGGUGAAUGAUCCUUUAUAUUCAUUCCUUAUUAAAUUGUGGAAAUGAUCCGGUUACGUUGAUUAUGAUGAGAGUCAUAAUAAAAGUAUUGGACUAAUGAAAAUCAUGGGUAUAUGUGGUAUUAGUAAGUGUUAUGAUGAGUUAUGUUGGUUAUUAUGUGAAAACAUGAAAGUUUCUUAGAAAUCACAAAGGGUUGAAAAUCAGAUUUUGGUGAAAAUAGAACAUGAAAUUCAAUUGACCAUAUCUCCUAUUAUAUUUCAAAUUUUUGGGUGUGGUUAAGUUCUAGAGUUAGGUCUAUGAGUUAUGUAACUUAUCCAAGUGGAAUCACUGGAAAAGGUGUUGUAGAUUUUCGUGUGGACUGAUUUUAGCAAAGGAGUGCAAAGCUGCAAAAACCCAAAACUCUACUGCCCAGAAACUUUAAGGGGCUGUUUCGGCUACUUAAUUUGUGAGAACAAUUCUGGCCUUUUGGGACAUGAAAUUAUAUGAUAUAAAGUACCUCCUGUCCAAAAAUGAGCUCAUUCUGACUUAAAAUGAGCAAGUUAUGACCAUUUCAAUAUUUAGGUUUUUCCGACGAAAAACGCUAUAACCGGAGUUCUAUAACUCCGAUGACCAUGAAAUUUAAAUUGGAAGCUCAUGUUAACAUGUGUAAGAUUAUGCCAAGAUUUGGGAAUUUUUGGAGUUAACCUUGAGGUAGCUAACUUCUUAAGGAAUUAAUUAGAAAUUGAUUUUUGAAAAAUAGUAAAUGAAUUUUAAAAAUUCCGAGAAAAAUAUAUGUUCAUUAUGGGACUAUAUUCUGCUAAAUACCAGAAAAGAAAUAUUUUUGGGACUGAUUUGGUAUUUUUCAUGAAAAUAGUUUAGUUACGAACUUAUGAGUUAAAUAUGUUAUGUGAAGUAACAAAAUUGGAAAAAUAGGAUUUAUGGUUUGGAAGGUAUAUGCAGAUUUUUGAUAAAGAAUUUGAUUAUUGGUGAUGAGAUCUUAUGAGUAUGGCAUUUUGAAUGAUUAAAUACAUUAUAUGGUAAAGUGUAAGCAAUUGAAAUAAAUUAUUUAUAAGUUUGAGAAGCGAUUAAAAUAUUGUUAUAAUAUUAAUAAUAUUAGAUUAUGAGUUAUUGAUAAUAUUUGGAUAAGUUUAAAGUCUUUAGUAUUUAUCCUUGUUUUCGUAUGAUUAAUGCUUAUAUCAUUGUCAUCAUCCUCAUGCUUAUAUGGUGAUGAAAGUUAUCUUUGGCUUACGUGCAAAAAUGGACUUUUGAUUAUUGAAUUGUAUAUCUUUGGCUCACGUGCAGAGCUAGUUUGUUGAUUAUUGGUUUUAUUGUUGUAUAUCUUUGGCUUACGUGCAGAGAUGAAUUUGGUAUGAUUAUGACCAAGGAUUAUUCGGUAUAGUCAUGACUAUUGAUGAUUUAAUGAAUAUCCUUGGCCCGUAGUGUAGGGGUGAUUCGAUGAUGUGGUUUAUUUAUUAAGCUGAGUCUCAAUGAUAAAAAUGGAUGAAAACAUUUUUAAAUCAUAGAAGAUAGUAGAUUUUAUUCUCUACUUGACUCUUUUAAUGGAUUGCUUGUUCCGCUGCAGUUAAACUUGAUGUCUAUUGUAUUUUAUCAGUUUAACAUUGUUGAAGACUAUUGAUAAUUUAUUCUGCAUUAUCUAGUCAUAAUAUUUCUUACUGGGCUAGUUGAGCUCACCCUUUCUUCACUGUUCUCUUCAAGAAAUGAGAAUAUAGCUGGGACGAGUCGGGGAACAGAUUGACAGUCCAGAUGAUAGCAUUAGUAGUCCUCACCAUUCUGUUAAAUAAUGUGAUAAUAAAUGUAAUGAGGACUGAAUUUGAGUUUGUAUACUGUCUAUGAGGACUCCAUUGAGAAUUGAUAUUGUCUAGAAGGCAAUAUUCUUGUUUAAACUCUCAGUUUAUGUUUUACACGACAGUUGUAUAAUUAUGUUGUAUUUGAUUUAUGUACCAUGUAUUUGGCGACUCAAGAUGGGUGAUGUAUACCUAUUUUGGGGGCGUCACAUAAGACGUCUGCAUCAGAAGGAAAUAUAGAUGAAAUCAGACAGUUUGACCUGUCUGUUUUAGAAGAAAACUCAAAUUUACAAACACCUAAAUCUAGAAAAAUCGAGAGGUCUGCUUUAGAAUAAAAAACAUAUGAAUAUUCGGAUGCAGUAACUUAUAUUCCAGAGGAUGAAUCUGAAAAGCAAAUGACUUCUUCCAGGCUUCCUAAAUCUUCUAGAACUAUGGGAAAUCAUCCUCCAAGUCUGAUCAUCAGAAAUUUCAACAUUAGGAUGUCCACAAGAAGAGGUUUUGAAGAAAUUUGUUUGCUACACUAAAGGAGCUCAUCUAUCAAGCUUAUUGUUGGUAACAAAAUUGUGGAUAUAUAGGUAACAAAUCACAAAGGUAUGGUUAUUUUAUUUAAGUGCUAUAUGUGAUAUUGUUACAAGCUUGAUGUCGUGUCUUUAUUUUAUGAAUUAUUUUUUGUUAGUGACAAAUGGGGAGAGAUAUAGCUAAAUUGAUGAUUUAUUUCUUUUUGAUAAUGAUAAGGGGAGAAAUGUUUAAAAAUAUUGAUGAUUAUGAUAUUUGAUGGUUAUAUUGAUUAUAAUAUGUUUGGAUUUUUUGGAUAUCAUAUUGAUGAUAAUGGUUGGAUAUUUUGAUUCAUUAUCUGUUAUAUACAGCUUAUCAUUAUGCAUUAUUUAUCAUAACAGUUAUGUGAUCUUUAUAUCUCCUAUAGGCAAAAUUUAGGGGGAGCCAUAUAGUUAGGGAGAGCAUGAUUGUAAGGAAUAAUAUAUUGUCAUCAUCAAAAGGUGGAGAUUAUUAGUUUUAUUAUUUGUAAUUUUAAUAAUGACAAUAUAUUUGCAAAUAUAAGUUAUUUAAUGGUCUGAAUAUAUUUGCAAAUAUAAGUUUGGUUCAUGAUAAUUUAAUUUGGUUAUAAGUCAAAUUGAUAUUACGUGCAGGAUUGAAUUGGAAUAUUUUCUUUCAGGUCUAAUUUGGAGUCUCUAAAUUAACUGGUUUAGAUAUUUGUGUAGAGUAUGGACUCUAUCUAUAAUAUAUUGUUACUCCUUAAUUUUAGCCAUUGUUAGAUUACAUAUCUUUGACUUUCUAAUUUUGAGAAUAUUUUAUAGCUGUUAGCUAUAUCUAUGUGCUGAAAUCUCUAAUUCUCGAAAUCCAAGACCAAGUCAUUGACGAGCCUACUAAGUUUACACAGCAACCACGAUUUGUUUGUAGACUUGUAGUUAUUCAUUUUAUACCCGAAGUUAACAAAUUGUAUGAAAGGUUCAUCCUUUCAAUUAUCUACAUAAUUUAUUUUUUCCUACUCUAUGCAUUCCUAAGUAUCAGAUCGGAUCAGAUCAUAAACAUCACAAUAAACCAUCUAGUGGUAAUUGUUUUAUUUAUAAUACGGUAAUAACAACCACCUAGUGGUAGUUGAUUUAUUUAUUACAUGCUAAUAACAACCAUGAGCUGAUUGUUGAUUUAUUUAUUAAAUGCUAAUAACAGCUAUCAGCUAGUGGUUGAUUUAUUUAUUAUAUUCUAAUAACAGCCAUCAACUAGUAUAUAGUUUCUUGAUCAACUGUUCAUAGGAAGAUUACUGAUCGUUCAUUUAGGCGCUGGGGGGACUAAUUUGAACACCAUAGAUAACUAAACCCGUCUUCAUAGUCGCGCUUUCACUCCCGUCAAGAGCAAAUUUUAAAUCUCCAGAGUCAAAGCUAUUCAAGAAUUCCCCAGCUUUGAGCGAAAAUGGUGUGUUUCUCGGAUAAUUCAUCAAUC
rnacentral:lncRNA from 1 species